rnacentral:lncRNA from 1 species
CUGGCUGUUUCUGGGUUGAUGAGUGGCAAUUCUGAGACGGACGCAGAAUGGGAACCCAAUAAUCCGAAUACGGUAUAAAAAAAUAUGCGAUUCGAGUGUAAUUUGAUAGAAUCAUUGUCUUUUUCGUAUCGAUAUUGCUCGUAGUCAUUUAAUUUUUCUUACAAGCUUUUUGAGACCAAUGUGACAUAUGUUAUCAUGUCAACGUAUGUGUGUGUUUUGUCAUUGCUUGGAUGUGUUAACUUCUUAACUUGGGUUCUGUUUCUUGGAUGCCCUUUUCGAAUUUUCGAAGGAUGCUACGAUUGACAUACAACUUCCAAGAAGAAGCUUGCUUGUGAAAUUUACUUGUAAUUUGUGUGGUGAAAGGACAAAUAGACUCGUCAAUCGAUUGGCUUAUGAGCGGGGGCUUAUUUACGUACAGGUACUUAUUCCUCUUGUUGAUUGAUAUAAGAUUCAGUGUUGUUUGUUCUUGAUGAUGAAAAACCUGUUAAACUUUUUUUCUGUCAAUUUGUUGAUAUUUUGAUACUUUUCUAUAUAGUCCUUAGAAAAAAGCAUAUAAAAAUUAAGGAUUAUGUUAAGCGGUCGGUUUCAAAGUUGCUUCUAGUUCUCUUAAUCUAAAAGUAAGAAACAAGUUUUAGGUUCAUCUGACUAAUUAGCACUGCUUCUCAUCAGUGUGCAGGGUGUCAAAAGUAUCACAAGUUAGUUGAUAAUCUUGGCCUUGUGGUUGAGUAUGACUUAAGGGAGGAUUUUGAUGUGGAUACAAAUGCGGAUGAAGUUUGAUCCGACAUUGAAUUCAUUAUGCUACUUUUGAGUUGUCUUUGUGAUAAAGUAAUUCUUGGCGGUUGUUGGAAUUCAUCUCCCUUGAUAUAUUGAACACGAAGUAAACAAAAAAGUGGUAAAUGUUGAUCGUUCAUCUUUUGUAUGAUUGAUUCUUAGAUCUAGGGUUGUACAUAUGAAAAAAUCAUCUUAUUGCAAUAUAUUCUCUUAAAAAAAUUUCUUCUGGCACUGUACCAAUAAAUUCAUAGUUCAACGUCUAAGAUUGGUAAGAACUUUAGCCUGUCUUUGCCAGCAGUAUAGUGAUUGCUAACCCGAUCGUAACCCAGAAUCCUGAUAUCCCUCCUUUCUGGUGGAGUGCAUUUCCUCCAUUCUAUGAGACAAUAAAGAGAAAGGUCAUGGAAAAAACUUUAAAGUUGUUAAGUAACAUCUGUAAAAUUUGAGUUCCAUCAUGCAAAUAUGGUGUUCUAUGGUAAUAAGAGUAAUAGCUGGUUAAAUUCUUUACCAAAUUCAAACUUGGUGAUGGGGCCGGUGUUGUAUCGUCCUCUGUAUCUGUCACCGUAGGUGGUGCUGGGGGACUUUGUACAGUUGGUGCAGGUGCUGGUGCAUGAUGAUGAUGCUUGUGCUUGUGCUUGUGCUUGUUCUUCCCCUUGUGGUUGGGUGGAGCAGGUGAUGGUGCUUGCACUGGUUGUGAAGCUGGUGGCACAAUAACCGGUGCUGGCGCGGAUACUGGGGGUGCUUUUAAUGGUGAGGGCACUGGUGCUACUUUAGCUGGUGCCGGUGCAGGAGUUGCUUUAACAGGGGCUGGGGCUUGAACUGGUGUUGGAGAUGCAGGUGGCGCCGCUACAGGAGGCGGCAAUGUUGGUGUCGAAACAGGUGGUGAUGGCGGCAGAUUCGGUGGCUGUGAUGGAGUUGACACAGGUGGACUUUGGGGUAGCGGGGGUGGGACUGCUGGGCUUUUGGAUGGUGCUACCUUAGGGGAAGGUGAUGCGGGUGUGGUGAUUGGUGGGGUUGCUGCUGCAUUUACAGGCGGUUGUGUUACUGCGGUUGGUGCGGUAGAAGGUGGUGGGGUUGUAGUCGGCAGAGUAGCCGGUGCAGCAGGUGUGGUAGUAGGCGGGGGCGUUGCAGCUGGCAAAGUAGAGGGUGCGGCUGCCGGUGUCUGUGCACCGGUAAGGAUUACUUGAAAGCUGAGGCAACAUAGGACGAAAGCCAGCAAAAUCGAAACCAUUUUUGGAAGACGAAUUCCAGGGAACAGCAUCGGAGGGUUGUCGGUUAUAUAUUAGGUUUGUGAGGAGAGAAAAUUGCAGUUUGGUGAAACAAUUGAAGUAGGGAGAGAUGUAAUUUUCAUGUGAUGGGAACUUCUCUGCUAAUCAUUUGGCGAGCAUAUGUUGUUAAUGAAGUUGAGAAGCUGGCCAAGAAAUUGACAAAAGUCUCGCGGCACAAAUGUAGAAGAAACGUCUAUUUUUGAUCUUAACAGCAAAGCUUAACUCUGGUAGGAGGUGUCUAUCCGUCCUUUCUGAAAGCAACGUCCUCAAUCCUCAAUUCAACACCCUUCGUAACACGGGACGUUGCCAUGGCAGUACUGUCUCAUGCAAGUUACUCUCCUGUUAAGCGCAGAUGACCGCACGGCAUUUAUUUGUUUGUUUAUCAUUCAUUUGGUAAUGGCUUACUGUCGAAGGGAGGUUGGAGGCACUGUGAUUAAAACAAAGGAUGGGCAAACGAAGGCCAACAAUAAUCCAACGUGAAUAUCAUGAAUAAAAGCUAUAUUUAAAAUUAAAUAAAUUAAAAAAAAAAAAAAAGACACUAUCUAGAACAUAAAAAAAAAUUGGAUGCUCCGGUGUAUCGGGUACUUUGGGCGUUUUAACUGUUUUUAGAUCUUUAUUUUUGUAUUUUCAAAUAAAGAUCUAACGGUUAAAAUAGGGGUGUGAUAUCCACACAUCCCAUUUUACUUCUCACACACCUUUUUGAUUUUCAGCAGUCGGAUUGGAUGAAUUGAAGAAGAUCAAAUGACAGAAAUUCUCAAGGGGUGUAUGAGAAGUGAAAUGUGGUGUGUGAAUAGCACAUUCCCUAAAAUAUCCGAAGUACUGAAUACUCACCUAAGAAAGUACCCUAGAGCAUUGUCCCAUUUACGCGGCCUUGCUUGUAAUGCUAGGUUUCUGUAAAUACUUUUGGAACACGCUUUUGUUAAAAUCGCAAUUAAAUGUUUAUUAAAAAUUCAUACAGCUUUUUAAAACAAAUUGAUAAGGGCUUCUUUGAAAAGUGCUUUUAUAAUUUCCAAGUUUUUUUUUUUAAAUUUGCCGGAUGGUCCCAUAAUCUAUAGUCAUCCCAUUUGACAUCAUGCAAUUGACAUAGUCAUAGCUCAUAGUCGGAUCGCCAGUGAAAUCUAAUUAUACUGGUAGAUAUAAUUUGGCAAAAUUUUCGGACUAACUGAAAGAAAGACAACUAAAUUUCGCCAACAUUCGACACAGAUUUGUACAUUCAUCAAACUAACAGUCUUUGAACUCUUACAAACAGAACAUUAUGUGGAAGAUGCGAUGCAUCUUCGUAAGUAACUUUGAUGGAUGGAGAGAAAUUCGAUGAAGACGCGGGGGCGCUGCCGGGUCUGCUUGCUUUUCCUUCUUCCUUCUCCUCAACUGGAAGAAUUGCUGCAUUAUAUCUGCACAAUCCGAUGCCAACACGCCACGUUGGAUUGUCAUAUUUGGGUGGAAUGGGUGGACAGGAGGAGCUGGUUUUUCCGAGUGUUCCGAGCUUCGAGCUAUUUCCUUCACCCCCAUCAGGAAAAAGUCUGCAAGCAUAUUUACAGGUUGAUAAGAUAAGGAGCAAUUGAAUAACACAAUUCGCAUACCUUAUCCAGUUAGGGGUUACUUAGAAGGGCACAACUCGCAUACCUUAUCCAGCUGCCAUCAGCUCCGAGAAGCUUAUUUGGAGCUCGCCAUACAACAGUGUCGACUCUUGCUUGGAGUAUUGCUCCAGCACACAUUGGGCACGGUUCAAGUGUUACAUACAGAGUAGUCUCCUGAGACAUCAGAAAACAAGAGUUAAGUCUAAGGUGGGAUGCCCUGGCUUCCUUCAUCGGUAAGUAGUAAGUUGAGUUACAUAUAAACCAAUGUCAACAAAACACUUCCACAGUUACGAAUGGUGUUAUCAUUGUAUAAAUUUCAUGAUAAAUGUGACUGACAUGGCUUCCACUUUACAACUUAGGGAGUUUUUUAAUAUCCAAUAGAAAUGCAGAUAUUUGACGUUUAAUGAAAAAAGAAAGACUGCUCUCUAACUUUGCAAUGUCAUCAUGCAGACACAGAAGCCAGAAGGGAAUUUUUAAUGGAGAGGAAGAAAAGCAUGAUUCCAUGACUAGAAUAUGUCCCUUCAGAUCAUCAAUAUGCGUGUAUAUAUAUAUGGAAAUGGGUACUAACAACUAAAUAACAGAGAAAUUACCGAAAGCCUCCAUGACCGAAGAACAUUUGAAGCUUCCCGUAUGCAUAUCAUUUCUGCAUGGGCAGUUGAAUCCCGUAAUUCUUCCACUCUGAUACACACAUCAGUGUAAAUAUCCAGAAGAAAGCAUUUAGCUAUACACAUAAGCUAAUAGAACUCACAGGUUACAUCCACGUGCAAUAAUCUUGGCCUUGUGGUUGAGUAUGACUUAAGGGAGGAUUUCGAUGUGGAUACAAAUGCGGAUGAAGUUUGAUCCGACAUUGAAUUCAUUAUGCUACGUUUGAGUUGUCUUUGUGAUAAAGUAAUUCUUGGCGGUUGUUGGAAUUCAUCUCCCUUGAUAUAUUGAACACGAAGUAAACAAAAAAGUGGUAAAUGUUGAUCGUUCAUCUUUUGUAUUAUUGAUUCUUAGACUAGGGUUGUACAUGUGAAAAAAUCAUCUUCUUGCAAUAUAUUCUCUUGAAAAAAAUCUUCUGGCAUUGUACCAAUAAAUUCAUAGUUCAACGUCUAAGAUUGAUAUUAGCCCGUCAUUGCCAGCAGUAUAGUGAUUGCUAACCCGAUCGUAACCCAGAAUCCUGAUAUCCCUCCUUUCUGGUGGAGUGCAUUUCCUCCGUUCUAUGAGACAAAAAAGAGAAAUGUCAUUGAAAAAACUUCAAAGUUGUCAAAGUAACAUCUAUAAAAUUUGAGUUCCGUCAUGCAGAUAUGGUGUUCUAUGGUAAUAAGAGUAAGAGCUGGUUAAAUUCUUUACCAAAUUCAAACUUGGUGAUGGGGCUGGUGUUGUAUCGUCCUCUGUAUCUGUCACCGUAGGUGGUGCUGGGGGACUUUGUACAGUUGGUGCAGGUGCUGGUGCAUGAUGAUGAUGAUGCUUGUGCUUGUGCUUGUGCUUGUGCUUGAUAAACCGAUUCCAACUCAGUCUAUGCAUACACCAAUAGAAUUCCAGUCUAACAUUGAAUCCCAGUCCAACACGGAAUCCUCACCGCUUGCUGCACCGCUUGCUGCAGAUCGUGUUUUGUCCUGAUUCAACUUCUUGUAAUCCUAGUUCUAUGUAUAUAUGACUUGUACUCCUAUAAAUAUUAAUGCACGCCACUCACUCGAUUAUUGAGUUGAGAUUUUAUAAUUACUGUCUUUCAUGGUAUCCAGAGCCUACGUCUCACGACAAAGGUUCAUAUUAUAAUUUUUUUUUUCUUCUUCUUUCUCUUUUCCUCUCAGUCUUCUACAGUUAUGGCGUCUUCUUCCUCUGCUACUGCUGCUCCCUCUGUCAUGAAUUUUCUCACCAUCAAGCUCGACCGCAACAACUACCCUCUCUGGCGUGCUCAGUUCCUUCCCUUGCUGCGCAGCCGCAACUUACUAUCGUAUGUUACUGGUGAAAAUCACUGCCCAUCUGCUUUUCUUCUUGAUGACAAUGGUCAACUCACAGACAAGGUCAAUCCAUUAUAUACUGAAUGGAUACAGACUGAUCAGAUGAUCCUUUCUUGGAUUACGAGUUCACUUACUCCCAAGGUUCUUGCUACAAUCAUCAACAAAAUUGAUUCGGCUUCUGCCUGGUCGUCUCUUCAAGAACGGUAUGCUUCUACGUCUCAAAAUCGUAUUAUCCACAUGCGUACAGAAUUGAUGACUACUGCUCGUGGUAAUCUUUCUAUCGCUGACUAUCUCGACAAAGUCAACGCCAUCGCCGACAACCUUGCUCUUUCUGGCGCCCCCGUCUCUGAAUCCGACUUAGUCGCAAUUAUUAUGAGCAAAGUAGGUCCACAAUAUGAGACCACUGUUGCUUCCGCACAGGCUCGUGACACUCCCAUCAACUACAAUUCCUUGGAAGCUUUAUUACUGAGUGCCGAGCAACGUUACAACGCCUUUUCUCUUCCCUCUGAUAGCGGCACCUCUGCUUUUGCUGCUGUGCGUGGUGGUCGCGGUGGCUUCCGUGGCCGUGGUAAUUCUUUUCGUGGUGGACGUGGUGGAAGUUUCUCCCGUGGUGGUGCUGGUAACUUCUCACGCCCACAUUUGGCUGCUCCUGACUCCGGGUCUGCUGCACCUGCAACAUCCACAUUUGCAACCCCUUCCCGCGGGUCCUCUUCUUCCUACAAUGGACUUCUUGGUCCCGCACCUGGCUCCAGCACUCCUCCUGGUUCCUUGCCUGUUUUUUCCUCCUCUGGGCGUCUUCAAUGUCAGAUUUGUCAACGCUUUGGGCACUCGGCUAUUGAUUGCUUCAAUCGUCUCAAUCUGUCCUAUGAAGGUCGGGUUCCCUCCUCUCGUCUUCAAGCCUACACAGCUGCACCAUCUUCCCGUGCUUCCACCGCUGCACCCUCUGUCCCGCAAUGGCUUUUUGACUCCGGCGCCAAUUCUCACAUAACCAAUGAUGUCAGCCAACUCCAAAAUCCUCGUGAGUAUCAUGGCACCGAUCAAAUUCGUGGUGUGCAUGGUGGUCCAGGUUUGAACAUCUCAAAAAUUGGUGACUCGUACCUUAACACUAAAUAUGCUUCUUUUCGUUUGCCUAACACCCUUUAUUGUCCCCAAGCAUCAACUAAUGUGAUUUCUUUGAACCGUUUUUCGGAUGAUAAUAACUGCUUCUUUACUUUACAUCCUCAUUUUUAUCGUGUGCAGGAUUCACGGACGGGGAGGAUCCUUUUACAAGGCCGGAGUAACAAUGGACUCUACCCGUGUUCUAGUCACCCCUCUCAUCAAACCCAUGGUGUUUUUGCUUUAUUAGGUGAACGUGUCACUGAUGCCUUGUGGCAUAGUAGGCUAGGUCAUCCUUCGUUUUCCAUUUUAAAACAUUUAAUUUCUGCCAAUAAAUUGCCCAUUCAAGGCUCGUUUCAAAAUAAAUUUUGUCAAUUUUGUCCCCUAGGAAAAAGUCAUAAAUUACCCUUUUCUUUGUCUACAUCUGUGUCUUCUUUUCCUUUAGCGUUAAUUCAUUCCGAUGUUUGGACUUCACCAUCUUUAUCUGUUUCUGGCUUUAAAUAUUAUGUGGUGUUUGUGGAUGAUUUUUCUCGUUAUACUUGGUUUUAUCCUUUGCGUUCGAAAUCCGACGUUUUUUCUACAUUUGUUACUUUUAAAAAUUCGGUUGAAAAUAUGUUCACUGUUAAGAUUAAAGCUUUUCAAACCGAUGGUGGUGGGGAAUUUGUUAAUAAGGCCCUUAGUACAUUUUUGAAUGACCAUGGUAUUUUACAUCGUCUUACAUGUCCCCAUCACCCUGAACAAAACGGAUUAGCCGAGCGUAAACAUCGUCAUUUAGUUGAGACUGGGCUUACUCUUUUAGCCCAAUCCGGUUUGCCUACUCCGUAUUGGGCCGAAGCUUUUCAUACUGCUAAUUAUAUCAUUAACCGUUUGCCCACUCGUCUUUUACACCAUAUAUCUCCUUAUGAAAAAUUAUUUCACAAACCUCCUCAUUAUCUGUUUUUCAAAGUUUUUGGUUGUGCCUGUUAUCCCUACUUGCGUCCUUAUAAUACUAACAAAUUACAAUUUCGUUCAAAACGGUGUGUCUUCUUAGGAUAUUCAUUAAAUCAUCAAGGUUAUAGAUGUUUGGAUCCCUCUACGGGACGUGUCUUUCUUUCUCGCCAUGUCGUGUUUGAUGAGAACAGUUUUCCAUAUCAAGAAUCCAUUGUUACUUCGUCAUCACCGCUUUCCUCGUCUGUGGAUCCCGUUCUCGAGAUUGGCCCAUCCAACAACCCUACUCCUGCCACCCACUCCAUCCCGCACCCACCUCCUCCUACUACUUUAGCCGUGCCUACCCCUCCUCAGCCUUCUACCCAACGUCCACUCCAAGUAUACAGUCGCCGGUCCCCACGCCCCCAAACUUCUCAGCCCCCUGUCCCACCUGCAUCAAUCCCUCCCAUACCCUCAUGUUCUUCUCUUGAGCCGGUCCCUACAUCAAACAUGCCACCAGUCACACCCGCACCAUUGGUUUCAUCUACUCCCGAGGAAAGUGCCAUGUCCCAUUCUAUGGUAACUCGAGGCAAAAGUGGUAUUUGCAAACCUAAUCCCAAAUAUACUUAUGUUGCUACUGUUACUAAUGCCUUGGUUGAGCCUACAUGUUUUAGUCAGGCUAAUAAGGAUUUCGAGUGGAGAAAGGCGAUGGUUGACGAAUUCAAUGCUUUACAACAUAAUGGCACUUGGACUUUGGUUCCGUUUCAACCCACUAUGAAUAUUCUUCCUAAUAAGUGGGUAUACAAAAUCAAGCGACGCUCUGAUGGCUCAAUUGAGCGUUACAAGGCACGGUUAGUGGCUAACGGGUUUCAUCAACAAGAGGGUUUAGACUACGGUGAGACAUUUAGUCCCGUUGUCAAUCAUGCGACUAUUCGUUUAAUUCUCUCCAUUGCUAUUAUUUUCAAUUGGCCUCUUCGACAACUUGAUGUCCAAAAUGCAUUCCUUCAUGGUUCUUUGAAUGAAGAGGUCUAUAUGCGGCAACCACCGGGAUUCAUUGAUCCUCAACGUCCAUCUCAUGUGUGCAAAUUGCAACGUUCUUUAUACGGUCUUAAACAAGCUCCUCGUGCUUGGUUUCAAUGUUUUUCCAAUCACUUGGAAAAUUUGGGUUUUGCAUCUUCUCAUGCAGAUUCAUCAUUGUUUACUUUCUUUGAUGGUUCUGUGGUUAUUUACUUGUUAAUUUAUGUGGAUGACAUUCUUAUUACUGGCAAUAGCAUGGACCAUAUCACUCGUUUGAUUCAUCAGUUGGGCACAUUAUUUUCAAUGAAGGAUCUUGGACCGCUUCAUUAUUUCUUAGGUAUGGAGGUUCAUCGUACUAGCACGGGUCUUCAUCUUACUCAGACAAAGUAUAUCACUGAUCUUCUCCAACGCACCAACAUGCUGGAAUGCAAGCCCAUUUCGACCCCAGCCAUUAGUGGCCGACGCCUCAGUCUCUCUGAUGGUGAACCCUUGUCUGAUAUCACCGAGUUUCGUAGCAUUGUGGGUGCCUUGCAGUAUCUCCUCUUCACUCGUCCUGAUAUUGCCUUUGCCGUUAACCAGGUUUGUCAGUUUAUGCAUAAGCCCACAACGACACAUUGGGUUGCGGUUAAACGAAUACUCCGUUAUCUUAAAGCUACUCCAAACCAUGGGAUUGUUUAUCGCUCGAGUUCCCUUCAGCUCACUGCCUAUGCUGAUGCGGACUAUGCUGGUGAUCCGGACGAUCGCCGUUCCACUGGUGGUUACUGUAUAUUCCUUGGUGAUAACCUCAUCUCGUGGAGCUCCAAGAAGCAACGUGGUGUCUCGCGCUCAAGUACAGAAGCUGAAUAUCGUCAGCUUGCCUAUACAGCCGCUGCUCUCUCUUGGUAUCGCACCUUGUUUCGCGAGCUUCAUCUCCCUCUUGCUCCGCCCCGCAUCUGGUGCGACAACAUUAGUGCCAUUUCCGUCGCUUCCAAUCCAGUUUAUCACCAGCGCAUGCGGCAUGUCGAGGUUGACUAUCACUAUGUUCGGGAAAAGGUCACUCGUAAAGAGCUCAUCGUUUGCUAUGUCUCCUCCACGGAUCAGCUGGCUGAUCUCCUUACCAAGGGAUUGUCUGCAGUUCGUUUUGCCUUCUUGCUGUCCAAACUUCCAGUUCGUGCCCUCCCUGUCCGUUUGCGGGGGAGUGAUAAACCGAUUCCAACUCAGUCUAUGCAUACACCAAUAGAAUUCCAGUCUAACAUUGAAUCCCAGUCCAACACGGAAUCCUCACCGCUUGCUGCACCGCUUGCUGCAGAUCGUGUUUUGUCCUGAUUCAACUUCUUGUAAUCCUAGUUCUAUGUAUAUAUGACUUGUACUCCUAUAAAUAUUAAUGCACGCCACUCACUCGAUUAUUGAGUUGAGAUUUUAUAAUUACUGUCUUUCAGUGCUUCCCCUUGUGUUUGGGUGGAGCAGGUGACGGUGCUUGCACUGGUUGUGAAGCUGGUGGCACAAUAACUGGUGCCGGCGCCGAUACUGGGGGUGCUUUUGAUGGUGAGGGCACUGGUGCUACUUUAGCUGGUGCCGGUGCAGGAGUUGCUUUAACAGGAGCUGGGGCUUGAACUGGUGUUGGAGAUGCAGGUGGCGCAGCUACAGGAGGUGGCAAUGUUGGUGUCGAAACAGGUGGUGAUGGCGGCAGAUUCGGUGGCUGUGAUGGAGUUGACACAGGUGGACUUUGGGGUAGCGGGGGUGGGACUGCUGGGCUUUUGGAUGGUGCUACCUUAGGGGAAGGUGAUGCAGGUGUGGUGGUUGGUGGGGUUGCUGGGGUUGCUGCUGCAUUUACAGGCGGUUGUGUUACUGCGGUUGGUGCAGUAGAAGGUGGUGGAGUUGUAGUCGGCAGAGUAGCCGGUGCAGCAGGUGUGGUAGUAGGCGGGGGCGUUGCAGCUGGCAAAGUAGAGGGUGCGGCUGCCGGUGUCUGUGCACCGGUAAGUAUUACUUGAAAGCUGAGGCAACAUAGAACGAAAGCCAGCAAAAUCGAAACCAUUGUUGGAAGACGAAUGCCAGCGAACAGCAUUGGAGGGUUGUCGGUUAUAUAUCAGGUUUGUGAGUAGAGAAAAUUGCAGUUUGGUGAAACAAUUGAAGUGGGGAGAGAUGUAAUUUUCAUGUGAUGGGAACUUCUCUGCUAAUCAUUUGGCGAGCAAAUGUUGUUAAUGAAGUUGAGAAGCUGGCCAAGAAAUUGACAAAAGUCUCGUGGCACAAAUGUCCGCGACGAUUAGAAGAAACGUCUAUUUUUGAUCUUAACAGCAAAGCUUAACUCUGGUAGGAGGUAUCUAUCAGCCCUUUCUGAAAGCAAGGUCCUCAAUCCUCAAUGCAACACCCUUGGUAACACAGGACGUUGCGAUGACAGUACCGUGUCAUGCAAGUUACUCUCCUAUUAAGCACACGAUGACCGUAGGUGUAUUUAUUUGUUUGUUUAUUAUUCAUUUGGUAAUGUCUCACUGUCAAAGGGAGGUAGGAGGCACUGUGAUUAAAACAAAGGAUGGGCAAACAAAGGCCAACAAUAAUCCAACAUGAAUAUCAUGAAUAAAAGCUAUAGUUAAAAUAAAAAAUAAAAAAUAAAGGACACUAUCUAGAACAUCAAAACAAUUUGGGUGUUCCGGUGUAUUAGGUACUUUGGGCGUUUUAACCGUCUUUAGAUCUUUAUUUUUGUAUUUUUAAACAAAGAUCUAACGGUUAAAAUAUCUGAAGGUACUGAAUACUCACCCAAGAAAGUACCCUAGGGCAUUGUCACAUUUACAUGGCCUUGCUUGUAAACGCUAGGCUUCUGCAAGUACUUUUGGCACAUGCGUUUGUUAAAAUCGCAAUUAAAUGUUUAUUAAAAUUUUUGAUAAGUGCUUCUCCAAAAAGUGCUUUUAUAAUUUCCAAGUAUUUUUUCAAAAAAAAUUUGCCGGAUGGUCCCAUAAUCUAUAGUCAUCCCAUUUGACAUCAUGCACGUGACAUAGUCAUAGCUCAUAUUCGGAUCACCAGUGAAAUCUAAUUAUACUGGUUGAUAUAUUUUGGCAAAAUUUUCGGACUAACCGAGAGAAAGACAACUAAAUUUCGCCAAAAUUCGACAUAGAUUUGUACAUUCAUCAAACUAACAGUCUUUGAACUCUUACAAACAGAACAUUAUGUGGAAGAUGCGAUGCAUCUUCGUAAGUAACUUUGAUGGAUGGAGAGAAAUUCGAUGAAGACGCGGGGGCGCCGCUGCCGGGCCUGCUUGCUUUUCCUUCUUCCUUCUCCUCAGCUGGAAGAAUUGCUGCAUUAUAUCUGCACACUCCGAUGCCAACACGCCACGUCUUAUUGUCAUAUUUGGGUGGAAUGGGUGGACAGGAGGAGCUGCUUUGUCCGAGUGUUCCGAGCUAUUUCCUUCACCCCCAUCAGAAAAAAGUCUGCAAGCAUAUUUACAGGUUGAUAAGAUAAGGAGCAAUUGAAUAACAAAACUCGCAUACCUUAUCCAGUUAGGGGUUACUUAGAAGGGCAAAGCUCGCAUACCUUAUCCAGCUGCCAUCAGCUCCGAGAAGCUUAUUUGGAGCUCCCCAUACAACAGUGUCGACUCUUGCUUGGAGUAUUGCUCCAGCACACAUUGGGCACGGUUCAAGUGUUACAUACAGAGUAGUCUCCUGAGACAUCAGAAAACAAGAGUUAAGUCUAAGGUGGGAUGGCCUGGCUUCCUUCAUCGGCAAGUAGUAAGUUGAGUUACAUAUAAACCAAUGUCAACAAAACACUUCCACAGUUAUGAAUAUUGUUAUCAUUGUAUAAAUUUCAUGAUAAAUGUGACUGACAUGGCUUCCACUUUACAACUUAGGGAGUUUUUUAAUAUCCAAUAGAAAUGCAGAUAUUUGAUGUUUAAUGAAAAAAGAAAGACUGCUCUCUAACUUUGCAAUGUCAUCAUGCAGACACAGAAGCCAGAAGGGAAUUUUUAAUGGAGGAAGAAAAGCAUGAUUCCAUGACUAGAAUAUGUCCAUUCAGAUCAUCAAUAUGCAUGUAUAUAUAUUGAAAUGGGUACUAACAACUAAAUAACAGAAAAAUUACCGAAAGCCUCCAUGACCGAAGAACAUUUGAAGCUUCCCGUAUGCAUAUCAUUUCUGCAUGGGCAGUUGAAUCCCGUAAUUCUUCCACUCUGAUACACACAUCAGUUUAAAUAUCCAGAAGAAAGCAUUUAACUAUAAAAUAUAAAUAUAAGCUAAUAGAACUCACAGGUUACAUCCACGUGCAAUAAUCUUCCCUUGUUGUACCAAAACAGCCCCGACAGGUACCUCCCAAUUAUCAGCAGCCUUCUUAGCUUCGAGAAGUGCUUCUCUCAUAAACAUUUCAUCCAUUUUUCUUUGUUCAAUUUCAAGUGUAUGUGCUUCUUCCCAUUCGUCAAAUCUGUCUCUGAGGACUUGCGUACUCCUCUGAAUCUUUCUUUGUUUCAAUUCCCCACCCGUUUGCACAUUGUCUGAUACUCCUUCAUUCAACUUCUGACAGCCAAAUUGGUCCAUGCGCUCCGUUGAACCACUUCCAGAGACAAUGUUACCGGCAUUUGAAAUUUCUUCUACAACAGCAGGCUUUACGCCACUAGCAGUUAGUGGUUGAGAUGGCUCCACUUUUUCAAUGCCAGAAGAAGAACCUCGAAAACUCUUUUGAUUCUCUUUUGAACCCAAAGAUCUCUCACUAGAAGAUGUGGAAAUGACUUUUGAUGUCAGCCCACUUUCUUCUUUAUUAGGAGAAGGCGGUGUGCCUGCUUCAAGAUAUCUUACUUUGUCCUUUGAUCUCAAUUUUCCACUUUGAGGAAAUGAUUUAGACAGUUGCAGCUGAUGUUGCACGUCUUUUUCCCUUUUUGUGUUCUUUUCAUUGUUGUCCUCGGUCUCAUGGCCAGAAAACCAUGCCUCACUACUUGCAGAUUCAUUUGACGAAAUCCUUCCACCCAACUUCACAGCAGAAUGAGGGGUCUCAGCAUGCGAACUCCACCUCAGCCUAACAAUAUCUGCAACAAUGUUCCAUAUGGAUCUGCCAGUUCUCUUGACAACGGCAUCCCCACUUGUUGUAGUAGCCUCUGAUUUUUCUAACUUGGGGGUUUUAAGAACAGAUGUGUCUGUCACAUCCCACAUUUCAUCUGCAGGCCCCUUGGUUCCAGAACCUACAGAUGAACGCCUCGUGUCAUUUCCCUUCGUCUGAGAGUCUUCAGACCUAUUUUGACUAAAAUCCAUUUGCCCAUUCUUCUCACCUCCAGGCACCAAUUUUGCUUCAGAAACUGUAUUUGCAUCCUUAUUUUUGGAAGUUGAGACUUCAUGUCGUGCUCUAUCAGAGAACUCCCCAACAAACUGUGAAGAUGACUUCUCCAAACGGUGGGCUGAGUCCAAAGCAUCUUCAGGAUUAACGAGGUAUAAAAUCUCCCCUUGAGUCUGAGUGUUUCCAUUUCCGCUACUUGAGACAGUAUUCUCGUUCUGGUUUUCAGAAGUUGAGACUUCAUGCCUUACUUUCUGAACAAAACCCCUGACAAACUGUGAAGAUGAUUUCUCCAAAUGAUAAGUUGAACCCAGAGCAUCUUCAGGAAUGAGGUAUAAAAUCUCCCCCUGAGUCUCGGAGUUUCCACUUCCACAGGAUGAUUCUUGGUGCAACGCAGAAGUUUGUUUUCCUGAAUGAGUACGCAAGGCAGGCGAACCACCAUCUAGAAUUUCUUCAGAAACUCCCUGAGUUGCCGUCCCACUUGAUGACUCGAUGCGCAGCGAUCCUCUAGCUAUCAAUUGAGAAGGGGGAGGCAGCAGAAUUGCCCGUGGGCUUCUCUUAUGCCCCUCAACAUUAUCCGGUUGCUUUGUAGCUUGGGAAACCACAUCCAAAGAUGCUUGGAAACUAGAGGCUUCUCCCGAGUCACCUUGGGCCUCUUUUCUGGGUUUAACUUGUAUGCGCUUUUCAUCAGCGGUUCCUUUUCCGGAUAGAUUUCUCUGAAAAGCCUCCUCUUCUAUUUUGGGACAUGGCUGUGAUGACUCUCCACUUGGAUUAGGGACCAAGUUUGACUGCCCUACCUGGUUUGUAAUUCUAGUUUCAGGCUGAGCAAUGUUGGCCCUUUCAAUACUACUGUCACAAGUUUCUGAUACUUCAGUGAUUUGUGGGGACUUUCUUCCCGAGUCAACGAGUCCAAUGACCUGCUGGCCUAUUUCUUGGCGUUGCGCGUCUGUCUCAUUUGCUGAAUUCGACAACAUAUUUGCUUUUUCUUCCUGAUAAAUCCUUCUUAUAUCAGUCUCCCUCCACCUAUCAGAGAUCCUUUGAACAUCAACAACUCGAAUUUGUGAGAUUUUUGAAAUCUUUUGGUGGUCUCUGUUUAACUCUUCUUGUUGACCGAUGUAUCCAGCUGUGUCAUAACAUUCCUCUUGUCUUUCCUGCACCAAGUUUGUAGCUAUCGCUAGGUUUUCCUGGGACAAGAAAGUUGUUUCAACCUCACUUCCAUGGAUUUCUGAUUCAUUGCGCUCUUGAAAUUUUCUUCUAGAAUCAGUCACACCAACCCCAACAACUUGGUUACCUAUUUGACUAUAUUGUUCUCUUGUUCCCUUAGUCAAAUAUGAACUCUCUCCCUCAUCAUCAAAUUGCUUGCGGGAUCCAGAGGCCUCUCCUAACUCACUUUGAUUGGUCUUCGACACUCUUGAAGGCAUUUCUGAGGAUUUCCCACCAGCCUCAGUUUCUUCAGCUACUACCUCUGUAAGCUUCUUUUCUGUCUUCUUCCUCCAAUCCCACAUGACACCACCAUCAACUACAGCACUUCUUUGUUUUGUUGUUUUUCCUUUGCCCUCGGAAUCGUCUCUAUACUUCCUGUUAUCUUCAAUGACCUGCCCAUCAAAUCUACCUCCAAUAUCAAAUUUUGAAUCCUCGUACACACUUGAAGCUGAUUCCCCAAAGAGGCCAUGCUUAUCCUGAGCAUCUGCCUCACUUCCGAAAUCGCCUGAAGAUGACAAAGAGUAAUAAGACGAACUAGAACCUACUUUCAUUCCACUACGAUUCUCACCACUCAAAAUCAUUCCCCUCUCUUCUUUCUGUCUGAAAUCCCCUUCACUCAAAUCAACAGUGGCUGAUCCAAAUUGGCGCUUCAAAUUACUCUCCAAAGUACUCCCCCUAACAUUACUUUUCUUCUUCCUACUGUUACACUCACUACUAUUGUCUUGUUCGAUAUCCACUUGUACGCCCUUAGACGAACUCCCAUUUUUUUCUCUACCAUCAACACUCCGCCUCUCCACUUCUACUCUCUUAGACAAACCGCCAUUUCUCUCUCUACCACUAAAACUCCUCCUACUCUCAUCUUCUCCUCUCUUGGAUGAACCGACAUUUCUCUCUCUACCAAUCGAUAUCCUCCUACUCUCCUCUUCUGCUCUCUUAGAUGAACUCUCAUGUCUCUCUCUACCAAUCAAACUCGUCCUCUCCUGUUCCAUUCUCUUCGACGAACUAGCUUUUCUCUCUCUACCGAUCAAACUCCUCCUACUCUCCUCUUCUACUCUCUUAGAUGAACUGACAAUUCUCCCUCGGCCACUCAAACUUCUCCUCCACCUCCACUCUCUUAAACGAAACCCCAUUCCCCCCUCUCCAAAAACACUCCUCACCCACUUCCUCCUCACUCAACAAGCUGAGCAUAGCCUCAGCAUCAUCGAGAUCACCCGAAUCAUAAACUCCACCCUCUCCCUCCCCAUCAACCACACAACUACACCUCCCCUUCCUUCUCCUCCCCCUCCUAUCACACACACUCCUCUCCCUAACUGAGCAAGGGAGCUCACAGCAACCCCACUCAGGCCUACAUUCCUGAACACGAUAACCACACCGGUCCACGCCACCCAAAACCAACCUUCUAGAAGCUGACCAUUGAAGCAAUGUGGAUUGCCUCAAACCAUACAAGUAACACGGGUUUAUGCGCACUCUACCGAUUGAAAAUUCACAACAAUUACAACAACAACACGAUUUGGAUGAUGAACAAUGAAUUGGGUUUAUUGGGUUCCCUUCAAAUCUUUCAUUCAACAAGUAAGAGUAAUCAUUGAAGGAAUAGGACAAGGAGCCUUGGCUUCUCACAGAAUAUAAACUUGAGCUAAAAUAUGUGUUCUGCAUAUCGACCAGGAGAGAGAGAGAGAGAGAGAGAGAGAGAGAGAGAGAGAGAGAGAGAGGAGGAGGAGGAAGCUUACCUUCGAAUUGAGAAGUGGGUUUUGGAGGGUUCGUGAGAGCGAAGCUCCGAGUGAAGGAAAGGUGUGGUUUUUGGGUGGAUCAAAAUCCAGAUUGCUAAGCUGGAAAAUGAACGAGAGCAGAACAGAGCCACCUAGGAGAGCGAUUCACAGUUGAGUUGACUCGUUGGGUACAAUAUUUUCUGGACCGGAAUUGGAUGGAAGGUUAGUGUGGGUUUUUAGUGGGCUUAAUGCUUGGUGGACACUAAGUUACCAACAAAUGAACCCAAUUUCUUGUUCAUUGGGCUCAUUAAUUUUCAGUUUUUAUGACCGUAAUUCAAUUUGCAGGAAGACCCCGUAUCCAAGUCAAAAAGUCCUUCCGAAUAUCUUCUCGAGGCAUCCAACUAACUUUAUCAACAACAAAAUCAUAUUAAUUUGUCUCUGUUUAUGUAAUAUCUAAGAAGUUUUAUGUGAGUUCUUUUAUAACGACUGACUUUGCAGACAACCGGCAUAAAAAUGCAAACUUUUCGUUACCAGUAUUUCGGUGGUGUUACGAUGACAUUGGAGUCGAAAUCUUCAAACUUGCAAACGCAAAAUUAUAUGGAUCCGACCAAGUUAAUUUUGCUUAUCGCAAGUAUGAAGAUAACUUGAGUUGAGGGGAGGGUGGGAAGAUAACUAUUUUUUUCAAAAAGGGAUUAGUUGUGGUUUCGUCAUUACAGUUUACUUUUUCAGGAAUCGGGAAGAUUCAAAGAGGUUUUUUAGUCUUCCAUAACUACCAUCGUGUGAUUCAUAUGCAUCAAGAAUUAAAAACAAAACAUGCUGUAUGAAAUACAAACAUGAAAUUUGUUUCUAAUCACCAAAUCGCCUCAUAAUGGAUAUAACUAAUUAACUACCAAUAAUCUAUUAUCAUCUAUUUCAAUCAAUCAAUCAGUAACGAAAGAAAGGAUAAAUAAAAAUUAAUAAAAAAAAUAAUGACCAACAUAAUAUUUAAUCGUAAUAUGAAAGCAACUUUCUACUUACUACUUUGGCUUGCUUCCCCCAUUUGUAUAAUUUACUGACCCCCAUAAACAAUCCCAAACAAGCAACUGAGCUGAACAAGUGCAUAAUUAACCAGCUCCACCAAUUAUUUUCCAUCCAUUAAUGUCAACUCUCCCCCUUACGUUACAUGACAUAAAUAUUUUUAUACAAUAUGAUUAUUUAAAUCGUGCUUGAGCCAAUGUUGUAACAUGUAUAAAAAAAAAUUGGACAAUACUAGAAUGAUUAAAUUUAGAAACGAAAUUUGCAAAACUAAAUGAUGUGUCACUAAUAAGAAUGAACACGUUUAUUAACGAUUAAGUAAUAAUUCAAUUAUCAACUUUCAUAUAAUUUAAUUUACAAAAUCUUGUCUACAAAUUUAGCAUUACUCAAAAAGAUUUAUAAGAUAAAAUAAAAUAAACUUGGCCUCUAGGGUUUCUACACUUGUUCAAAUUCAAGAGUGCCCAUUUACGGAAGUUGCCAUAUUUGUCCAUGCAUGGUUGGUGGAUGUGUAACGCCACAAAAGACCUUCUGCCUUGGAUGAUGUUUGGUAGGUCACCUUAAUCCUUAUGAAAGUCCUUCGAUCAAACUAAUGGAACUCCACUUCAACAACAAAAAAAUUUCUACCCGUGAAUUUGGAUGGAUAUUGUUCCUGAUAUUGACACUUUCAUGAUUUCAUUCUAGACGUAAUACAGGUUAUAGUAUAUUUCGAAAUUUUAACUGUUACAUCUUUAUUUUUUUGUCAAAUAUACAAGGAUCAACAUAUAAAGAUUAAAAUUUUUAAAAUAUAAAAUUAUAAUCCGAAGCACUAGAGAGUUUUCGGGGUUAUACAUGGGAUUGGAAGAGUGAUACAUUUUCUUUUACCAGCAUGUCCUUCAAAUUUGGAUGGUGUAUAGUCAGUUGUCAUCCGAAAUUUUUACUCAAUCUUAAUUAACAUCAUUUGCACAACAAUUAACCCGUAAACCUAAUGAAACAUAACACUUUAUUUAUCCUUAUUUAGGACAAAACAUAUAGGUAUCACCGAGUUCAAAUUGAACUUACUUUUAAGAGAUUCUGAAUAGAGCAUGUCUUGAGCGAUUUGAUUUAGGAAAAUAAAUUGAAUUAGUUGGUUUUGUUUUCUUCUGUCAAUCCAAGCCUUCUAAAAAGUCUUCCCUUCCAGACAUCCAAGCGUGGCACGAAAGGUUGCCAAACCACACAUAGCAUGACAUAACAACAUCAGCUCGACAAGCACGCCACAUUAGAAAUCGAGCUGCUUCUAUUUUCACAUGCAAGUCGCGUCCACUUUGUUCCACAUUCCACACAAGGGAAUAUUAACUAAUUAGCAUAAUCUCAAGUAUAAUAAAUGGAAAAUUUGUAGUAUCUUUCAGGCUAUUUUGUAUAUUGAAAUUUCUUAUCUUUGAUAAAAAAUUUAAGAAACUUUAACUAAAAGCGUCUGGUACUGUUCAUUUUAACGAAAAACUAUAUUUUUACAUUAAAAAUCAAUCCUGAUACUAUUCAUUUUACCAUUUAUUUUAUCUUUACUGUUAAAACUCAAAGCUUUCAAACCAUUUUCAUUAGUUUUCCUUUUAACGGUAAAAAAUUUGAAGUAUAAAAUAAACUGAAAACUAAUUAAAAUAGUUUGAAAACUUUGAGUUUUAACGAUAAAAACAAAAUAAAGGAUAAAAUGAAUAAUACCAGAAUUGACUUUUUAGUUUUAAAAUAUAAUUUUUCAUUAAAGUAAACAGUACAAAGAACUUUUCGUUAAAAUCUCCUAAAAUAAAUUAGAACAUAAUAGAAUUUCUGUAGGAUGAAUCAAAUUAACAUGUAUAUACAACAUUAUUACGUAUGCACAUACGUCAAGAAUAGACUUACCGAUUAUUAAAUAAGAUUGAUUGAGAAGACCAAUAGAAUUUAUAUGUGUGCAUUUAUAAAUUGUAUGAUUGAUUGAGAAGACCGAUAGAAUUUAAAAUACAUGUGCACAUUAUAUUUAUAUAAGUUGGUGGAAAAAGCAAAAGAACCCAUAACCCACACAGCUGUAUAAUAUUACACGACUAGCAGCCAACUGACGAGUGAUUUUUCAGUGUUUUAGAAAGAUGGUUCAAUAUAUUAAGUGUAAUAAUAUAAUAAUAUAAUAAUUUAGAAAUUUAAAAAAAAAUUAUAAUUAAUUGUAUUAUUACACUUAACAUACCAAAUUUUAUUUUCGGCACAUUGAGAUAUUUCUCCUAACUCACCAUUCCAUCAAAAACCGCAUGGCCCUUCGUUCCCUGGCUAACUCACUUUAAUACAACCUAAUUAACUAGUAGUUGAAUUAUUCAAACCCAGAACCCUAGCUAGCUCACAACUCCUGCACGUUACAUUUCUUGAAGCUUAUGUUAUGAAAUAAUCGUGAAUAUUCCACUACGACCAGUACUAGGCAUAUAUGAAGCUUCCGUUCCGAGUUCCGAAACGCGGUUAAUAUAAAACCGAGACCUCCCAAGUAGUCAAUCUUUUUUGUAUGCAAUAAAAAAAACUCAGACCUUUCCAUAUCCAAGUCAUGCGUGACCAUGAGAAUAAAGGUCGAGUUAUAACUUCUAUAUGGUGCUUGACUUUGAUGCCAAGGAUCUAGUAUCUACAUUGAAAAAAUAGAUCUUGACCUAUGUUGAUGCACAAAACUGGAAAUCUUAUAACAACGUAAAUCCUACCGUGAAUUUGCAAGAAAGUAAAUAACACAAGAUGUAUCAUGGUUCACCCCAAGGUUUGGGCUAUGUCCACACUGAUUAUUGUAUUUCUCUGAGAUGUGAGGGGAGUGAGAGAGAGAGCUUCUGAGAGUGAGAGAACUCUUCCCAUGGCCUAAGAAAAUGGUCUCCUCUAAUUGUGAGGGUGAGGAGUCUUUUAAUAGAAUAAGGGCUCCUCACUUAUUACAUAUUUGCCCCUUCUUUUAUUACAUAAUUACAUUUGAGUCCCCCGAGUAUUUAUACGAGGUCUAAAUACGGAGGUCCUAAGUAUGGUAUAAACAGUAGUCCCCAAGUCUUUAGUCAAUAGAGUCUUUUGGCUAGAGACAUGAAAUUGAAUUCAUGUAUAGGCCGAAGUGGCGGUUGUUUGGAAGCGGUAUUUGUAUACCCUGCACUAAAGCUUUGUAGGUGGAGCUUUGCAAGUGAAGCUUUGAAGCUAGAGCUCUGUAAAUGAAGCUUUCGAAGCUGGAGCUCUGUAAAUAAAGCUUUUGAAGCUAGAGCUCUGUAAAUGAAGCUUUUGAAGCUAUAACUUUGUAAAUGAAGUUUUUGAAGCUGAUUGACAUGAGUGAUGCUCAUGAAUGUUUUUGUUGAUUGACAUGAGUGAUGCUCAUGGAUGUUGACAUGAGUGAUGCUCAUGAAUGUUGACAUGAGUGAUGUUCAUGAAUGUUGACAUGAAUGAUGGUCAUGAAUGUUUAUGUAUGAUUGACAUGAGUGAUGCUCAUAAAAUGUUUAUGUAUGAUUGACAUGAGUGAUGCUCAUGUAUAAUUUAAAGUACUAGGCGUACUUUUGAUCACCUGGCGAUAAUAGUGGCGGGGUGCCGAAUAAUUUUUGUAGUACUGGGCGUACUUUUGGUCACCUAGUUGGUGAUAAUAGCGGCAGGGUGCCGAAUAAUUUUUUGUAGUACUAUACGUACUUUUGGUCACCUGGUUGGUGAUAAUAGAAGGCCUGACUCUUUUGGGCAUACGGGCCUUCGCCCUCCACAUUACAUCCCAUUAUUUUAGGCUUGCGUGUUUUUUUUUUUUAUUACCCUCUGAUGGGGUUUAUACAUAUGUUUCCGAGAAAUAAGAAAAAUAAAUUACAUCAUGCAAAAAUAAGGAAAGUAAAUCACAUCAUUCUGGUAGGGUGUUUAUUCCUUGCUUUUGUAGUGUUGCCAUGUGCUCUCGCAGAGGAAAGCCUCCAUUUUGCUUUCUGCUUUUUCUCGGUUUUUUCUGCAUUUACUUUCGCUUUUGUUUCCCAUUCCAUUUCACAACUCAAGUAGAUAUAUCCUCAUGUUCUGGGCCUUUAGAAAUGAUUUCACAUGGCUACCACCCAAUAAUCCAUUUUGCUUUUCUCGCGGCUUUCUCAAAAAAUGGGAGGAAUAUGCAUGAUGAAACUUGCUUUCCAGAAAGCUCAAUGCUCUCUGCAUGAUGAAACUUCAUUUUCCAGAAAACUCAGUGCUUUCCAGAAAGCUUAGUGCACUCUGCAGCUCAGUGUUUCUUGGUGAAAAGGUUGCGGAGGGCACUAUAGUCAUUAUGAAAUGUUGGAGUUGGAUGUACCUGGUAAGGAGGUUGCGGAGGGCGUGGCGUUGGCCGGAGUGAUGAGUGAUUUUGCAAAUGUCUAAAUGCUGGAAACAAACUUGACAUAUAAACCGAAUCUCUUUCGUUAAUUGAAGCAGAGACAUUAGAAGUGUUUGUGUUGUUAGUAUUAUUGGCUUCAACAACUUCAUCUCUGAACCUGUUGUCUUGCCCAAGAAAAACCCACCCUGCUCCAAGUUCAAACUCAACGGCAUACCCAGCCUCUUCCCAACUCCUCAUUCUCUGUACCCAGCAACACCACCCUAUGACCCAACAGAACCCAGCUGUAGCGCCAUGGGCAUAGAUAAAACGAAAAGAUGCAUCCUCUGCUGCAGUUGCAUGCCUUGUUGGCUGCCUUGGAAACGAAAGGAUUGUUGGUCGAGUAAACGGUCGAAUUUCGAGCCCAUUAAAAACUCGAAUAUGGUGGGCGGAAGGGGAUGAAGCCUCGACCCGGUAGCGUCGUUGUAGUAGAGUUCGAAUGAGUUGGAAUCGGUAUUGGUUUCAAUGCUGCGUAGAACGAUGACUGGGUUAAAAGGUGACGACCGGUCACCUGAUGCUCGUCGGACCCGGCGAGAGGACAAAGUCAGGUUUUGACCCGGUUCAUCAUAGUGGCAGUGGGAUGACGAGAAUCUACGACGGAGAUAGUUCGGCUGCGGCAGCGGCUGGGGCAUCGUCUCGAUCUCCUCGAGGAAGCCGGUUUUGUAGUGGGGGCACGAGAAGGCGGAGUCCAAGGCAAACACUCGGACGAAGCGAGUGCAUCUGUAUCACCAAUACGACGUCGUCGGUGGCAGCGAUGGUAUGGCCAUGGAGGUUUAGAGAUCUGAAAGGGAAGAGAGAAAAAAAGUUCUAGAGAAAGAGCCUCGUCGACAAACUGUUUAUGCAGCAGCGCCAGCAUCCUUUCCCUUCUUCCUCCGGAGCUUCUUCAUGUAAAACUCAAGUUCUUUACCCUCCAAGAUGUAUCAUCAUAUCUACCACAUUGGCCUGGAUGGGAAGGUAUGCAAGCCAGCAAUCUCCCACCUCCAAACUCCUUUUUCAAUAUGGGGGUCUAAAGUGCGACCUUACUGGCGUUUCUCAAGUUUCCUAGCAACAUGAUUACUCUUCUUUGCUUCCUUUAUCUCUGUGACCCAGUUAGAUUGUAGUCAGAUCUACGGUGGUUGUUCACGAUGCUUCGUUUGUGGUGACAGGCAUGGAGGAGGACGCCGUGAGGAGGAAGACCAUGUCUAUUAGGCACAGAGUUGGUGGUGGCGGUGAGUGACAUUGGCUUGUAAUUUUGGGCUCUCUCCAGAGGUUACUUACCGGAUAACAUGGGCUGCGGUGGCUCCAAGGUCGAUGGCUUGCCGUUAGUCACGCUUUGCAGGGAGCGAAAUGACUUCAUCAAAAAAACGUUGGACCAGCGCUACACUCUUACCGCAGACCACCUCUCUCUCUGCUUUGUGUGUAUCGUUUCUCUCUCUAGAGAGUAGAGAGAUGGUGGAGUUUUGAGAGUUAUCCUGAUGUGGUGGAAGAACAAAGAACGUGCACUGAGGUUUUGAGAUCUUGGGUUUUUGUAGAUUCACGGUGGAGGUGAAAAAAUGAAAGAGAACCGACAUAGUUUUUCGUGUCGAUUCCCACAGACGGCGCCAAAUGUUGAUGCACAAAACCGGAGGUCUUGGAACAACGUAAAUCCGACCGUGAAUCUGUAAGAAAGUAAAUAACACAAGAUGUAUCGUGGUUCACCCCAAGGUUUGGGCUACGUCCACACUGAUUAUUGUAUUUCUCUGAGAGAUGAGGGGAGUGAGGGAGAGAGCUUCUGAGAGUGAGAGAACUCUUCCCAUGGCUUAAGAAAAUGGCAUCCUCUAAUUGUGAGGGUGAUGAGUCCUUUUAUAGAAUAAGGGCUCCUCACUUAUUAUAUUUGCCCCUUCUUUUAUUACAUAAUUACAUUUGAGUCACCCGAGUAUUUAUACGAGGUCUAAAUACGGAAGCCCUAAGUAUGGUAUAAACAACCUAGUAUACAAGUUUUGGAGAGAAUUUUUCAAUGUGCUCAAAACAUGGGAUAAUACAUCACGUGUCACUGUACAAGUAGUGAGAUAUUUGUGUAAUAACUCAAAAAAUAGAACUUUUCUCCACUUAUAUAAUAACACGUGGUGUACCACUCGUGAAAUUGGUACCAAGUGGAAUACCCUACAAUAAAAAUUUAGAAGCAACUAUACUAACUAGUCAGAUGAACUAUUCAACUAAGUACAGGUUGUUAGAUAUCCACAAGCAUAUAAACCAAGUAAACUGAUACUGUUAAAGCAAGACAAAUGAUCUCCAUUUAUUGUUGUAGCUUUUGUUCUUGAGUUAAGUUUACUUAGUUAACAAAGUGUUAAUACUAGCACACCCUACAAAGUUUAUCUCUAACAACGAUUAUUUGGACAUAAAGGUAACUUUGCAAAGUAUUGACACACAAGAAAGUUUUUGGCCAGAAAAAACCCACCUAUGGGUAGAAAACCGGGGACUCUUCACUGAGUCCAAUCCACUAGUGUAAACAAGGUUCAUACAAAGACCACACAAACUCUGUUGAUGCACAAAAUCGACGAGGACUUUGGUACAACAGAAAGUGUCAAGUUUGUGGCCUUCGCUAGGUUGCUCCGGUCACUAGUGUGGAUAAGUAUGUAAAUGGAUAAAGACAGGGAAGCAAACACAAGAUGUAUGUGGUUCACCCAGAUUGGUUACGUCCACAGAGUAGAAAAGCUCUCAUUAAUUGUGAAGGGUUUACAUAAGUACAUAGGUUCAAGCUCUCUUUUAGUGAGUACUAGUGAAUGAUUUAGUACUAAUGACAUUAUGAAAUAUUGUGGAAGAAUGAUCUCCUUUUAUAGAAGAGAGUUUCUAGCUUUGUUCUGACAUUGACACGUGUCGUGUUGUGAUUGGCUUCUGAUGUUGACACGUGUCGCGCUAUGAUUAGCUUCUGAUGUCGACACGUGUCGCGCUGUGAUUGGCCUCUUGGUUGGAGGGAAACUCUUCUGGGUCCUUGACGGUAUAACGUUGACCGGUGCUCGGUAGUUUCGGGAUUGGUCAAGUAUGGUACAAACAAACUUAAUUCUUAGAUCCCUAUCUAUAAAACAACUUUACCUUUGUGCAACCUUGCCUUACACGAGACAGAUUCAUUCGAUCUUCACAAAGUGUCAGCUUCUCCUGAGCUCAUCACUUUGUGGCUUCGAGAUCAACACGAUCAAUGAAAUGAUGUGAUGUUAUGAUGUGCUCAUGAAAUAAGGAUUCAAUGACUAGUCAGGUUCUAUAGUCAAACAGUUAAAGAAUAACCUAACAUGAAUCUGAAUGCUUAGUCUAAGAAAGAUAUGAAACAUUGAACAUUAGACUAAGAACUUAAUGCAAAACCAUGAAUACAAUGCAACCCUAAUAUGCAAUGAUUGGGUAUUUGUGCAUGAGAUGGUUUUGUGACUAAAGUUUCAGUUUGGAAGCUUAAGAAGUAGCUCUAGGCUAAAUGCAUUCUUUUAUUGAACAUGUGAAAAUCCUAACCAAAUAACAAAUAAGACCUUGGAAACCCUUUUAAUGGAAGCUGGAUGUUUUAAACUCGAGGGACAACGAGACACAUGUCAUAAGCCAAAGAGACCUUCCCAGAUCAAGGGUGAGAGAUCCAUGCACGGAAGGUGUCAGUUGGCCCAUAUGGGCUUUCUUAAUUUGCGUGCCAAACAGCUGCAAAACAAACGAAAAUUCUGACUAGACAACUACACUAGACGAAAGGAAUCUGGAAAAAUAAGUUUGACAUGCAUAUGCAAAUGUAUGUGUUGACCCUAAAAACUACCAAACCUACAUGGCAUGCAGGUCGAGUAAUCAAUAAGCUAACUACGACGUCAUUCGGUUGUGUGUAGGGAGUGCUAACUCGUCUGCCGAGCUCGGCCGGGGAGUAAAAUGUGUUGAUGUCGUGUUGGGCGCGCUGCUGACUUCUUGAUCUUGCAAUUGCGACCGAGGAAUGAACACGUCUUGGCCUUCGGGUUCUAGAGCCUGAAAACAAGGCUGCUAGUUCUACGAAGUUCAAUAUUAAAUUCAGCUUUUAAUGUGCCGAAUGUAGUAACUUGUAACAUCUCACUUCGUCGAGAAGGCUAAUGAGAUGACCUCUACCAAUAAGGACUCGAAAAUCCUUCUCUACCGAGACUUGGAUAGAUAACCAGUCGGCCUCGAUGUAGUACUAUUUAUCCAAACUGAAGGUGUUAUGCGGUCAGCAGAUUCUACGGUAACAGUGCUAUUUAUCCAAAUUGAAGAUGUUCACCGAUUGCCUUCACAUUGCUGUUUAUGAAGAUGUGUUGGCGGAAAAGGAAAAUAAAAAAUAUCAAGGUUAUUGAGAGGUUUCGCGUAGAGCGAGAGUUUGCACAGGGCAGUUUGUGUGUUGAAUUUGAGAGAGCCUCGAAUGAUGCACAAUGUUUUGUAUUUAUAGCAACGAACCUGCUUCUGGCCGAACUAGAGAUAUACUCGGAUUAGGACUCCUCAACCCAAUCCGAUUAAACUUCGACCAAUCCUAAUCUCAAUAGGAUUCUAAACCAAACCUUCAAACAAUCCAAGUUCAUCUCCUAAUCCCAAGUACUUUAGCUUUGAGACUCUUUAUUAUACCAGGAUUCGACUACUUCACCUUUAUUCAAAAUAAUCCUCUUUGUAGCAGGAUUCGGCCAACCUUGAUAGGACUGACCCAUGACAAGACUUUAAAUAAACACCAUUGGGCCGAGAAUUACUCUGGGCUCGGCCCAAAGUAACAUUUUGGAUCCAAACAGUAUGAUACAAACCCUUUUGUAGUGAAGAUGACCGGUGCUUUGACAGGAUCAAUCCCCAGUAGUAAUUCCAGAUUAGCAUUGCACUCUAACUCUAAACUAUGAACAUGUAUGGUAGCAAUUAUAAGAUUUAACAAGGGAAGCCAAACAAUAAACCUAAGACUUAACAACCCGUAUUCCAUGCACAAUAAAUCAAUUUCUCCUAGUUUUAGGGUAUAUUAAUAAAUAAAAAGUUUAUUUGAGUAGAAUGACAAUGCAUGCGACAUACUAAAAACGAGAAAAAUCGUAGACGAAGCCUUCCACGCGUUAAAUAUGCAUAUGAAUUUUCUUCUUCCUUGUGUGGGAACACAUGUACAUGAAAUCUGAUCAUAAAAGGUCACGUAAUUGGGGUUUAUUUUUCUAUUUAUCUUUAUUAAAAUCCAAUUUAAAGAAUUAUGAAUUCUUCUUAUUAAACUAGGUAGCGUUUAUUGGCAAUCUUUUUAUUUUUUUUUUUAAUUUUUAAUGAAUUAAAAUAGAUUCAAGUAUUUGUUUAAUUUUAUUAUAUAGGUAAUCUUAGGAAUGACACUUGGAUUUUUUCUAAAAAGACAAGAAUGCCUCAUUAAAUAGGCAUGACUUACAAAUAUUCCCUCGCGCAUGAGUUUAAUAUUGGAGGCUUGAGCAACAAAUUACGACACCACCAAACUUUCUGUCCUAGUAAGAGAGAAAAGUCAAAGGCAUUAAAUAUAAGAAUUGUAUCUUUAAUACUCUCUUAAUUGAAGACCAACCAACACAAGUGAGGAAUCCUCACCACACUCAAUCAUACUACCAUCAUCAUCCGAAGAUGUUAGCUCAUAAUUAAUAUCUUUGAGAUUAUUCUUUCCUUAUUCAUCUACGAAUAACUCACCUUGCUAAUGGAAAGCCGCCACGUGUAGGGCAAAAUCCUACAGCUAGAACCACCACCUUCCUAUAAAUACCCCAUGUCAACCAAUUUUUGGUAAGCUUUUGAUACGCAUACAAACCCAAAACACUAAUUCUUUUAAGAUAAACUGACUUACAUCGGAGGUCCAUUCCCAACCUCCCACCUUGUGGAUGCGUGAGGCUUUGGCCUUGAUCAAAUGUGUUACUUUGUUUCAUAGGUAUAAUUUUGUCGAGACCGAAGAUAACUGAAUUUUACUACCACAUGUCCAUCAUUAUAUAUAUAUUUUUUAUAUUUUAAUGUAAGUAACAUUAUUACUCUAAACAAUACAAUAAAAGGGAGUAAUUUAAAUUCAAAAUAUAUGUUAAAAAUAAAAACUUUAUUUACCAUGACAGUUACAAUUCCAAUUAAGGCACUAUAAUUUAUGUGGGGUUACAUUAAUCAAGUGGGUGGGAUAUUCUAAGGAUAUAUAAUAUUGAUGUAUUUGUCUUAAUUUACAUGUUUUUUCUUUCUAUUCUUUUGUAAAUUUGGAUCUAUUUGUACUAGUCGUUGCCCAAUGCUUCUGCAGCAGCCACUCUUGCACAAGUCGCCAAAACGUGUCACUAUAUAAUUCAGCGGGUCAUGUAAGCAAAUGAUACAUCAAUUGGAAGCUUUCGCUCUUCACAUGUCAUCCACUUAACACAUAUUAAUCCACACGUUGAUUGGUCAAAGCAGAUAAUUGGAUCUUAAAAUUGCUUUCCAAUCGGGUUCAGAUAAUAGCUGUUAGGAACUGACCAUUUCAAGAUAACGCAAUAUUUGGAACAUUAUUUGAGCAGCUCUAUUUUAAAGUGAACGAUAGCAAUUUUAUUAACGUGAAUGAAGGCAUCCUUGAUCACGUAAGGGCUCCUCAAAUUAACAAGAAUUAAAAUUAGGCUAAUUUGGCCAAUCUAUACUCCAUAACAUUGACGUUUUUACAAAUAUGACAUACACGGACAUCUCCGAAGUUCUGCAAAAGAGACUUGAUAUCCUCCACAAUCAAACCCAAUGGAGUAGAACACAUCUGCAUGCUGCCCAGGUUCUGAAGUUGAAUAACUUGAAGAGCAUCAUUCUCAAGGACCACUUACGGAAACUUACUGCCAAAAGAUUGCUGCGCAGCAUCAGGAGCUGCGAGAAACUCAGCAGUCGAAGGGCUAGUCACAUCCGGUAUUUUACGAACGAAACUUCUAGCAUAGUUACCGGCUUCGUCGGAAAAAACCAUACAACUCUCCCAAAAUUAGUUUUAGAACAAAAUGAUCCGUCCACAUUGAUCCUUUUCGUUUAUUUUAUGAGAGAUUUUAUUUUCUAUUGCUAUAGCGAGCAACUUUCAAUGAAUUUGGAGCAUGAUCACAAUGCAUUAUAUCUACAUAGAUUUGUUUUUCAUAAAUCUACGUCGACAGAAGAGGACAUAUAAAAAAUAAUACGUAGAACAAUACAUCAUGUAAUUUACUGUUUAUCUACAAUAAUUUAUCCAAACCAAUCCAGUACCAUCCAUUACACACAAAUAUAUGUGUAGUAGGUUGCUUUCACUUUAAUAUUCAAUUUCUUAUAUUCAUGGUUGUUGGAGGGACAAGGAAAUGGAUGGAUAUGUUUGUACAAACUUUUUGGCCCUAUUGUAAUGUGAUUAAUUAAUUUCUGUCCAAUUUGUCGAAUAUAUGCUCUUGUUAUAUUUAUGGAGCCCAUGCAUGUUAGUAUUUAUCCUAAAUCCUAAUAGUUUUUAUUUUAUUGGAUCUCAACAAAACUCUGAAGUUAAACGAGUUUAUGUGAAAGUAAAUACUGAAAUAGGUGAUCUCUUAGGUCAUCGUGUUGCAAUCUUCACCCUAAACCCUAAUAGUUGGAGCAUGUAAAAUGGAAAGGAGGACUGUCUCUUUUUUUAAAAAUUUUUUUUUGGGUAAGGGUUAAAAGAACAUAGUGCUUAACUCCUUAGGGCCAAUGCUGGACCACCAUCCCCCUAAUGACGAUUCACAAAUGACAAUUCCAAUGAAACAAGACACAAUGCAUGCUACAAUUUUCUUAUGAAAUGGCACAAGCUAAUUGGUCAAUAACCUUAGUGAACAAUAAUAUAUGAAGAGAUUUUUUUAGUGUGUUUGGAAUAAGGACACAUACAUUAAAUUUUAUUAUACAAGUAGAGAGAUCCAUCAUAUAUAUAUAUAUAUAUUGUGUGUGGAUAUACAUAUAUACUGAUUGAAGACUUGAAAUGAUAUGGUCCUAUCCUAUUGGAUGAAUGAACUGAUGAAAGUGAUUUUGUGACGGCAAUUUUUUUUAGUUUUUUGCUUACCAAAACGGUGUCUUCUUUCACGGGCUCGACGGCUUCUUUUGCCUCUUUCCCAAUUCAUGCGUGCAUGUAAUACUAAUCACAUGUUAUACAUAUUCUGAGCCGGCCACCUGCUGCCCGUGCUACGUUUACGUACCAUUUUGGUUUUUGGUGGGUAAAUAUUCCAUCUGCACGGCCACCUUAAUUAACACACGCGUCCAUAGAUACAGACGAAGUUGAAAAUAUUAAAUUAUUCCUAAUUUUUUUUUGUAACGGAUCAUAGUAGAUUGUAUGCACUCAAACAAAACAAUGUUACGUCACUACAAUUGAACUAUCUGAAAUUAAGUAUUUGUAAAAUAUCAAUCUAAUUCUUAUGUUGAAGGGUGAGAUGACGAUUGAUAUGAUUCACUUGAAGUUCCUCAAUGAUCUUGAGGCUCCUUGUGUAAUUUCAUCGUUACGAUAAUCAUGCAAUGGAGCGGUGCACGCAGUGGUCUCUUUCAUUACUAAACAUAGGGGACAUUUUUGUUGGGACCAAAUAGCAAACUACAAAGCAUGCAGCAGACACGAAACGAGUCCGACAGACUUCAACAAUUUCAUCUAUGAGAGCUGGUUAAAUUUCAGUUAACCAAUUGAUCUGUCAUAAUAUUAUUCUCUCUGUAAAUGUGUUUCAACUCACAUCUCCUUAGUUGUCUCAUAAUUAAUCUGCAACUAUGCAUAAUUAUCUAAAAAAGAUGGAAAUUGUCAACUUAGAUUUGUUUCAACAACAUAACAAUAGCCAUGGAGUCCAUCUUUUUAUUUUAUUUUUUUUUUCGGAGAAAAGGUGGCAUCCAACUCAGUUCUUCUUGAUAGGCCAUUUCCCAAAUACUAUCAAUAUUAUUACCAUAUAUGUCGACGUGGAUAGAUGUAUCAAUAUUUGAUUUACCUUUUUUAUUUACCAUUCCAUAUUCCUUAAUUAAUUAUGAAUUGCUUUGGUUAAUUCCCUCUAUAUGACUCCCUAGAUUUACCAAAAUAUAUUCUAAAAUAAACUAUUCAAGAUCCUUUACUCCUUUUGGUUUAAACUUUAAAAAAUACAAGUGUUUCAUGGCACUUGGAACAAAAGUUUUUUUUUCCUCUUUUAUUUUGAAUUGACAAAGAAAAGGGUAAAUGAAUACUUAGGAAGAUUUGGAAAGAGAUUCCAAAAAAAUAUAGAGCAUUUGUAGCUAAUGAAAAACUUGAAAUAAAAUCGAACACAAUAACAUUAUAAAAUUCAUAUAACUGAUCUCACUUAAUGAGACGAACCCUUUUGUUGUUGUUUGUUGUAUUUUGAGUUGACGAAGAAAAAGCUUUUGUUUUUGGUCUUUGAACCAGACAAAAGUGCCAAACGUUUUAAAAGUACAAAAACAAUACAAAAAAACAUUUGAAGCAAAUAAAAAGACAAGAAAAGGUGCAUCAUGUGAUGUUAGUGCUUUGGUGUAAGAGUGUUUGACCCGCCGCGCCCAUCCCGUUUGAUUUCCCUAAUUUUAAAUUUAAAAAAAAUAAUUCCUUAAUUUUAAUUUGUAUUUGUCUUAAAUUUGUUUCCAACCAAUUAAGAAAAACCAUGAAAAAUUAAACCGAUAAAAAAAGAAAGUUACUCUGAAAUAAAAAAAAUGAACUUUAACAAAAAGCAUCUGGUACUGUUUACUUUAACGAAAAAUCACAUUUUUACACUAAAAAGUCAAUCAUGUACUAUUCACUUUACUCUUUAUUUUGUCCUUAUCAUUAAAACUCAAAGUUUUCAAGAUCUUUUCAUUAGUUUUCCUAUAAAAAAAACCCUAAUUUUCCAGUAAUCUCCUUGAAACACUUUUCCAGUUUCCCCUCUCUCUCCUCCUCCCUCUGAUUAAUGAAUUAGUCAUCCGCUAAUUAAUCAUUACAUCAGAAGAUUAAUGCAAAUCAUUUCGAGGACUUUUCUAAUCAAGUUCCAGAGAGAGAGAGAGAGGGACUAGAAGGAGAAGACCAUUUCACGCAUAAAACAGUCACCACCAUUGACGAGGAGCUCCCCCCUUAACUUUCCCGCGAAACUGAACUUACCCGGAAAAUUCCAAUUCGGUAAAUCCAUUUCAAACAUUCCUCCCUAUUCUUCGUUUUGUUUUUUUCUGGGCAAGCAGCUGAGUCUUUGGAAUCAAUUUUCAAAUUUAAAAAAAAAGAAAAGAAAAACCGAAGGCAAAUGCGCGUCCUUGACAUUAGUCAAAAUGCGAGAUCCGAACCAAGUCUCCGUUCAAAGCUGCAAUUUUUAGAGAAAAUUCAAAUACCCGAAUAUUGUUCAUAUAAAACCAAUCUUUCCCAACCCUUAUUUCUGAAUAUUUGUGGGUUUGGAUUUGUUGGUUUCUUCUGUUGAGAGAAAAAGUUUACAACUUUGGGUGUGCAGAUUAGAGAGCUGGGUGUGCAGAAGGGGAAAAAGCAGGGUGCUUAUAAGUAAGCCUUUUCUGGUUUUGUUUUUUUACCUUUCAGGUUGUAAAAAUUCUUUGUUUUUAUUUGUUCUUUUUCUCUGUUGGAUACCGAAUUUGUUUAUUUUUUGUGUACUGGGGUUCUGAGCUUUCUGCCUGAGAAAGUUUUAUUUAUUUUCUGGGAUUUUCCCCCACUUUUGGGUCUCUGUGUUUAAUAUUUGUGAAUUUUUGGGGGGUUGUGGAACUGGGUUCUUGCUGUGGGUGUCUUUUUUUUAAGAAAGAAGCUGUUUUUUUUUUUUCACUGAGGAAUUGCUUUUCAAGAAGCAGCUGCAGAAGUUGUUACCUCUUAUUUUCACUAGGAUACAUAUUCAAAACUGCUUUUGGAUUUUAUUCCAUUUGAAGAAGUUGCAUUAAUUAGUGAGGGUUUGGAAUUCAAAAGCAGCUUUUUAGCCUUGUAAGUUGGGUUUGUGUUGGUUGGAGCUUGUGGUAGAGUGAGAGGGAAUUAGAGAGAGAAAAUGAGGGGUGGAGGCAGAAGGAGAAAGCUGCAUUUCAGCAAGAUCUAUUCUUUCACUUGUGGUAAAUCUUCUAUGAGAGAUGAACAUUCACAAAUCGGGGGACCAGGAUUUUCCAGAGUGGUUUACUGCAACGAACCGGAAUCUUUCGAGGCUCAGAUGCAAAAUUACGGAGACAAUUAUGUUAGAAGUACAAAGUAUACACUCGCUACUUUCUUGCCAAAAUCUUUGUUUGAGCAGUUCAGAAGGGUGGCCAACUUCUACUUCUUAGUCACUGGCAUUUUGUCCUUCACAGCUCUGGCUCCAUAUAGCGCUGUCAGCGCGAUCAUCCCUCUUAUUAUUGUGAUUAGCGCGACCAUGGUGAAAGAGGGUAUCGAAGAUUGGCAUCGAAAACAACAGGUACUGGUUUUUCUUUCUUCAGCCUGGCUCUAUAUUUUGGUUGUUUUUCUUUCCUUGUCCCUUAAAAUUUCACUGACUUAAAUUAGUAGUUGAGGAUUUUUAACUGUUGAAUUUUACUAUAACUAUCUUGGGAGUUAGAAUUGAUGAGGAAAUUUAUUGAAUGAAAGUUUUCCGAGGCUUGGAGGAUAAUCAAACUAGAUUUUUUUACUUCCUUGAAGAUAUACUCGAUCUGAAUUAGUUGACUGUGCCAUGUAUCUUACCUGCUUUAUAGUUUACAUAUCAUUUUCUGGUUCUGGUAUACUGUCAACCGCGGCUAUAUAAUCUCACAAGUGCGAUGAUUUUCCAGGAUAUUGAGGUGAACAAUCGAAAGGUUAAAGUACGUGAUGGUAAUGGGGCUUUCAAUUAUACUGCGUGGAGAAAUCUGAGAGUGGGAGAUAUAGUGAAGGUAGAAAAGGACGAAUUCUUUCCGACAGACCUCCUCUUGCUCUCAUCCAGUUUUGACGAUGCAAUUUGCUAUGUUGAGACCAUGAACCUUGAUGGGGAGACAAAUUUAAAGUUAAAACAAGGGUUGGAAGUAACUUUAUCCUUGCGGGAGGAUUCUAACUUCAACGAUUUUAACGCCAUUGUUAAAUGUGAAGACCCGAAUGCAAAUUUGUACUCAUUUGUUGGAACUAUGGAGUUCGACAAUGAACAAUUUCCCGUCUCUCCUCAACAGCUUCUCCUGAGAGACUCUAAACUCAGAAAUACAGACUACGUAUAUGGAGCUGUUAUCUUCACUGGUCCUGACACAAAGGUUAUUCAAAAUUCUACCGCCCCUCCUUCAAAAAGAAGCAGAGUUGAGAAGAAGAUGGAUAAAAUUAUCUACUUCUUGUUCUGUGUUAUAUUUUUAAUGGCAUUUGUUGGGUCCAUUUUCUUUGGGAUUGCAACGAAAGAUGACCUAAACAAAGGGAUCAUGAAAAGGUGGUAUCUCAGGCCAGAUAAUUCUAGAAUUUUCUUUGAUGCUAAAAGAGCUCCGUAUGCAGCAAUUUACCACUUUUUGACUGCCCUAAUGUUGUAUGGCAACUUUAUCCCCAUCUCCUUGUAUGUGUCCAUAGAAAUUGUCAAAGUUCUUCAGAGCAUCUUCAUCAAUCGAGAUGUUCACAUGUACUAUGAGGAGGCUGACAAACCAGCACACGCCCGUACCUCAAACUUGAACGAGGAACUUGGCCAAGUCGACACAAUUCUCUCUGAUAAGACGGGAACUUUGACCUGCAAUUCAAUGGAGUUCAUUAAGUGUUCUGUGGCCGGGACAGCUUAUGGCCGCGGCUUUACUGAAGUUGAGAGGGCUAUGGGUCGACGAAAUGGUUCACCAUUGGUUCAUCAACUAAGUGGAGGGGACAAUCUCAAGGACUCUACUGAAACAAAGGCACCCAUCAAAGGCUUUAAUUUUAAAGACAAAAGGGUCAUGAAUGGAAACUGGGUUAAUGAGCCUAAUGCAGAAUACAUCCAGAAGUUUUUCAGUUUAUUAGCAAUCUGUCAUACAGCAAUUCCGGAAGUUGAUAAAGCUACUGGGAAUGUUUCAUAUGAGGCUGAAUCUCCUGAUGAAGCAGCAUUUGUGAUUGCAGCAAGAGAACUUGGUUUUGAAUUCUACAAAAGAACGCAAACAACCAUAUCACUGCGAGAGUUGGAUCCAGUGUCUGGCAAGAAAGUUGAGAGGUUCGUAUAUUGCAUUGUUUUUCUGAUUAUUAGGACUUUUAUAUCUGUGCUGGUACUCUUAGUAAGUACUGUAGAGAGUAUACUCAUUGAGUGAUGUCGUUUUUGCAGGACGUAUAGCCUUCUCAAUGUUUUAGAGUUUAACAGCACAAGGAAGCGAAUGUCUGUGAUUGUCAGAAGUGAGGAAGGAAAAAUAUUAUUACUUUCCAAAGGUGCCGACAAGUAAGUGCUUGCUGCCUUAAACUUGAAUCUCUUCUUACUUCUUACUGCAAAUUUAAAACUGUUCUUCUAACCAGCAUAACUUCUUUUCUGUUCAGUGUUAUGCUUGAAAGGCUUGCCAAAAAUGGUUCGGGUUUUGAAGAAGAGACCAUGGAUCAUCUAAAUGAGUAUGCUGAUGCAGGGCUGAGGACCUUGAUACUUGCCUAUCGUGUACUUGAGGAAGACGAAUACAAAGAGUUCAAUCAAAAUUUUAUCAAGGCCAAGAAUUCAAUUAGUGCAGAUCGUGAAACAGUGAUCGAUGAAGUAACAGAAAAGAUUGAGAGAGAUCUAAUUCUUCUUGGUGCAACUGCUGUUGAGGACAAACUACAAAAUGGGGUAUGUAGUCAUAUAUUGAUGGGGUAACAUGGAAGUUUCUUUAUAGACGAUAUCAGAUUUUGAAUUAAUGUUCUUUCUUUCUUUUUUGGUUAGGUUCCUGACUGCAUUGACAAGCUUGCCCAAGCAGGAAUUAAGAUUUGGGUUUUGACUGGAGAUAAGAUGGAGACUGCCAUCAAUAUUGGGUUUGCAUGUAGCUUGCUUAGACAAGGAAUGAAGCAAAUUGUAAUCACUUUGGAGUCUCCGGAGAUUAAAGCGUUGGAAAAGGCAGGAGAAAAGGAGGCCAUCGCCAAGGUAAAACUAUAUGCAUAUAGUUGAAUUUGUUUGUGUAUUGAAAACGGAAUCUGUAGCUUAAUACUCAAGGAAGUAAAACAGUUUACUUCAACAAUAUAAUAGUACCUUAGUAAUGAUGCUGAUACAAUAUUUGCUGAUUCAUCAUUAGGCAUCAAAAGGAAGUGUUCUCGAUCAGAUAAAUAGGGGAAAGGCUCAGCUUAUAGCAUCGAGCGGGAACUCUGAGGCAUUUGCAUUGAUCAUUGAUGGAAAAUCGCUUGCUUACGCUUUGGAGGAUGAUACAAAGAAUUUGUUUUUAAAUCUUGCAAUUGGCUGUGCAUCUGUUAUUUGCUGCCGUUCAUCACCUAAACAGAAGGCACUGGUAUGUUUACAAAUUAUAACAUAAGGAUUUUUUUCUUUUUCAUUUUUGUUCUUACAUCAUGCUCAGAAAAGAAUUAAUUUGUUUUCAAUGGUGAAAUGUAAAAUAGGUCACUAGACUGGUAAAAUCUGGAACUGGGAAAACAACACUAGCAAUCGGUGAUGGAGCCAAUGACGUGGGCAUGCUCCAAGAAGCAGAUAUCGGGGUUGGAAUUAGUGGUGUUGAAGGAAUGCAGGUAUUGUACAGAUUCUUCCACUUGUUUUACCGAAAUUAAUUAUUGUUUCACUGUAUUUUCCUCUAAACUUUUAUUCUCAUGAACUUAUCAUGCUUAUUUUUUCACAGGCGGUCAUGUCAAGUGAUAUUGCGAUUGCACAAUUUCGAUACUUGGAGCGUCUCCUGCUUGUGCACGGGCAUUGGUGUUACAGGAGGAUCUCAUCAAUGGUAUGCAUGUCAUAUACUAUGAAACAAACUUGAGACUUCAGAAUCUUCGACAAUGUGGCAAAAAAAAUUUAAAUUAUCACAGGCUAAAACUCGUGUGUGCAAAUUUCUCCUUGCAGAUUUGCUACUUCUUCUACAAGAACAUCGCAUUUGGUUUCACUCUCUUCUUAUAUGAGGCAAACACAUCCUUCUCUGGACAGCCUGCAUACAACGACUGGUUUUUGUCUCUUUAUAACGUAUUCUUCUCAUCACUUCCGGUGGUUGCUAUGGGAGUUCUCGACCAGGAUGUAUCUGCGCGGUUUUAUCUCAAGGUAAGCUCACUGGGUUACAUGUGAAAUUCCGUUCGGAUUAACAUGCUUAAUUUCAAGCCUUGUUUUGAAACUUUUGGCAUUAAUUGUUUAUCCUGUUUUGUGUGGCAGUUUCCUCUAUUAUACCAAGAAGGGGUGCAAAAUGUUCUCUUCAGCUGGCGUAGAAUAUUCGGAUGGAUGUUGAAUGGGUUUACAACUGCCGUGAUUAUUUUCUUCUUCUGCACGGAAGCGCUAAAUCAGCAGGCCUUCAACAAUGAGGGCAAAACUGCCGGAAGGGAUAUUCUCGGGGCAACGAUGUACACGUGCACAGUUUGGGUUGUGAACUUGCAGAUGGCACUUGCCAUCAGUUACUUCACCUUAAUACAGCACCUCUUCAUCUGGGGUUCAAUUGCACUAUGGUACCUCUUCCUCUUGGCGUACGGCGCCAUGUCACCCUCAGUCUCCACCACUGCCUACAAAAUCUUCAUUGAAGCCCUGGCCCCCGCCCCUUCGUUCUGGCUCCUCACAAUCUUCGUGCCAAUCGCCGCUCUAAUCCCAUACUUCACAUGCUCAGCCGUUCAAAUGCGGUUCUUCCCAAUGUACCAUAGAAUGAUACAGUGGAUACGCUACGAGGGCACAUCAAAUGAUCCCGAAUUUUGUGACAUGGUGCGGCAGAGAUCUUUGCGGCCGCAGACUGUUGGUUUCACGGCGCGAUUAGCAGCGAGGGCCAACCGUGUAAAAGACAGACAUCGUAACCGUAGAUAAGCUUUGUAAGUUUGUUCUUUGGUAUAGUAGGUCUCAAAGGAUACAGCUUCAGUCUCUCCCAAGUUUAGAAAAACGCUGCGUUUUGUACAUCGAUGGGUUGCACAUAUGUUAUACAACAAGAUUUUUUGGUUCAAUUUGUUCCUAGGAGUGGGCCCCUGUAGCCAGAUGACUCUGUACAGAAGCAGUUUUCAGCUCCGUUAGAAUUAGAGAUUGUAAAUUUUGAGUCAUUGGCCAAUGUAUGUGAUACAUAGUGAAAUAAUAUAUUGCAGGGUUCAGUACUUGUGUUUUCUUCUUGAAUUUCUGUUCUUUUUCUCGUGAGUUCUCCCUUUUCCUUUUCGCGAUAACAAAAAUGAAACCUAAAAACUGAAACGAAAUGGUUAUGAAACGAGGUAUUAAUUAUUUAACAACAAAUUGUUUGUGAAUCGAAGACUUACUGAUGUUCUGGUUAGACUAUGAGAUUAUGAGAUAGAAGCUUAUGGUAAAAGAGGUAGAGGAAGACCCUAAUUUCUACGAGAGCAUCUCAUUAUUGUGAAAAAAAAACACAAUAAAUCAUAAAAUUAAAGAGGAGGGCUUGAUCAUAACUAUAUUUGAUAAUUAAUUCGUAACUCUUUAAUUUACAUGAACAUCCUUUAUAUUUCUGCUAACUAUUAAUUGGCGUUGGACCUCUUAUUACUCGUAACGUGUGAUAUUCUUUUUGUUUGCUAAAAAGAAAGUGAUUCACUAUAUAUGCAUGGUGUGUGUGAGUUAGUUAAGAGCUAAUAGGUGUGUAAACACGAAUAUUCUGUAGCGAAUGAAACGAGAACACGUGUACAAAGUAGAUUCGUAAGGCUACAAUCUUUGCUUACAAUUUUCCUCUGAUUCAGUCUUCAAAUGUGAUGUAGAUGCGUAAGUUGUUGAUCCAAGGGUCGUGAUGACUUGAUCUCGGACGAAAUAUUGAACGAUUGCUUUAAGUUUUGAGCUUGAAACGAUGCGUAGAUGAUCUUCACCUCAAGGUGCGGCAAAGAUGGUGUUGAUGCGGGAUUUUGUUGAUUCAAGGGUUUUGACGACUUGAUCUUGAAUCAAACGUUGUUACAAGUUUUGAGCUUGUAACAAAGUCUUGAAGGAAUCGGCACAAGUGCUUAUUGAUUCUUCAAGUGAAUGCUUCGGCUUUGGUUGUACGUUCUUCGAAAAGAGCUUUGGUAGCGUAUUAGUCUUCAAGGAUUUGUGCAGAGGUUCUUCUGGAUGUAGGAGUUUCGACCCUUAUGUUGUCUUGGCUCCUUGUAUUUAUAAACUUCCAAAGCCAUGCGUUUGGGUGGAUUUGGCUUUGAUUUGUGUCUUGAUUCGUCCAUAGGAGAAUUUAGGCAUGUUUUGUGUCCAGUUUCAGCCACUUUACCCUAUCUUGGCUGAAUUCUAGAGGGCUUGUUACCUAUUUUGUAAGCAAUCUUCACUUCUUGCUUGUUUUAUGAAGAUGGUUUAGCUUUCUUUCCGGUUUUGGGAGUAAUUUGGACCCCUUGCCGAUUUUGAAGGAGAUUUCCUCCCCUUUGCCGAAUUUUGGGAAGUUUUUGUGCUUCCUUUGCUUGAUUUGUGCCACAUGUCAUUGAUGACUUGUCCAUUUGUGAUGAGUCAUAUGUCAUAUGGAGUUUUGUGAUGCAUUAUUUGUAUACAACAAAAUUAACAUGUCUACAAGGUGAAUUUAUAUAGAAGAGCAUUUAUAUACCUGCUGCUUGAUGUGGAAUUUUGCUUUCUUUUUUUUUUUUUAGCAAUAACAUGUACAAUCUUGGAUUUUAUUACAACGAAAGUAGAUCAAGUUUCAGAGUGAAAUUUAUCAUUGAUUUUAUAGUUUUAUUGGUGUGAAUUAUCCUGCACUCACACCAUGAUGUCUUUGCUAAUGAGUAGUCUACAAGGUCCUUUCGUCCGAAAGAGCUUCAGAAGCUAGGCAGUUACAGCAUUCGUUGAGUACUUCCAUGUGCCUCCUUGUGCUGGGAUUUUGUUAGGCUCGUAUCCCAGGUGUGUAUUUUAUCUUCAUAUGUUUCAUAGUUUUAUUUAGUUUUGAUAUAUAAUCAACUAGAAACACAUUCAGUUGGACGAAUUCCGCAUUGUGACAUACAUGACAUUGGAUUUCACUGGUUGGACACUGUAAAAUUUUGAGUGAAAAUCAAUUAGGGGAACUAUAUACUGGUAGAGAUGUGCAUAUUAAUCCUGCCUAAAGUAAAAUUUAGAAAUCUGGCAUGGUGAAAAUCCAAUAGAGAAUAUGAGAAACCCAACUUAAUUUUAAGAAUUUGUUUUGGUGCCUACUGUGAAUGUAACUAUAUCUAUGAAAUUGUAUACAGAAAUUCUAGAGAGAGAUAACAAUUCAGAGAGAAGAGAGAGAGAAUGAAUGUUCUUGAUAUAUUUCUUAAUCACCAAGUAAUACAAGAGGUUGAGAUAUUUAUACACUUCUAACAACAAGGCUAACUGCCUUAACUAACACAUCUUCUAAUCUAAUUACACAUGUCAUCAUCCUAUACAUCAAUUUCUAUAUUCUAUCACCCUCCCGCAAACUCAGGCUGGGAGGCACGAAGCAUGAGAUUGGAAUAGUGAAUAUGAAAUAAAGGAGAACUCAAGCCUUUAGUCAGAAUGUCAGCAAACUGCUAUUUGGAUGACAAAAACUGCACAGAGAGGUGCUUUUUUUGCCACUCGUUCCCGCACAAAAUGAACAUCAAUCUCAAUGUGUUUAGUGCGUUGAUGUUGAAAGGGAUUAAAAGACAAAGCAAUGGCAGACAGAUUAUCACAAAACAACACAGGUGGAGAGAAUAAAGGAACCUGCAAGAAGACUAAGAGUUGCUGGAUCCAGUCCAAUUCUGCAGAUGUGGAUGACAGGGCACGAUAUUCAGCCUCUGUAGAAGACCGGGAUACUAUCAGUUGCUUCUUGGAUGACCAGGAAAUAGGACUAUUCCCUAAAAACAUAACCAAGCCAGUAAUCGACUGUCGGUCAUUAGGAUCCCCUGCCCAGUCAGCAUCACUGAAGGCCUUUAAUUGAAGCGAGCCUCGAGAAUAACCGAUGCCAUGACUAAGGGUUCCUUUUAAGUACCGCAAGAUUCGUUUGACUGCUGUAAAGUGAGCAACCAUAGGGGAUUGCAUGAACUGAGCCACUUGAUGGAUAGAGAAUGCUAUAUCCGGCCUUGUAAACGUAAGGUACUGCAAAGCACCUACCACACUUCUGUACAAAGUAGGAUUGGUAUAUGGAUCACCAUCAUCCUUGAGAAGCCUGUUAUACGGCAAACAAGGAGUGUCACAAGGUUUGGCAUCGAGCAUCUCUGUUUUGGUGAGAAGAUCCAACACAUAUUUCGAUUGAGACAAGAAUAAACCAGUGGGAGUCCGUGAAAUUUGAAUGCCAAGGAAAUAAUGCAAAUCCCCUAAAUCCUUGAUGUCAAACUCAGUGUGUAAAACAGUAAUAACCUGUUGUAUGGAUGUAGAUGCACUCCCUGUGAUGAUAAUAUCAUCCACAUAGAGUAGAAGAAUGACAAUCCCAGAAUCAACCGUUUUGACAAACAAAGAGGAAUCCGAAUAGGUGGUUUGAAACCCCAAAUGAGGCAGGAAUUUGGUGAAUCUAUCAUUCCAAGCUCGGGGAGCUUGCUUGAGUCCAUAUAGGGAUUUCUGCAGUUUGCAAACUAGGUGAGGAUGAUGAACAUCUUCAAACCCAGAAGGCUGAGCCAUGUACACUUCGUCUUCUAAAAUGCCAUGUAAAAAAGCAUUUUUGACAUCGAGUUGUCGAAGGGACCAACCAAACUGAGCUGCAAGAGCUAAUACUAAUCGAACAGUGGUAGGUUUAACCACAGGACUGAACGUUUCCCCAUAGUCAAUUCUAGGUUCUUGACUGAACCCUUUAGCUACUAAUCUAGCUUUAUGUCGGGCAAUAGUACCAUCAGAAUGUCUCUUGAUCUUGAAUAUCCACUUGCACCCCACCAAAUUCUUUGAGGAAGGUAAGACCACCAGAUUCCAGGUACCUUGUGUAUGCAAAGCACUGAUUUCCUCUUGCAUAGCCUUAAACCAAAUCGGAUUCUUCAAGGCAGAUUGUAGGAAGUUGGUUCAAUAAGAGACAAAUCAGUACCCUCAGACUCCUGAACAAUAGCUAAUAAAGCUCUUUUCUUGAUAAUUCCACUCUUGCUCCGAGUUUGCAUAGGAUGUAAAUCGAUUGGUGGAACCUCCAGUACCACUGACAAAGUAUCAGGAUGAAAUUGUACUUCUGGAACUUGAGACUGAGGAGAACCAUUGACAAGUGCCACAAGAGGUUGAGAAGUAGUAGAGGCAGUAAUGGACUGAGAGGAUAGUGGUGAUGAUGAAAUCGGAGAUAGUGAUAUGGUAGGAGAACCAGGCAAAUUGGAGGAGGUAGGAUGUGAUUGUGAUGUUAUGGGGACAUGAGGCAUAGAGACCACAACAUUAUCAGUGGAAACAACAGGUACUGGACUGUGGGUGGUAGAACUAAGGUGGGAUGAGGUAUGAUGGACCAACAAGUCUGUGUAUAGGAAUUGAGACUCAUCAAACACUACAUGCCGUGAUAUGUAUAGUCUUUGUUUAGAAACCUCAUAACAUAUAUACCCUUUAUAGUUGGUAGCAUACCCCAGGAAAAUACACUUGGUGGUUUUUGGUUGCAGCUUAGAGUCAUUAUAAGGCCUUAAUAACGGAUAACAAGCACAACUAAAUGAUCUAAGAUGGGAAAUGACAGGGAGAAGCCCAAACAAUAGUUCAAAUGGAGAAUGAUUGCCUAGGACAGGAGUGGGCAUUCUAUUUAUGAGGUAGAUGGCUGUUUGACAAGCAUAGGACCAAAACAGGGCAAGUAAUCUAGCAGUUUGUAAAAGGGUCACAGUUGUUUCAAUGAUAUGCCUAUGCUUUCUCUCAGCGAGGCCAUUUUGCUCAGGAGUAUAUGGAUAUGAUUUAUGAUGUGUAAUGCCUUUUUCAAGAAGAAAUGACUGAAAUGCUUUACUAACAUACUCUCCCCCUCCAUCACUUUGAAGAGUUUGAAUAGGAGUUGCAAACUGAGUAAUAACAAAGGAAUAGAAUGCAACAAAUUUGGCAAAGACAUCAGAUUUAUUUAUUAAUGGGAAAAUCCAGCAGUAUCGUGUACACUCAUCAAUAAAGGUCACAUAAUACUUGUAACCAUCAAUAGAAACAGAAGGGGCUGGACCCCAAAGGUCACUAUGAACUAUAGCAAAGGGUAUUACAGACUUAUUGGGACUUAGAGGAAAAGGAAGUUUACAAAACUUUCCCUCCAAACAACUAGAACACAGGACAGGUAAGGAUAGUUUGGGACAGGGAAUAUGAGCUUGUUUUAACAUCAAAGAAACAAUAGAAUUGGAUGGAUGACCUAGUCUAUUGUGCCAAGUAGUAGAGUGAAUGUGCUGACCGAGAAGAGCUUUAGCUUGGAACGGUACUGAGGUGGAUCCAUGAGAAGUGGUUGAAAGACAGGGAAUUGGGUAUAGACCAUUACUGCAUACUCCUUUGUAAAUGAUCCUCCUUGUGGCCUUGUCCUGAAUCCAAAAGCAAAAAGCAUCAAAAAUUAGCCAGCAAUUGUUAUCCAAACAGAUCCGAUGCACAGAUAAUAAGUUUUGGGUUAACUUCGGAACAUAUAACACAGAAUUGAGCUUCAUUGGAGGAACAGAAUUAACGUUGGAAAGAUUAAGAACAGUACUGCCAAUAUGAGAUACAGGCAAACCUUCACCAUUGGCAGUUUGGACAAUCUCAGAAGUAGGAUAUGGAGAUGCCAGAGAUAAGUUGCUGAGAUCAGAAGUCAUGUGAUUGGUAGCACCAGAGUCAGUGAGCCACACUUGAGGAUUAAAGUGAGAAUGAGAUGCCACGGAAGGAGACUGAGGCAUCACAGUAUGCAUAGCUUGAGGAGAGAAUUGGUGUCCAUUCAUGGCAGAGUGCUGACUAGAAACAUUGUAACCGGGAGCACCAAAGUUUGAGGAAUGCAGCUGAGACGGAUAAAACUGACUGGGAGCACCAACAAAAUUAGGGCCUUUGUCAUUAUAAAAACAAUACCAUGUGGUGUGAUUGUGCUUGCCACAAAUUUGACAAUUAACUCUGUCAGAAGGUUUAGAACGGCAGAAUGGUGCGGUGUGUCCUUCAGCAUUACAAAGUUGACAGGUUUGCACCAAGGAAACACUUGAAUGGCCAUAAGACUGCACUGGGGAAUGACCAAGGAUGCCCGGAGUCGGUGUUGGUAGCACAUGUGUUUGAGUGGAAAAAGAUGGUUUGGGUGGAUAAGACCGAAACCCUUGAUUAAACUUGCCUUUGCCUUUGUUUCUGUUGCCAUUGAACAGCUUAUAACCACCAGAGAAGAACUGAGACUGACCAGAUGCACCCUUUCCGGAAUGCGAAACAUUAUUUGCAACCAUUGCAGUAAUAAAUGGUGCAGUGGUAGAAUUCUCAACAAUAAUCUCUUCAGCAAGCAACUGAGAUCGAAACUCUUUAAGAGAUAUCACAUUCUCACGACCUCUAAUGACACACCGAAAAGUAUUAUAUUCAGAGGGUAAGCCAUUGAGAGCAAGGAUAACAAUAUCUUCAUCAGCAAAAUGAACUCCAGCAGCAGAUAAGUAAUCCCGAGCCUCUUUUAUCCUAUGAAGAUACUGGGACACUAAAUCAGAACCCUUCUUAAUAGUUUGGAGAUUAGAUUUCAUUUGAAAUAUACUAGUCUUAGACACAGUAGAGAAUUGUUCUUUCAAACGAAUCCAUAUAUCUUGAGAACUCUUACUACCAAUAGCACAAGAUAGAGCAGCAGGCGAAAGGGUAGCAGUUAGCAGUUGCAUAACAGCCUUAUCAUGCAUUUUCCAAAUCAUAAACUCAUCCGUUGCAACAGAAGCAUUAGAGCUAGAGUUCAUACCAGAGGCACCAGAUUGAUCGGAAAAUUGAGGAGGACAGGGAUGUGAGCCAUCAACAAACCCCAUAAUUCCAUUGCUCUCCAACAAGAGUUGUAUCUGAAAGUGCCAAUUAAGAUAGUUGGAGUCAUCCAAUUUGACAUUCACCGAAGUCGAAAUGGAGGAGAUUAGGGCAGUAAUCGGGGAUUGCACAAUUUGAAGUUGCGAUGCAGUUACCAUUGAAAUUGCUUCAGACAAACUCAGUGAGAACUUUUAGCAAACAGGUGGAAUGCACUGACCAAAAAAGCAGAAGAAAUGAUCGACACAGGAAGACGAUCAACCAAGAAACAAGAAAAAAACUAGAAAUCAAGAUUUCGAGAAGACGAAGAGAAUUGAAGAAACCGAAGACAAAUUCCGAGAUCAAAUACACCGUCGAGGCGAGCGGAAGCAGAGACAGAGGAUCGAAGAUCAAGCGCAGGCAACAAAGGCGAGUGAUACCAUGUGAAUGUAACUAUAUCUAUGAAAUUGUAUACAGAAAUUCUAGAGAGAGAUAACAAUUCAGAGAGAAGAGAGAGAGAAUGAAUGUUCUUGAUAUAUUUCUUAAUCACCAAGUAAUACAAGAGGUUGAGAUAUUUAUACACUUCUAACAACAAGGCUAAAUGCCUUAACUAACACAUCUUCUAAUCUAAUUACACAUGUCAUCAUCCUAUACAUCAAUUUCUAUAUUCUAUCACCUACAAAUGAAAUCUGGCAUAGUGAAAGUUUGCGUAGCGAAAUUAUGACAAAUUUUCCUUCAUCUUUAAAUUUUCAUUCAAUUCAUAUGCAAUUUGGUAUGAUUCAAUUCAUAAGUGAUCAAAUUCUAUUUUUUUCUGUCCUUAUUUUGAAUUUCAGUUUAACGUUGUCAUACAAAACGAAGGAGACAUCAUUAACGGAGUUACGGAGUUGGGUUCUUUAGUGAAACAAAACUGGAUUGUUUUAACUUUGUAUAGUAGUAAACAUAAAACAAUCUCUGGGAUAUAGCCAUAGCUUUUGAAAAACAACCCUAAGGAUGGCAUGCCAAUAUUCCCAAUUUUUUCCAUGUAAUAUAUGAACGUAAAUAGCACUUCCUUAACACAUGGAUAUGAUAUAUGUAUAUAAAUAUAAAUACCACUUUGUGGCACAUAUUUUUUUCGAGACUUCUACAUAUUCAUUAGUGUUUUCAAACCCCACAGCAAUGGACAGGUACUCUUUGGUAGUUUUGAACAAAACAUCAUUUUAUGCAAAUCUGUUUUAUCAACUACAUGCUCAAAUUAAGAAUAAGUUGAGAACGUGGCUUUAAGAAAGGAAAAUGAUAAACACAUAUUGUAUUUUUCCUCUUAUAUUCCUAUGUUUUAUCAUGUUUAUUGUUUUUAUUGAUUUAUUCGACUUGUUGAUUAGAAAAGAAGGAUGUGUGAUAGGCUAACUAAAAAAGGUGUGUGUAAUCUAGUUUCCUUGAGAAACCAAGAGAAAUGUAAGAAAGCGAGACACUUCACAGUUUCAUUACACUCUUUGUUAAAAAAGGAAAAUAAAAAGGCUUUUUUGCUAAAAUAGUCCAUGAGAUUUGCAUAAUUUAUUAUUUUGGUUUUUGAGAUUUAAAAUCAAUAGAAAUGGUUUCUGAGAUUGUCCAUCAUCUAUCAUUUUGGUCAUUUUGUGAAAAAACUCUGUUAAGUUGAGAGUAUUUUUGUCAAAUCAAAUUCUCUACUUACUUUUUCACCCUUUUCUCUCAUUUCCCUAAAAAAUGAUCAUAUGUUGCUGAUUUUGACAGUGAAAUCAAAUCUUCACCCAUUAUUAAAAAACUAUUUGACGCCAAAUUCAAGUAAAUCAUUGCAGAUGACCCUUGACUUUUUCCCUUUCAUUAAUUUUUGAUAAAAGCUGCACAAUUUGCACAUUUGAAUAUAAAUGAAAUCUAUGGUUCAAAGUAUAGUAUAUCCACAGACAAGGCUAAUCAAUAGAAUUACCAAAAAGAGAUACCAUGUUCCAUCACAUGAGAUUUCGAACAUGAUUAGCAUUAUAACUUGCAAAAUAUCCCAAAGCAAAACAUUCAAAUGUUCAACAAUUUUACAAUUUUAUAAAUUUUAAAAGCAUGAAUUGACGAAAAUGCCCUGGAGGCGAGGACUUUGAUUUCUGUUGACCGUCGUCUAGAGGAACGUAUGACUUAUUCUUUUGGCGUAUUUGUGUAGUACUCGUUGGUACGAACGCAUAGGCGAAAACUGUUUGAGAAUCCGGAUUAUAACGGUAUGGUCACGGACAUUUGAAUUUGGUUAUUUAUAUUUUGGAUUAUAGAUUAAUUGAACUUCCACCUUGCGGGAGUAAAGCCCAAUCGGAUUUAGGCAAGAUUAAGGAGAACCAAUUGGAAUUAAGUAAGAAAUAAAGGAACCAAUUAGGGGCUUGGUUUCAGCCCAAUCAGUUAUGUUAAAUAAGUGACCAAUCAAAUUUUGAAAAAGAAAAGGGGAAGGACCAAUGAGAAAUCAGGAAGAAAAAAAGAAAAAGAGGAAAGCUCCAUUUCCGUCGGCCCUUUUACCCGCACCCAACCCAAUCGAAUUCUGGCGAUUUUCGCCAUCUUUUUCGUCGAACGUCACCAUCUAACACCUGCCAUCUCUUCCACAACAUUUCUUCUACCAUUUCCACCCAAAUUUGUGAGCUUGUAGGUCCAAAAUCGCGAUAACCGUGUGGAAGAGCCUGAGGUGUUCGAUGGCUAUCCCGCCGUUCCGGCGAGUUCUACCACCCACCAUCACCCUUAAUCAACUUCCCUUGGACCCAGGAACAAGACCCAACCAGUUAUAGGGGCGUUGGAACAUCGGAGAAGUCGAAUCGAAGCACACCCUUUAUAGGGUUCCGACGGGUUUGAGUGAAAUUGGAGCCUUUGGUGGCUAGAUUGAACUUGGCCACAGGUAUAAAUCGAUUCCUCCUUUUGUAGAUGAAUUUUCAUGUUUGGAUCGUGUGAUUUGGUGGAGAAACGAGAAAGUUAUAACAAUUUAAAGUUUGCCCAGUUUCCGGCGACCUCCGCCACUUUCGAGGUGUUUUACGGAAAAAUCACGGCAAGAUAGCCAUCUUGUAAGGUAUCAAUCUCUUCAUAUUGUUGAGACUAUGAUUUUUGUUUUUGAAUCACUUGUUUUCAUUGAGUAUUGACAAAGUUAUGGACGUUGAAAGGGUGCCCAGAAAUUCCGGCGAGUUACCAGUUUUCCCGCGGACAGCCAUCUUUCAGACCAUUUUCCGGCCACCUACGGCCACCAUUUGGACUCCAAGUUGGUAUAAUUUUGUUCUAAAUUUCUCUAGCUUCGAUUUGGUAUAUUAUGGGUUGAAUUUGGUUGAGAAACAAGUGAGAUAUGGAGUUCCAAAAAUUGCCCAGGAAAUCUGCAAAAUCUGCAUAAUCCGGCAAAGUUCCAUUAAGGUCCACCACUUGAUUAGAAUAGUAAUAGACGAUCUGACUGUUGGAUCAUCACCAAACUUUAAUAAAUUAUAGUACGGUAUAUUUGAGGACCAUAGAAACUUACGGAUCAGGAAUCCGACGUACGGAUCUUCCCAAAUUGGAUUUGUAAGUUUAUUAAAUAAAUGUUAACCGCCACUUGGUUUUGGGCAAUUGGCGGAGAUCCGACCGUUGGAUCACAAUGAAAUUUUAGUAUGUUAUUCUAGAAGCAUAAUGUGGAUCUUUGGAAGUUUCGGAUUGAAAAUCUGAAUUUCAGAUCUUCCGGAUUGAGUUAUACAGGGUUGUAGACCCUACCGUCGAUCUUUGAUCGAUGGUUGACUCGUGGUCGAUGAGUCUCAAACUAUUUUAGAAUGUCCUUGAGGAUGUGCUUUAUGUGAAUUUCGUAUUCUAUUGAUAAGAAUUCUGAGAUGUGAUCCGAUAAUUGUUAUAGGCGCCAAUCUUUCGAGACGUCUCGAUGCUCGUGCUAGAUAAUCAUAGCGUGGACUUUAGGUGAGUGGGUCUUUUCCUUUUAUCAUAGGCAUAUAGUUGAUAGUUCCACAAAUGCUUCUAAAUUGAUUUAUGCAUUUUAUGCCAUAUCAUAUAUAUAUAUAUGUAUAUAUAUAUACAGAGAGCUUAAGGGGAGGGAUCCCCAUUUUUUUGAAAAAAAUGGGGACACGCUCCCCACCGUUAGAUUGACUUUAAUGAAAUUGUGUGGUUGAGAUUAAAACAUAGGCUAUACAAUCUCAACCACACAAUUUCAUUAAAGUCAAUCUAACGGUGGGGAGCGUGUCCCCAUUUUUUUCAAAAAAAUGGGGAUCCCUUCCCUUAAGCAAUUCCUAUAUAUAUAUAUAUAUAUAUAUAUAUAUAUACAUGUGUGUGUGUAUAUGUUCUGAAGUGCUAAUAGAUGGUUGAGUUUAGAUUAUGUCAUAGUAUAUCCACAUGCAUGUUAUCUACAAUUAAUUAAUGUGAACUACAAAUGGCUUGAUCCCUGUUUAGGGUAUGUAGGCAGUCUAGUGAGAUGUUAGAUGCAACCAUAUAAUAAAUGAGACUAAAUAAUUGAGACAAUAACAUUGUUUGGGGAAUUGAGCAAUGUGAGUGGGCAUUUGUUCACACACACACAUACACACACACACACACACACAUAUAUAUAUAUAUAUGUUUUAUGGUUUCCAGAAAUGUUUUAAGUUGAGUUAUGCAUUUCAUCCUAUGUCUAAAAUGUGUUAUAUUCUAAGUGUUACAUUGUUUUGAAUUAUGUUAUGCUAAACGACGCUGAGGAGGCGCAAGUAAGUUCAGGUAAGUAUACGGUAUUAGUUGAAUUAAUGGGGUUAUGGUAUGACUACAUUUACGUUUUAAGCAACUCUGACAUUGUCGUACAAGUUGCAAUAGUAGGUAACUCCGGCAUUGUCGUACAGGUUGCCUAUGAGUCGUACAUGUUGUAUUAAAUGCAUUUAAAGCUCAUAAACCCGCACCCCCGUGUUAGUGCUCCUGCUCGUGGCCAGGGCACAAUCUUUCACGUGAUAUUCACCUCUCGCACCAUACGCUCACCUUGAAUCCAAGUUAGGUGCAUAGGCAUGUCGUAUAGACCACUAUAGGUGGUUCCGACUCGUAGGUGACCUGCGAUCACUCGCACAACUUUCACGUAAUUGUAGCACUAGAGCGUAUACAUUCACACCCAGGCAUGUCGUAUAGACCACUACAGAUGGUUCCGACUCGUGUGCAGAUGUAGUGCCAUACAGGUCACUAAAGGUGACUCCGGCUUAUGUGCUAGCAAUGAUUGAUGAGUUAUGAUUUCAGUCGUACAGGUCACUAGAGGUGACUCCGGCUUAUGUGCUAGCAAUGAUUGAUGAGCUAUGAUUUCAGUCGUACAGGUCACUAGAAGCGACUCCGACUUAUAUGCUAACAAUGAUUGAUGAGAUAUGGGUGCAGUCAUACAUGUCACGUUAGGUGACUCCGACUGAUAUUUCAUUUCAUAUUGAUUAAAUUCAUUUGGCCUACUUGUUAAUGCAUUGUGGAAUUGAUGGACAUGGCAUACCCGUGGUUUUGGUCAUUCAUGAGUAUGGUUUGGAUUUACAUACAUAUAGAUAUGUAUAUAUGUAGUAUUGUCUUAUGAAAACAAUACGGGUUUUACAUUGAAGGGCAUUACUUCUAGAAAGGUAAUAACUUUGGGAAGCUUGGUUUUUAUUGCUCACUCACACUCUCUGUUUCGUGCCCUCCAAGUUUUAGCUGCUGAGUUCGUAUCAACGAUGAUUUGUGGCGAAUCUUAGUAUUGAUGGCCACCUCUGAGGGUAUGAUUCAUACCCACAUUACUAUACUUUACUUAUACUCUAACUUCGCGUGUGAAAUGGGUUCGCUCCCACUCACAACGUACUCUGGUAUUUAAACACUUUUAGGUUUAAAUUUAUUCACAUUUUACACAUCAUCACAUUCUAUGGCUUCGUCACCCUCCAGAUGUCGGCCAACACGGCUCAAUUCGGGGUCCUAGUGGACAUUCCGGGUCGGGGUGUGUCAAUAUCCAACUGUUCUAAUUCACAAAAAAAAGAAAAGAAAUGGUUGUAGCUUGUUUUCUUCCAUUUGUGCAUUGACAUCCAAACUACAAACUCCCUCCAUACUCAAGGCUUCCAAGGCUUGCCACUUUUUUAGGGUGAUUUGUAUCUUUUGUUGGUAGAUUCUGAUUGUGGUGACACUACUUGGGAUAUGACACCAAUGCAGUCUUGUACCUGUUAAAGGAAAAGGAUCAUCGCCAUAUCCUUUUCUAAGGAUCCUAGGGAUCCAACAAUCGUGUAUGUUCAUCGUACAUCGUGCGUCAUAAAUCAUUUUAAAAUUUAAAUUUAAAUUCAAAUAUAAAUAGUACCUAACGAAAACUGACCGCACAAUGUACGAUGAACGGACAAGAUUGUAAGAUCUCUAGGAAAAGGAUCCUCCGGAGGAUCCUUUUCCCCUGUUAAAAACCAAAUGAUAAUAGCUUAUGCUUAGUCACCCUAUAAAAUCCAAAUCAUACUGCUUUUAUCACAAUUUACACAAAUUAUUGUUAAAAAAAAGGUAAAGAAUAAACAAUACAAAAACUAAAGGACUCUUGAAUGUACCAUUUAAACUUAUGGAGUGAGUUGUGAGCUAGUUACUACUAUUCUCAUUCCCCUCCCUUUUUCCAUGCCUCUGCCCUGUCCCACGGAAAAUGAUCAUCGCCGGAACCUUUUCCUAAGGAUCCUAGAGAUCCAGCAAUCGUGUCCGUUCAACAUACAUCGUGCGGUCAUAAAUCGUUUUAAAUUUUAAAUUUUAAAUUCAAAUAUAAACAGUACCUAACAAAAACUGACCGCACGAUGUACAAUGAACGAACAAGAUUGUAGGAUCCCUAGGAAAAGGAUCCGGCGAGGAUCCUUUUCCCCUCCCACCUACAUUAUCAACAAAUAUAAUGAACUUCACUUUCAUUAUAAAAAACUACAAUUUAAAAACAAAAAUACAACAUAAAACAUAUUAUACUUCUAGUGUAGAUGUGUUAAUAAUCAAAUGAUUUGGCUCUUGAGUGGCUUGAGUUGCUAUUUUUAAAAUGACCUCAAUGCUCAUGGUCAAUCUUUGUGUUAACAAUGUGUUGUGAGGAAGAUCUCCUCAAGUAACAUAUGAAAUCAAUGGAACCGUGACAUCAUUUCUCAAAAGAGUGUCUCGUCCACAAAGUAAAAAGGAAAACGACUUCGCAAGAUGUUAAGAGAGAUGUAAGAAUGAUGCGGAGUGGUGUUUUUGUUUCCUCCAAGCUCGUCGAGCAAUUGUUAGGAAAGGCCGUAAGAAUGUUUGAUAUAGUGGCGCUCGAUCCAUCAUGAUGACAUGCAUCAUCCUUCACAACAUGAUUGUGGAAUAUAAUUGACUAUUUAUUUCAUAGAUGUUUACGUAGAAUUAUAGGAAAACGCCAACAAUUACUGUCUUAUAUGUUAAAGAAAAAUAGAAUAUGUUAUAAAUUAUGAAAAACUCGUUAAUUUUAUGAAUGCAUUAUGAAUUAUUUGAUUUAUUAGAUCUUGAAUUUUAAUGAACGUUUUUUUCAUUUUCAACAAUUCAUGCCUCUGCCCCUUCCCACCUACAUUAUCAAUCAAUUUAAUGAACUUCACUUUCAUUAUCAAAAACUACAAUUUAAAAACAAAAAUACAAUGUAAAACAGAUUAUUCCUCUAGUGUAGAUGUGUUAACAACCGAAUGAUUUGGCUCUUGAGUGGCUUGAGUUGCUAUUUUUAAAAUGACCUCAAUGCCCAUGGUCAAUCUAUGUGUUCAACAAUGUGCUGUGAGGAAGAUCUCCUCAAGUCACAUAUGAAAUCAAUGGAACUGUGACAUCAUUUCUCAAAAUAGUGACACGUUUAUAAAGUAAAAAGGAAAAUGACUUCGCAAGAUGUUAAGAAGGAUGUGGAGUGGUGUUUUUGUUUCCUCCAAGUUCGUUGAGUAAUUGUUAGGAAGGGCUAUAAGAAUGUUUGAUGCAGUGGCGCUCGAUCCAUCACGAUAACAUGCAUCAUCAUUCACAACAUGAUUAUGGAAGAUAAUUGACUAUUUAUUUCAUAGAGGUUUACAAAGAAUUAUGGGAAAACGCCAACGAUUAUUGUCUUAUUUGUUAAAGAAAAAUAUAAUAUGUUAUAAAUUAUGAAAAACUCGUUAAUUUUAUGAAUGCAUUAUGAAUUAUUUGAUUUAUUAGAUCUUGAAUUUUAACGAACAUUUUUCGUUUUCAACAAUUCAUGAAAGAACGAAUUGAGAAAAAAAAAACCUGUGAAUAUAUUGGCAACAAGAAAAUACCUUAUGAUAAUCAAUAUAGGCCCCCACCAUCAAUUAAUGAUGGUGUUCUUCAACUAAUUAUUACACUAGAUGAUGAAAAUGUUAUUAAAUGCAAACCAAUAUUGUAUUAUUUACACCUAAUAAUUGAAAAAAGAAUUGCAAAAAAUCAAAUAAUUGUGCAAUAUUUAUCUUAUGUAACACGGUCAUUAGUGUGUUUGCAGUCGUGUGACUUGACUCAUGAGUGUCAUCAGUUGGUAUUGACUGACUUGUAAAGCCUCAAUUUCCACAAGUUCUUUUUGUGUGGCCUUCAAGUCUACAUUGAUAACAUGUGAAAGGAAAGGUCUUUGCGAAUGACAAAGAUUGUCGAUAUUGACUGACUUGUAAAGCCUCAAUUUCCACAAGUUCUUUUUGUGUGGCCUUCAAGUCUACAUUGAUAACAUGCGAAAGGAAAGGUCUUUGUGAAUGACAAGGAUUGUCUACCCUCCAAUUUCUAGUGCCCUCUCGUGCCCUCCUGUUUUGUGUGAUUAUGGUUAAGUCACGUCAAUAUUUUAUAUAUAUUUUUUUAUAGAGAUAAUAAGACAAAAUUGAAUAGUACUAUAAAAUGUUGACGUAGUUUAACCGUGACCACACAAACAGAAAAGCAUGGGAGGACAUCGAAAGUGAAAGGGCAGACAAUCCUUGUCCCUUUGCGAAACCCAUUUCCUAGCCACUUUCCAGUUCCCAAUCCUUGUCCCUUUGCGAAACCCAUUUCCUAGCCACUUUCCAGUUCCCAAUCCUUGUCCCUUUGCGAAACCCAUUUCCUAGCCACUUUCCAGUUCCCACCAUGAGUUGUGAUGCUCUUCCUCAGGCUCAUUUUCCGUAUUCUUUCUUUUACAGCUGUCAUGCGAAAUGAUAACAACAUGUACGGCUGUCCACUUACCUAUGGGGAUCACUUGGUAUGUUCUCGCCGCCAACUAUAGAGGAACCUGAAUUGUCUGCCCUCUUCUUCUGUCCAAUCAUUUUCCUAUUCUUUUCUAUUUAUGUGGUCACGGUUAAGUCAUGUUAAGACAAAAAAUAAUAAGAAUACAACAUAUUAACGUAAUUUAAUCGUGACCACAAAAAUAAGAAAGAAUGAGAAUAAUAUGGAAUGAAGAGGACAGACAAUCUAGGUCCACUAUGGAGAUCUUUCACACCAUGUUUUAGGUGUCAGCUAACUAUGGCGGUCAUUCACACCCUAAUUUCCAGGUUAGCCAGCUAUGGAGGACCUUCACUCCAUGUUCCAAGUGUCAGCCAUCUAUGGAGGCGCUCCACCCCAUGCUUCAAGCGUCAGCAAACUAUGGGACAAGGCCCUUCACUCCAUAAUUUCAGGUUUUAAGAGUUACGUGUCAACCAUUUGUAGUGUUUGCACUGGCAGAGCCUAUCGUGAAAAAGAUAUAAUCUUAUAUAAUCCGAGAUAGCUUUUGGUGAAAAAGAAAAUUUUACACAUAAUUUUCAUUAAUUUUUUAAUGUAAUCUACCAUAUACGUAGACACUAAGCCUAAUUAUCUUAGUUUAAUUGUAUAAGAUUAUACCUUACAAUUCAUAAGCCAUCUUUUUGUCUUUCUCGGCAUAUUUGACACACCCUGAUCCGAAAUGUUCACUUGAACUUCGAAUUGAGUUGUGUUGGACGACACAUGGAGGGUAACGAAGCCUUAAAGUGUAGUGUAGUGGAAAAAGAAUGUGAAUAAAUUUAAACCUAAAAGUGCCUAGUCAAAAGAAUGUGCGAGUGAGUGGGAUUGAACCCAUUUCACACGUGAUGUCAGAGCAUAAGACAAUAUAGUAAAUAGGAUGAGGGUUAAAGCACUGAAGAUAACCAUCUUCUGAGAUUUAUCAGAAUCCUCGUUUACACAUAAGCACAACUACUAAACCUGGAAGGGCGAAAAACAAAGUUGAGUGGGUCAGCAAAACAACGUUUGUAAGAAAACCUUUAUUUUUGAACAUAGUAACCCAUCGCUGGAAAACAAGUAUAGUUUUCGUAAAACAUACUACGUAAGUAUGUAAACAAAAGUACAACAACAAUAUAACCAGAAAUAUGCCAAAUCAUGAUAUAUCAAAUGCCGCAGUAAUAUAAUCAUGUGAUAAAUAAAUAUAACUAAGUGCUCAUCCAUCUAAGUUGACACACAAGUUCGUAUAGAUAAUCUCUGACACGAACAGGACUGGGUGUAAUCAAUACAUUCUAGUAUUACGAUCACGUGAAGGCUAGUGCCAAAGCACGGUCACAUACGAGUCGAAAUUGCCUAAUGCAAUUUGUGCGAUAAGACUAACACCUAACUUGGAUCCAAGGCGAGCGAACGGUGCAGAUGUGAACAUACACGUGAAGGUUGGCCCUGGCCCUAGGUUGGGUACUAACGUCGGGGUGCAGCAAGAUGAGCAUGUACAAAUAUGUAUAAAUGUCACGAUAGUAAUAUCUCAACCAUAUAGCAGCAUUUAUCACAUUUAAUAUCACAAUAACGAUACUUGGCAAUAUAAGCAUAAUAAUGGAGUAAAUACGCAUUUAUGGAAACUAUAACUAUGUAUAGGUAUAAAAACAAACUGCCCACUCAUAAAUACACAGUAAAUAUGAAGCAUCUGAUCCUUGCUUGACCCCAUGUGCCAUCGGGAUACGUUUCCCCUAUAUGUGAAAUUACUAAUUAACUUAGUUUAAUAACACAUAUACGGAAACUUAAAUAAAACCUCCGUAGAUUACCCAAACAUAAGGUUUGAAUAUACAAAAUCGAUCUACUCGACGUUACAGACCUACACAAAUUGACCGCACGGUAACCUAAGGCCGGACACACCCCCACGUGCCGCCUAGCCCACGGCCACACGUGUGCCCACACGCAGGCCAGUGGCUAACAGAUCCGAGGAAUAUUCUAUCAUUUCUAACAGAAUAUUCCGUUAAACAAUUAACAAAAGUGAAUGACGUUACCUGACGCCGUUAGAAUAUUCCAUCAAAGUUGACGGAAUAUUCCUUGUUUUCUUCGGCGAGUUUCGCCGGUCGUCACCGUCUGGUUUCAUCGAAAUCUGGAAAUUUUAGCUGGUUUCUAGGUAAAAUUUCAAACCUUCAAAUCUUCUUCAUUUUUCAACUAUUUUUCAUAAAAUUAUAUAGAAAUGAAGCUUAUGAAGAAUAGAAUCACGUUAUACCUUUCAAACCUUUCAAAGGUCCAAAAAGUGAACAGAUGUGGCUUGAAAAUGGCUCGAAAGGUACUGCCAAACUGGAACUUCUCGAAACCUCAUGUUUUGUACAUCAACUCUUCACCAAAACUAAUCUAGGAUCUUUAAGAAGUUGAGUAGUAGCUUUCUCGAGUCCUAAAAUGCCGUGACUCGAUCUGAAAAUCGUCGAUCCAGAACUCACCGAGUCAGAGCUUCCGAGUUGGUGAGUCAAACCUCAACCAAAUCUAGAUAUGGUUACACAGUUGUGUUCGUGGGGUUGGGGUUGAGGGGAGUUCAACGAUGUAGGUUACAAGUCACGUUUAGGUGGUUUGGACGUCGGUUGAGAGAGUUGCAGAGAAAAGGUAAGAGAUAGACCUUCGGGAAGAGAGAGAGUAGAGAGAGUAAGGUUUGAGUUGUGAUUGAUGGGACAUAAAUGAGAGCAUUUCUGAUUGGUUGAGUGAGAGAGGGAAAACAAUUGAUUGGGUGGUGAUGAGGGAUUCAAGGAAAAAGCAAAAGUUUGAUUGGUGGAUGAGAUGGGGAACCCGGAUCCCUUUUUUUAGGAAUGGGAUUGGAUUGAUGGAUUUUCAGAUUUUGUACCAUUUCAAAUGUACAAAAUUUGUAUCCUUAACAGUGUUUCUAACACUGAUAUUUUGUACGAACGUGUACAAAAUACCUGUAAUUAACGUACUUUAACGGAACAUAACUUUUUCGUUACAAAUCCGAUUCAAGCCUAACAUGCGUUCACGCGUUCGUAGCGACAAGUACUAAUUUAGUACGAAACCAGGAAAAUGAAACUGAAAACCGAAAACCACAUCCACGUCAUAUUCCAGUUUUUUCCAAAAAGGGUAAAACCGUCAACUCACACCAACGGAAAAGGAAUUACAAUGAAAAGUAGGGACGGGUCGUCACAAAAUUUGUUUCAACUCGUUUAAAUUUUAAUACGUAUUUUUGUUGGUAAACAAAUGGGGCUAAACGUCAAAUAAAGAAAAACUAAAGCAAAGCAUCACAAGGUUUAGAGAUUUCAGCAACAUUAGACAAUAAGAGAUGUCGACAAGAGGCAGGAGCUUAAGUGAAAUACAUUGGACCAAAAGACUACGGCAAACUCAAGUUAGCCAACUCCUCAACCACAAAAUGCAUCUCAUCAUAAACGUGACCAACUUCACAAUUCCAUCUUUGUUUAACAGCUCAAGGCAAGCUUGCACCAACUCACCAAGAGGAUGGUUCUCACUCACACCUUGAAGAACUAAAUGGGCAAUGAGAACAAAAUCAAAUUCCUAUUUUACACGUAUUUGUUUAACAAUGAAAAAUUUUGGCUCACCGUGUGAAAAUUUUAUUAGGCUAGCUGAUAGUGUAAAAAAAUAUUGUAUGUUUCUGCAUUUAUAAAAAUUUAUAUCUUUAAGCUAGCCUACUUGGUGAAGUCUCCGCCCUUAUUCACCGUCAGGUGAUCUUUUUUGUCUAAUAAUGCAUUGUUAUGUGCAAAAUGCAUUGCCAUGUGCAAAGUAUUCUCCACAUGAUAAUGUAUUAUUAAAUCUAAACGUCACAUUAUAAUAAAUCAGUUAUAUGUAAGUUGCUUUCGAAAAUUAUACUAAUGAAGAGAUGAUCGUGCCGCAUACGCUUAGGCAUGUGGCUCUAUUAUUUGCCUAGUACUAGUCAUCAAAUUCCAGUCUAUUAGAAACCGACUUAUUUAUUUGAAAAAAAAAAAACGAAGAAGAAGGGGUUGACUGAUUUUAUUUUUUAUUUAUUUUUUGUUGACAUGCAUACUUUAUGGGGUCAUUUUGAUGGGAAAGGAUGGGAUAGUGAUGGUAGCACCUCUUCCGGGUCAAUGGUAGAGUCCACUUUACUUGGACUUCUUGAAUCGUUCAACAGGAAACGCUUUUUGGGUCAAUGCAUGGGAACGAUCCAUUUUAAAAUUGUUUGUAAAUUUCUAUAAGUAGAUAGUAAUGACCCAAUUAAAUAUUUCCCCUGCACAGAUUUACUUGCAUUGCACCUAGCAAAGAUCAGUUUUUUUGUUUGUCCAUCGAUCCAUAUCAAACAAAUCAAUCAUCAGAACCAUCAUAAAAUAUUUUGUUUUUAGAUUGUUGAAGUAAUAUUAAAAAAUAUAAAAAAAACAUAAGAAUUUUAAUAAUAAUAAUCAUAAAGAAAUUCACAACAUCAAUUAUGUAUGAGAUUAUUAUAAACAACUAAAGAGAAAGUUAGAAAAACUGACAAACUUGAAGAUUGAGGUUUCCAUAAAUACAAUGUCCUAAAGAUAGAAUUUUGCCCCUACUCUUGAUCCGAAGUUGAAGCACUUCAAUAUUUGGAUUCUGGCGAAUUUUAUAUUUUCUAUACUCUCAAGACACGACUCGAAAUUUGACAAACGAAAAAUGAGAGAAAUAAAGUGAGGAAACCCUAUUUCUCAAGAGUAAAAAUUAACUCUAAUUUUAUAUCUUUAAUGAUAAUGGUUUCAUGGGUUUAUACAGAACCCAUUGUAUUGUUUGGCGUAAAAAUGCAACUUUGCAUCUAUACAACCUACACCACUCAUCAAACUACACGUCCCAAAUUACAAAUAAUAUGAUGCAACAAUUAAGAAUAAACAAGAUUAAUUUUUUCAUUCAAUAUUUUGAAAUUAAGUAUUAUAAUAUAAAUUUUCAACAUUGACUUGACUGUUCGUCUAUCAGUAACAAGUCCACAUCUCAACCCAAAUACAAUGAUGUCAAAUGAGAAGGGAAAAUGAGAAGGAAACUCUGGAGGGUAGAGGGAAGGAAAAGGAGAGAGAAAAGGAGGAAAAGAGAAAAGGAGGAGGAAAAAGUAGAAAUAAAGAAAAACUAAAGCAAAGCAUCACAAGGUUUAGAGAUUUCAGCAAUAUUUGACAAUAAGAGAUGUCGACAAAAGGUAGAAGCUUGAGUGAAAUACAUUGGACUAAAAAAAUACGACAAACUCAAGUUCGCCAAUUCCUUAGCCAUAAAAUGCAUCUCAUCAUAAACGUGAUCAAGUUUACAAUUCCAUCUUUGUUUAACAGUUCAAGGCAAGCCUGCACCAACUCACCGAGAGGAUGGUUCUCACUCACACCUUGAAGAACUAUAUGGACAAUGAUCAAAGAACUAAAUGGACAAUGAGAACAAAAUCAAAUUCCAAUUUUACAAGUAUUUGUUUAAUAAUGAAAAUUUUUGGCUCACCAUGUGAAAAUUUUAUUAGGCUAGCUGAUAGUGUAAAAAAAUAUUGUAUGUUUAUGCAUUUAUAAAAAUUUAUAUCUUUAAGCUAGCCUACUCGGUGAAGUCUCCGCCCUUAUUCACCGUCACGCGAUCUUUUUGUCUAAUAAUGCAUUGCCAUGUGCAAAGUAUUUUCCACAUGACAAUGUAUUAUUAAAUUUAAAUGUCACGUUAUAGUAAAUCAGUUAUAUAUAAGUUGUUUUCGAGAAUUAUACUAGUGAAGAGCUGACCGUGCCGCAUACGCUUAGGCAUGUGGCUCUAUUAUUUGCCUUGUACUAGUCAUCAAAUUCCAGUCUAUUAGAAAUCGACUUAUUUAUUUGAAAAAAAAAAUUGAAAAAAAAAAUGAAGAAGAAGGGGUUGACUGAUUUUAUUUUUUAUUUAUUUUUUGUUGACAUGCAUACUUUAUGGGGUCAUUUUGAUGGGAACCUAGGAUGCGAGAGUGAUGGUAGCACCUUUUCCAGGUCAAUGGUAGAGUCCACUUCACUUGGACGUCUUGAAUCAUCCAUCAAUAACAAGUCCACAUCUCAACCCAAAGAGGAAUACGAUUGUCUGCCUUCCCAAUUUUCAUGUCCUCCUGUUUUGUGUAGUCACAGUUAAGUUACGUUAACAUUUUAUAUUAUUUUUUAUAAAGAUAAUAAGACAAAAAUGAAUAGUAAUAUAAAAUGUUGACGUGGUUUAACCGUGACCACACAAACAGGAGAGCAUGGAAGGGCAUGGAAAAAGGGAGGGCAGACAAUCCUUGUCCAAUAUAAUGAUGUCAAAGGAGAGGGGAAAAUGAGAAGGAAACUCUGGAGGGUAGAGGGAAGGAAAAAGGGAUAAGGAUUGUCUGCCUUCCCAUUUUCCAUGCCCUUCCAUGCCCUCCUGUUUUGUAUAGUCACGGUUAAGCCACGUUAACAUUUUAUAUUAUUUUUUUAUAAAGAUAAUUAUACAAAAAUGAAUAGUAAUAUAAAAUGUUGACGUGACUUAACCGUGACCACACAAACAGGAGGGCAUGGAAAAAGGGAGGGCGGACAAUCCUUGUCUAGGAAAAGGAGGGAGAAAAGGAGAAAAAUAGAAGGGAAAGGUAGAAAUAAAGAAAAACUAAAGCAAAGCAUUACAAGGUUUAGAGAUUUCAGCAACAUCUGACAAUAAGAGAUGUCGACAAGAGGUAGGAGCUUGAGUGAAAUACAUUGGACCAAAAGAAUAUGACAAACUCAAGUUAGCCAAUUCCUCAGCCACAAGAUGCAUCUCAUCAUAAACGUGACCAAGUUCACAAUUCCAUCUUUGUUUAACAGCUCAAGGUAAGCCUGCACCAACUCACCAAGAGGAUGGUUCUCACUCACACCUUGAAGAACUAUAUGGACAAUGAUCGAAGAACUAAAUGGACAGUGAGAACAAAAUCAAAUUCCAAUUUUACACGUAUUUGUUUAAUAAUGAAAAAUUUUGGCUCACCAUGUGAAAAUUUUAUUAGGCUAGCUGAUAGUGUAAAAAAAUAUUGUAUGUUUAUGCAUUUAUAAAAAUUUAUAUCUUUAAGCUAGCCUACUCGGUGAAGUCUCUGCCCUUAUUCACUGACACGUGACAUUUUUUGUCUAAUAAUGCAUUGCCAUGUGCAAAGUAUUCUCUACAUGACAAUGUAUUAUUAAAUCAAAACGUCACGUUAUAGUAAAUCAAUUAUAUGUAAGUUGUUCUCAAAAAUUAUACUAGUGAUGAGCUGAUCGUGCCGCAUACGCUUAGGCAUGUGGCUCUAUUAUUUGCCUUGUACUAGUCAUCAAAUUCCAGUCUAUUAGAAAUCGACUUAUUUAUUUGAAAAAAAAAAACGAAGAAGAAGGGGUUGACUGAUUUUAUUUUUUAUUUAUUUUUUAUUGACAUGCGUACUUUAUGGGGUCAUUUUGAUGGGAACCUAGGAUGCCAUAGUGAUGGUAGCACCUUUUCCGGUCAAUGGUAGAGUCCACUUCACUUGGACGUCUUGAAUCGUUCAACAGGAAACGCUUUUUGGGUCAAUGCAUGGGAACGGAAGAGGAUCCUCUCUUGAGCUCGAGAUGGGGAUGUUCUUGAUCACGUAAUCUGGGCCGUUCAAAUUUAAUUCAACGGUUGCAAUUAUUAUAACUUUUAGAGAACCUUCUGUUUGGAGUCGUUUGAUUAAAUUUGAAUAGUCUGAAUUUCGUGAUCAGAGGAUCCCCAUCCUGAGCUUAGGAGAGGAUCCUCUUCCCAUGGGAACUACCCAUUUUAAAAUUGUUUGCAAAUUUUCCUAUAAGUAGAUAGUAAUGACCUAAUUAAAUAGGAUCAGGAUCCUCUCCUGAGCAAAUAGAGAAGAUCCUUCUAACCGAACCCAUCGGGCUGUUCAAACUUUUUCCAACGGCUACAAUUAUUAUAACUUUUAAAGGCCCCCCAUGUUUGUAGCUGUUGGAUAAAAUUUGAACAGCUUUAUGGGCCAUGUCAGGAGGAUCCUCUCCAUUUGCUGAGGAGAGGAUCCUGAUCCAAUUAAAUAUUUCCCAUGUACAGAGAUACUUGCAUUGCACCUAGCAAAGAUCAGUUUUUUUGUUUGUCCAUCGAUCCACAUCAAACAGAUCAAUCAUCAGAACCAUCCAUCCACAUCAAUGGCUCUUAUGAUAAAAUAUUCUAUCUUUAGAUUGUUGAAGCAAUAUUAAAAAAUAUAAAAAUAACACAAGAAUUUCAAUAAUAAUAAUAAUCAUAAAAAAAAAUUCACAACAUCAAUUAUGUAUGAGAUUAUUAUAAACAACUAAAGAGAAAGUUAGAAAAACUGAUAAACUUGAAGAUCGAGGCUUGUAUAAAUACAUUGUCCUAAAGACAAAAUUUUGCCCCUACUCUUAAUCCGAAGUUGAAGCACUUCAAUAUUCAGAUUCUGACGAAUUUUAUAUUUUCUGUACUCUCAAGACACGACUCGAAAUUUGACAAACGAAAAUUGAGAGAAAUAAAGUGAGGAAACCCUAUUUCUCAAGAGUAAAAAUUAACUCUAAUUUGUAUCUUUAAUGAUAAUGGUUUCAUGGGUUUAUAUAGAACCCAUUGUGUUGUUUGGCGUAAAAAUGCAACUUUGCAUCUAUGUAACCUACACCACUCAUCAAACUACACGUCCCAAAUUACAAAUAAUAUGAUGCAAUUCUUUGUAUCAGAUGCAACACUUAAGAAUAAACAAGAUUAAUUUUUUCAUUCAAUAUUUUGAAAUUAAAUAUUAUAAUAUUUAAUAAAUAUUAUAUUAUAAAUUUUCAACAUUGACUUGACUGUUCGUCCAUCAAUAACAAGUCCACAUCUCAACCCAAAUAUAAUGAUGUCAAAGGAGAGGGGAAAAUGAGAAGGAAACUCUGGAGGGUAGAGGGAAGGAAAAGGAGGGAGAAAAGGAUAAAAGGAAGGAGAGAAAAGUAGAAAAGGAAGGAAGAAAAUGAGAGGAAAUGCAUAGAAAUAAAAAAAAUAAAAAAUGAAAAUCACCUUCAUCAUUAUGUCUACUAAUGGAAAAGAGCAAAAUGCUCCCAACUACUCUUGUUUCUUACAUUGUAAAUUAUAUUUCGUAUAAUGAGAAACUAGUAUUCUUACACAAGGAUGUAGACACAACUUGCCGAAUCUUGUUACUAUACAGCAAGCCUAUAACUGCAUAAUAAUUCGAUCAACCACCUUAAGUUUAACCAUACAUGUACCAAGAUUCAAGUUUUUCCAAACUUUCCUUAUGAAACUAAUUGAACAGUACAAGUGCCACAUUAUUAUGCGGUUCUAUCAAGUUUUAAUUUUUAUCUUAUAACCACAUUAUCUUUAGGACAAUCAAUCUUGCAGUUGAAUAUAUAAACCUUCGAGAUGGCGAUAUUGGAAACGCUAGUUGGUGGGUUGAUUGGUAGAAAUGGUUCCAACAAUUCAAGAAUAAGAAAUGAGUAUUGAGCAACGAUCAAAGUAUGUUGUAUUUUAUCACAAAAUAUUUUUGUACAUAUUAGAAGUGCAUUUUAUCACAAAAAGGUGAGCAACGAUCAAUAUAAUUGUAAUUUAUAAAAUCACACAUAAAACGGGAAGUAAUAUUUUAUUUUUGUUUUCAUCUCUGCCAAAGAAACGCUUUUUGGGUCAAUGGAUGGGGACGACCCAUUUUAUAAUUGUUUAUAAAUGGGAAUGACCCAAUUACAUAUUUCCCCUGCUCACAGACAUUUGCAUUGCACCUAGCAAACACCAGUUUUUUUGUUUGAACAUCGAUCCACUUCAAUGGCUCUUGUGAGAACAUCUCCAGGAACCUCCUCUGAUUCCAACACAUUUCGGCGUUAUCACUACGAUGUGUUCUUGAGCUUCAGAGGCGAAGAAACUCGUAAGACUUUUACGGACCACCUCUACACAGCCUUGAACAAUGCAGGAUUUCUCACGUUUCGAGACGACGAUGAACUCGAGAGAGGAGAAGACAUAAAGCCAGGACUGCAGAAAGCAAUCCAGCUGUCACGAACUUCUGUUGUCGUGUUUUCGAAAGAUUACGCGUCAUCCAGGUGGUGUCUUGAUGAGCUUAUGCUGAUCCUCGAACGAAAUAGGACCACCUCGGACUAUGUAGUUUUACCAGUCUUCUACGAUGUUGAUCCGUCCCACGUGAGGAAGCAGACAGGAAAUGUUGGAAAAGCAUUUGCUAGAAGCCAGAAAAAUCAGUCGCCGGAAAAGGUGGAAGGAUGGAGGAAGGCACUUGCAGAGAUUGCAGACCUAGCAGGCAUGGUCCUACAAAAUCAAGCUAACGGGUAACUUUCAUUUUCUUAUUUUGUCUUCUAUUUGUUGUUGUUGACCUCUCUAAUAAGAUCACAACUAGAGAUGGACAAAAUACCCACGGUUACCCGUGUUGUGCUUUGGCCCGUUCGUCAGUGCAGAAGUGAGAUUCAGAUUAUCUCACUAAACUACAGACCCACAGUUGAACAAUUUAAAUUACAAGAAAUAAAGACACUGAGAAAUUUACGAGAUUCGGCAAAAACCUGCCUAUGUCCUCGGAGAUAUAUUGCUCUUCACUAUGAGAAUAACUAGUACAAGAUACACUUGAGUUCAAUCAACAUAACCCAAACCCCAAUCCCUUGUACACUCACAGAAUUUUCCCAAGAGCCUCACUCUACCCCAAGAGUUUCUCACUCUCACUCUUUAUUUUCUCUCCUUUGUGUUCUCCUUCGGAUGCUCUCUCAAUGCAUUACUAAAUGCACAAAUAUUGCAUCUAGUUAUAGUCAUACACUAGCAACUAUGCCAACAAACAAGACCAAAAAGUCUUAAGUUCACAUGACAUAAUUAUCACCUAGCCUACCUAGCAUACACCAAAGUCUAUAUCUAGUCUAUAAAGUACAACUAUUCUCCAUUUGUCAUUUAAUGCAUAUAAAAUAAAACAUGCACAAUUGUGUGCAAGCAACCACAAAGUCAAGUCUUGCUUCCAACUUUGCUUUUGGUAGUCACCAUGUCUUCUCUUGAAACAAGACAUCCAUGCCACAACCGAAAGCCAAACACAAAGUGGCUACUGCCAUUUCCCUGUAGCACUCAGAAAGUUACACUAUCAAAAUUGUUGCCAACUCAUAAGUAUAUGAGCCAAACACAACAACCCGCCCAUUUAAACUUCACGGUUACUGUUAUGGGUAACCGUUUAGAUAAAUAAACGGUUAUGGAUAUAACCGUUUACCCGUAAAAUUUAAAUAGAUGGUUAUGAAUAUUAAUCGCGGUUAUAAAUGGGUAACCAUUUACCCAUUUAUUUUAUAUAUGUAAUGUUGAAUAUUUUAAAAAUAAAAUUUUAUAUGUAUAUGCGGCUAUUUGACAGUAGAUGGGAAGUUAUGUUAUUAACCCAACAAUCACAUCUCUUCAAUUUGAAUGUUGCAUCUUUUGAAUGUUGCCGAUAAGACAUGAUUCAUGGUCAACAAGUGUAAUCCUUCUCCUAACCAUGUUCUCUGUCGGACAAAACUUAAAUCAAUGCUAAUAUAAUGUGGCUCAUUAUAUAUAUUAUGUUAAUACUUUACAUUAUGGGUUAAAUAACCCAAGAAUACUAUCUUCUAAACAGUUUUCGUAACCCAAGAAUACUUAGCAAAUAUUAUAUUACUUUCAUUGGUAACAGUUAAAAAUAUCGUCCGUAAACUAUUAUUUCAAUUUUGAAAUGCUAUAAGGACUUAAAAAAUUAAAAUACGGAAAUGUAUGAAGAAUGUUACCUAUAACGGUGUUUAAUUGUCAAAAAAAAGAAAAUUAUGACAAUUUUUUUUUUAAUUUUCAAGUUGUUAAAAAACAUGUAGAUGGGUGAAAAUGGGUAAUGGCAAAAAAAAAAAGAGAAGAUAAACGGGUUAAAAGGGUAAAUGGGUAAACGGGUAUUAAACGGUUACAGUUAAAUAGGUAUGCGGUUAUGGGUAUGAGUAUAACCGUUUAGGCAAUUACCCAACGGAUAAACGGUUAUGCGGGUAUGAGCAUAAACGGUUAUGGGUAAAUAACCGUGGUUACCCGCCCAUCAUAACCGUUGCCGAUCACAACCAUGGAAGAAAAUAUCGAUAAUAUCGGCGAUAUAUCGCCGAUAUUAUCGGCUUUUUCCCGAACUGAUAUUUUAAAUGGUAUCCAAGGUGUUUUCGUCAUAAUAUCGCGAUAAUAUCGAUAAUAUCGCGAUAUUAUCGAUAUUAUCGCGAAAUUUCGGAACUGUGCACGUCGGAGACAAACGUCGGAGCUUCUACAGCUCCGGCCGACUGUAAAACUGCUCCCUAGCCUCGCCGGAGAUGGGUGUACUUAUUCCUGAGUCGAUUUCAUCCCAAAAACCUUGCAAAAACACGACAUAUAACUUCAAUUUCACAUCUAAGCUUCGAUCUAGAAUAUAAAAAGAAAAACCCGAAGCUUACCUACCUGAGAAAUUGAAGGAACUCGCCAGAGCAGGUGCGAUGGUGUGCGUGUGGGUCUCGGUGCAGAGAGAAGAGAGAUCUUUGUGUGAGUGUGUGUGGUUGGACUGGGAGAAGGGAGAAGAGAGAUCGAGAGAUCUCUGUGUGAGUGUGUGUGUGGUUGGACUGGGAGAAGGGAGAAGAGAGAUCGAGAAGGAUCUCUGUGUGAGUGUGUGAGUGGUUGGACUGGGCGAAGGGAGAAGAGAGAUCGAGAAGGAUCUGUGUGUCGUUGAAGAAUCCCCAACCUUUAAGAGACAAACCAGCAAGCACCUCCCUCGACCCACCUCGUUCCUCCGCCGCAAACCUACCCCGUGUCCUCAUCUAACUUCUCUCCUCUGUCAACCCACCGCCGUUCCACUAUCAACUUCACCGGUAUUCCUCCGUCGGCCCCGCUUCCGCUCCCGCUUCCGCCUCGUCCUUCAACCUCUCUCCUCCAUCGAAGUAGGUCCAUAAGAAUUCAUGAAAGGGAGGGGAUCUUUGUUCUUGGUGUAUAGUGUGACGACGCUGCACUGAUACAAAUCUGUGAUGGCAUAGGAAAAGACAAGGACGAUGCAGGAUGGAGCAGAGAGGAAGUGAAAAUGGAUUAUGGGGUGUUUGGAUGCCUAGGUAAUUGGAUAAACAGGGUGUUUGGCUGCAUAGCUUAAACAUAUAAAGUAGUACACAUGUUCUCUUUUAGUUGAGCCAUAUCAAUGGUCAAUGAAAAUUGGGUACCCACUUGUGAGUACCAAGUAUUAUCCGUGGACGGGAGACUUAAACAAACAAAACCAUUGGCUUUGAUGUUUGUAACUUGUAAUUAUGAGGUGGACAGGUAACGUGAAAGAGGUGAGGUGCACCUCUGAUGGUUUUAACUUUUAAUAAAUGUUAUAUAAAUUAUAAAUUAUAAAUUAUUUAGAUAAUAUUUUGUUUUUUUUACUAAGCAAGCAGAUUAUAUUCGAACCCUCCCUUUGUCAACCACGCACUUAGGCUUUAUCCAACUCGCUACAGAUGUGUUUGUGAUUACAUAUUCAGCCUGUAAUAUUUAUAUGGUCGUUAAGAUGUCUGCAAGGCUUGCAAGCUAAUAUUUAUUAUCUAGGAUAAAUUUCUAUAUUUUAAAAAACACAAAGGUGAAAAUUUUGAACCUCAUAGGAACUCUAUGUGGUACUAAGUCACUCAUGUAUCUUACCAUGCAAUGUAUAAAGUGUAAAAUAUUGUACUAAUUCAUUAUAUAUAAAUGAUUAUGGUGUGUUUAGACUUCUUUCAUUAAUUACUACAUAUUUUAUACACUCACAAUGUUUGUCAGCUCACUAUAUAAUCAACUUGAUAAUGUUAAAUCCAUCAUGCAAUGCAUUUCCUUCCAAUUUUUUGUGAUAAACUAAUAGAUAAUUGAUUAAAUAAACAUCCUGCAAAGUUUCAAUAAAAAUUUCCAAGUUUUUCUUACAAUUUCCUUGGUUUCCAUGUAAUUUUUAUCGAUAUCGAUAUUAUCCCGAUAUUUCCAUCGAUAUUUCCGUGUUUUCGGACUACCGAUAUUUCCGAUAUUACCAAUAUUUUCUUCCUUGAUCACAACAUAUUGAUUUACUCAACACAAAUGUUCAUAUGACUUCAGGUAAAUUGCUCCAGUAAUAAUCCCAUUUCAGGUCAAUUAAGUUGUCAUGAUCUGUACCAUGUAGCUGCAUGGAAUAGCUGUUAAGAAUUAUUGAUCGAACCUUAGUUUAAUUUUCUCCUCUGAAUUCCAUGAAUAUCAGACUUUGUAUAAUUGAUUGAUAUCGAGUGAACAACAUGUUUGAUUCAUCAUUCAUUUUAUUUGCAAAUUCUUAGGUACGAGUCAAAGUUUAUCAAAGAUAUUGUUAAAGUGAUUAGUGAUAAGCUAAGUCGCACACACUUGAGCGUUGAAUCAAAACUGGUUGGCAUCCAUUCUCGAGUCGAACCCAUCAAUUUAUGGUUACAAGAUCCAUCACAUGAUGUUGGUAUACUUGUUGUUUAUGGGCUGCCUGGAAUAGGGAAGACAACCAUUGCAAAAUGUGUUUACAAUUCAAACUUUGAAAGUUUUGAAGGAAGCAGCUAUGUUGAAAGUAUCAGAGAAACUGCAAGUCAUCCAGACGGCUUAGUUCAAAUACAAAAGCAAAUUCUUUAUGAUAUUUUAAAUGGGAAAAAGGAGAAAAUACACAAUGUUAGUGAGGGAAUAAUUAAGAUUGGAAGAGCCAUAAGCUUUAGAAGAGUUCUUCUUGUUCUUGAUGAUGUGGACCAUGUGGACCAAUUAGAUGCAGUACUGAGGAUGAAAGAUCAGUUUCAUCCUGGAAGUAAAAUAAUCAUAACAACUAGGCGUGAAAGGUUGAUAAAGGCACAUGAAGGUAUUACGGUGCAUGAAGUUGGACCUUUGGGUUUCGAUGCAUCAUUGGAGCUCUUAAGCUGGCAUGCUUUUGGCCAGGAUCAUCCCCUUGAAGGUUAUGAGAAAUAUUCUGAAGAAGUCGCACAACACAGCGGAAGACUUCCAUUAGCACUCAAAGUUUUGGGUUCUUCUCUUUUCGGGGAACCUAAGCGUGUAUGGAAAUGUACAUUGGAGAAGCUAGAGGUUAUUCCAAAUGGUGAAAUCAUGAAUAAUUAAGAAUAAUCUACGACUCUUUACAAGAUGACCAUGACCAGAAAUUAUUCCUCCAUAUUGCUUGUUUCUUUAUUGGAAAGGAUGAAGAUUACAUUGUCAGAAUACUAGAUGGAUGUGAUUUCAAGACAAUCUGUGGCAUUCAAAAUCUCAGAGAUAGGUGCUUGGUGACAAUUGUUAUGGACAAGUUGUAUAUGCAUGAUGUGAUUCGUGACAUGGGACGAGAAAUUGUUCGUCGAGAAUCACAUGAACCUGGGAAUCGUAGUAGAUUGUGGCGCUCUAAGGAUUCUUUCAAAGUAUUGAGAGAAAAAAAUGUAAGAAAUGUUCAUUGUAUGUGUGUGUUUCUUUUUCUCUUGUGCUAAUUAACCAAUUGUUUUUCCAAUUUCUUGUAUAGGGUACGCAAGCAAUUGAAGGUCUUAUGUUGGACAUACAUGAACUGCUUACAGACAGUCCCAUAAACUCAAACGAGAAUGUCUUGGAAACCAAUUCAUUUGCAAGGAUGCACAAACUCAAACUGCUCUAUCUUAGACAUGUACGACUGGACGGAUGCUAUGCAGAACUUCCGACAAGGUUAAGAUGGUUGUGCUGGCCCGAAUUUCCUUUGGAUUCAAUUCCUGUUGAUUUUUCUUUGGAGAAAUUGGUAGUUCUUGAAAUGCAAUAUGGCAACUUGAGACAACUCUGCAAAAGAGCAAACGUAUGUUACUCAACGCUUUUCAAUUUUGUUUUCCUUCUUUCUUUAGGUUUUAAUUCUUUAAUUAAUUUUAUAUGUUGGAAUCAAUUCCUAGUUAUUUUUGUUUGUUUGUUUAUUUUUAUUUGUUUCUAGUUUCUUCCAUCAUUGAAGACCCUUGAUGUCAGCCAUUCUCAUGGCCUUAGUGAAACCAUGGACUUCUCACCUUGCCCCAAUCUAGAGGAAUUGAUUCUUGUGGAUUGCACCAGCCUGAUUGAUGUUCAUGAAUCCAUUGGAAACCUGGAGAGACUCGUGUACUUGAAUAUGAAGGAUUGCAAGAAUCUUAGGAUGCUUCCGAAGAACAUGUGUUUUCUUAAAUCACUUGAAACACUCAUUUUAUCUGGCUGCUCAAAUCUUGAUGAGUUUCCAGUGGAGAUGAAGAAGAAGAUGGAGUCUCUGAAAGUUCUUAAAAUGGAUGGAAUUCCAAUAAGAGAAUUAUGGCCAGCAAGAAGUUCAAGUAUCUUGAGUUCUUUUCCAUGCUCUUUAGUAAAGUUAUGUAUGGUGGGGUGCAAUCUUUCUGAUGAUGCCUUCUGUAGGGAUUUAAGUAGUCUAUCCUCGUUGCGAACACUAAAGUUAGGUGAGAAUCCAAUUUGCUGUCUGCCAGGUUUCAUCAAAGGUUUGAGAAGGCUCGAUCAUCUAUCUUUCCAGGAUUGUAGUAGGCUCAAAUCGCUUGUGGGGUUGCCGAAAGUACACCGAAGGAUAAGUAUAGCCGGAUGCAUAUCAUUAGAAAAAAUGACUUUUCAUUCCCCUGAGCAACAGUCUACAAUGUUCAGCGUGGGUGACAACUGGAAUCUAGUUGAGUGGCAGUACGACUACAAGUUAUAUGUGGAAAUGAUCAAACUUUUGGGCGUGUGCAACUUGGGAUCCUUGCCAGCCAUUAGAAUGAACGCACUGUUCGGAUGCGGUGGUUCAAAAGAGGGUAAAUGGAGUCCCGUCCAGGUGCCUCUCUCUCUCUCUCUCUCUCUCUCUCUCUCUCUCUCUCUCUCUCUCUCUCUCUCUCUCUCUCUCUCUCUCUCUCUCUUAUAAGUCAUUAAUAUAUCAUGGGAAAGAAAUAACUGAGUAAUGUUGUGAUGAUCGUGGCAAUUACAUAGGGACUGUAUGAAAAUGGUAUAUUCAGCACGUUUUUUGUUGGGAAUAAGGUUCCAGGCCAAUUCAGCUAUAAAAGUACCAAGUCUUCGAUAUCUUUUAUUGUCCCUUUACUACUUGCUAAUCACAGAAUUCGAGGCUUGAACAUCUUUGCUACUUAUGCAAAGGAGCAGAAUUAUAAUAAUUCUUUUAAUCCAAUAAUGACUAAAGUGAGUAACAAGAGUAAGGGUCUGAAGUGGAUCUAUGGCCCAGAGUUCUAUGGAAUUCCAGGAGAGGGAGAACAUAUGAUAUGGUUGAGCCAUUGGAAGAUGGAUAAUGAAACAAUAUUACAAUGUGGAGAUGAAGUGCUUGUUUCAGUACACAUGAGACCUAGUCAGUUUCAGCUCAAGGAGUUUGGUGUCGAGCUUGUGCAAGAGCACCAAGACAAGAUGAGUACCCAACACAACACCAAAUCAGGUCCUAAUUAUCCAUUUGUUAUCGGUGGAGAUUUGGAUACGUGGAAGUGCAGACCGGGAAUAUACUUCCUUGGCAGUAGGACAAGAGAAGAUACUGACGACAUUGAUAUCCUCACCAUGGACUGUGAUGAAGAAGACACAAGUAUGUUGUGUUGUUGUAUUGCAUUGAAUUAUACUUCAUCCAAACACUUCCAAGUGUGUCCGUAUUCAUUUCAAAAACAUUUCCAAUAAGUUUUAUGUUAUUUGUAUGUUUUUCAGCCAAAGAAGGGCAAGAGAAUGAACCUGAUUACACAAUUGCAAAGACGAGGGUUGCUAGCAAAAACUGCAGUCUCGAACGCUGGAAGGUGCUCCUCACAACUGCUGGCUUCUUUUUCACGCUUGCUCUAGUAGUUCAGUCCUCCAUCUCCCAGAAACUGAAGCGACAGUAGUCCACAAGGCUUCCAUGAGUUUAUAAUUUGACUUGAUAUAGAUAUAUCUUUACAUUCCUUACUCGCAAGAUGUUUUCUACCUUCAAGUGCAAUGACGGUUCUAGAAUUCAUACAGCCGACCCCAUUUAGUAAAAUAAGACUUUAUUGUUAUUAAACUGUUUGUGCGGUAAGAACUAAGCGUGAAAAAUAUCUUGUUUUGUAGUCUCUGGUUUGAACAUUAAAGAAAAUCCAAUGCCAUUAUGUGUUUAAACCAAAAUUUUCCGUUCUCUUUUUCCUUUUCUUCAAAAAAUAAAUUUGUACUCUAAUGUCUAGGCAUGAAGAGAUUCUUAGCUAUCUCCGGGUAUAUGUCCCUCUAUUUAUUUCUCAUGGAAUACACAACCGGUUACAAGACAGAUUCUCGAAUCUCUCUCACCAUGCAUGAAAGUUCACGUCGAAUUACCAAAUCAUAUUCUGAGAGAGAAUUAAGAAUUACAUGCAGAUUAACAUUAAAUUAUAAGUUUCUAAUAACACAAAUUAUUAUUUAUACAAAAAAAAUUUACAAGAUGUGUUCAUAAUUAAUUGGUAAUUCUGAUCUUAAUUAACUAAAAGGGCCUUGAGGACAUGUCUCAAUGUAUAUGCUUGUCUGUGCAGAUCGUCUUCCUCCUCCUUUUCUUCAUCCACAAGAAAUCAAAGACAUGCCCACAAAAACCCACACACGAAAAACAAAAAAUUAAUAAAAAUAAAAGUCAGCGAGAAAAGUCAAACAAUGCAGAUCUGAUCCUACCCGCGCCACACCCGAUCAAAUCCCGAGAAAAUCAGUGGCGGACCGAGACAUGAUGGUCGCGAAUUCGUUGAAGCUAAUGACGCCGUCGCCGUUCGUGUCGGCCUCCCUCAUCAUAUCGGAGAGCUCCCGGUACGUCAAGGGGUGGCCCAUUUUGGCCAUGGAUCCGGCGAGCUCGGCGGCUGUGAUGUAGCCGUUGCCGUCGCGGUCGAACGACCGGAAGACCUCCAUGAGCUGCUCCUGGUUGAUCAAAAUCUCCUCGUUCAUGUCUGGGAGGAUGGCGGUGACGAGCUCGUCGAACUCGAUGGCACCGUUGCCGUUGGCGUCGAUGUUGGAGAGGAAAACGUGGAGCUGGUCGCCGGUGGGCUUGAGGCCGAGGGAGCGGAGGAGGGCGGCGAGUUCGAGCUGGGUGAGGCUGCCGUCGGAGUCCAUGUCGAAUCGCAUGAAGAUGUCCUUCAGCUGCUUCAGUUGAUCGGAUCCGAGCGCGGCCAUCAUUAGUAUAACGGCGGCCGAGAAGAAGAAGAAGAAGAAGAAGAAGAAGGAAGGGAUCGAGAGAUCCAGACGAUUUGAAUUUUGUGAGAUUUUGGGAGUUUAAUUUCGGGUGGAUUGGGUUUUUUGUGUGUGGCGCUGAUUGGUUUGUGUUUUUGGGUUUUUUUUCGUUUUCGUUUUUGUUUUUUGAGUUUUAAUUUUUCUUGUGUUUGGAUUAAAAGUUUAAAAACUGAAAACGCGUUUUUGCCAAGAGUUGAUCAAUUGCUACGUGGUUAUAUAUUGGGGGGGAUGCUACUUAGGGGCUGUUUGUUGAUUGACUAUAUUCAGGAGAAAUUUUCAAGUGUGUCAAGAAUAUUUUCGGUACAUUAAGUGCCAUAAUACCGUUGAUUGGAAACUUGAAAAAAAAUAUUCUUACCAAUUAUAUCAUGACACUUGAUAUAUCAGUCCGUAUUCCGGCACAAUGAAAAAUCUCUCCAUAUUUAUGACUUAAAUAUGUGUUUUUCUAUUUUGGGAAUAAUGUGUUGAUUUGGGUCUAUUUAAGUUUUGAAGUAAAUUCAACGCGCUGACAUUUGUGAGUUAAGUCAGUUGGUCAAAGUGAUGCAUUUGCUUCUAUGCACUCAAGUUUGAUCUCAAUUCCCAUAGAAGUUAAACUUAUUCUAACGCGUUUAGUCCAAUGUCAACUAAAAUAAACUUUCGAUUAUGCCGGAUUAAUUAAUUGAUUAAUUAACAACUUUUGUUUUAUUUUUAUCAAGAACAUGGCCUAGCUGUGAUGAGUGUUCAAUCAUUUUUAUUUCUUCUUUAAAAAAUGGGAUCAGCAGGUGGCUUUAUCACGAUAAUCUACUUUUUAGAGGCCGAAAAGAUUUUUAGAGUCAUUUCAGGCUCCUCUAGUUACCAUCGUGUGAUUGGAGCUAACAUAAUUAGGUGAAGAACAUUCGAGAUUCAAUGUGUAGAAUCUAUGUGAAAGUGGCAUUUUCUUAGAAUAUGCAGAGAGCUUCAAUGACAACAUAUUUACAAAGUUGACAUAGUUUGGUUGUGUAGACGCGUGACAAUAAAGACUUAUUUGACAUUUAUAAGCAUGAUGUCAUUAUAUUCGAGAUGUAUGAUAAGGUUUAAGAAUCCAAGCCUUUGAUAUAUACCAAGGGAUGCCAUAUAUAUGCAUAACCUUCUUCAACAUUUGUUCCAUUUGAAUUGCGUACAUUUUCAUCAUAAAACGAAAUGAAUGUGCCACAAUAUUUUGAUCAAUGGCUACUAAAACCCAUUUCGAUUAUACCUGUCACUCUACAUUUAUUGUCACGCGACUAAUUAUGUGACAAGAGAUGUCACGUGACUGGAAAUGCAGAGAAAUGAGGAACAUACGAAACAUGUUGCAGGUAAGUUUUUUCGCGAUUGAAUAGCUACCUAGCUUUAUGAUCAAUAGAUGACAGAGCCACCAUUUCAAUCAAGUGAUAUUGUACAAAACUAGUAUCAAAUGGAUCAUGAUUUGGUGAAUGAUGAGUUGGGGAGCAACCCAAUUCUCCCCUACCCCAAAAGCUUCCAAAUCCAAACUCUCCUCUCUGAGAAAACUCCUGCAGCACCUCCUCCACCUCCUCCAUGCAGCGCCUGCAACUAUGUCCUCCUCCUGCCUCCAUGGAUGAUCUCAUGGACUCUCCGACAACACUCGCAAAGUCAACGUCUUUACAUGUAUCCAACACUAUAAUCUCUUUUCUCCUUCUCUGUUGAAGCUUCUUCAUGGUGUACUCUCUCGUCUUUCGGAUCAACUUGCAAGGGAGCUUGUACAAGAUGAAGAUGGUGAUUUGGAGGAUCAAGCACUGGCAGCAGCACGAAAUCACAACGCAGUCUGCGGCAAUCAUGUUGCAGUCUUCCAUGGCUGCGAAAAUCGGGAGGAAAUGGGUGGUGGUGGUGUAGAAAACAGUUUAAAGAAAUCUUCAUGCCCCGGUGGUGGUGGUGUUUAAGGAAUAAGUUCCUUGCCUUUGUGGGAGGUAAUAGGAAGGGUGAAGCAAUUGGAAUGAUAUGUGGCGCUGUAUAUGAGUCAUGACUUCAAUCAUUGUCUAACAUUAAAAAAAAAAAAAAAAAAAACUCUAGCUUCCAAUAGGGGCUAUCCAAUAUAAUCGAAUUUCUUUUUUCAAACGAUAUUCUAAUUUAAUCUAAAAUACGGGAAACAAGCUCAUUCCGUUCUGCAAUAUAUUAAAAUAUUAGGAUGUGAAAGGGAAACAUAAAAGCUGUUGUUGCUUGGCUUCUACUUCUCCUUGGUGGAAGAUUUCUUUGAUAGCUUUAAGCAUUUCCAUAGAAGGUGUCACGGAGCUGUCUUUCAAAGAAAGUUCUCUCCCCCCUCUUGGAAGACUUGCAAAUUUAUAUAUCUGCAAACCCAGUUUACCCCAAAUAUUUUAGCACGUGACGAGUGAGACACUUGUAAGAAUAUAUCCCGGGGUAUACUCAAGAUUUCCGUGUUUCUGAGGAUGAUGGGGCGGCCUGCAGGCUGAUUUAACAAGCUCGAAAUAGAGGGGUACGUAUUUUCGAUCUGAGAUUGUCACAUAUAAAUCACAAAACAUGGAGUUGUGAAAGAGGGGAAGCAAAAGAGGGAAGAAUAGGAUCCAUGGUUAACAAAAUUGAAUUAUUACCUUUAUAACACCACCAAAAAUAUUGGUGGAUGCAACAAGAUCAUCAUACAUAGGCUAAGUAAUUACAGGGGCAAAAAAUGGCGGUCCAUAAACGUAUAAUAUAGGCGGAAGCUAAAAAUGGACCUUCACAGGAACGAUGGAACGAUCUAUACAUCCGCUGCAGUCAGUUCCAGUUGCAGAAAGAUCAGGUCCCAGCUGAGCCAAUCCAAAUCUAGCUCAAUCUGGCAAAACCCCUUUCAGCUAAGUGUUUAACUCUCCGAAUGUGUACUAUACCUCUUCGCUGAAAAAAUCUGUACUGUAAUUUUGACUACCAAAUGCCAUUCUCCGGAACAACCUAAUUUCAGCUGAUUGUUGUGCCGAGUCAAAUGCCUCACUUUCCCCCACUCUCAUUCCGUUGUUUAUAUCGGAAGCAACAAAACUAUCAAAAGCUCUAACAACCUGAGGAGAGUGAGAAUGAUGAUGUUAGCUUAAGCUGGUGAAGUGAAUGAAUUCACAUUAUAAAAAAAUUUCAGCUUCUUAUUACCUGUCCCAUUCGUGGUCUCUUAGCAGAUGAAUGUCGCACACAAGCAGCAGCAAUCUCGAUCAUUCUGAACAUUUCAGUAUCCACAUAAUUCUUUUCGAGCCUUGGAUCUACCACGCCGUCAAAAUCUUCAUUAUCAAGAGCAUAACUCAACAACGGCCGAGCCUGGAUGGUAAAAUGCGUCUCUUGUCAGGAAAGCUUGGGUUUGACCUUAGAACAUUCAGUUGGUUAACUAUACAGUUUUAUUUCAUUCAAUAAACAUAUUGUCAAUUUGUUACAUAUAUGUCUCCUAUGUACAGUCUCACAUCUUUAUUAUGCAUUUAUCUACGUACUUUUGAAAAAAUUGAAAUGAAUUCACAACUAAGGCGAGACUAAAUUGUGCCCGCUGAAUCCAGACAAAUAUUGACAGCAUAAUCAGAGAGUGAAAAAGAUUUCAUGCAUUGAGAUUUCUUUCUGUAAGACGGUUCUGGAGUUUCAAUGCAUUCCUUGUUUAAAAACUAUAGGGCCAGAAGAUCUCACUCAAUAAAUUGGGGACUUCAAAAUAUUCAACCGAAAAUAUCAAAACAUUAUUAUCGAAUUGAAGCAAAGUAAUAUAAACGCUGCAGCAUGAUAUGUCCAGUAUGAAAAGAGGAUGUAAGUUUACCCAUUCAACUAGACUCUCAUCUCCCAAGGGUUGGGAUGUAUCUACAGGCUUCCGUCCAGUGAUCAACUCAAGAAGCACAACUCCAUAAGAGUAAACAUCAGACUUCUCAGUCAAUUUCCCACUUGAUGCAUAUUCAGGAGCCACGUAUCUGAAAAUCAAGCGGAAUCAAUACAUUAUCAGGCAUGAAAGGUAUGUUUGUGAUGACAGUAUAAAUUAAAAUAUAGAAGAAACCUCAAGAAUAGCUUUGAUACAAGUAGAAAGCAUAUGGGCCAACACUAGAUUGCUGACGUACCCAAACGUUCCCAUCACACGUGUGCUUAUAUGCGUAUUUGCAUCAAGCGCUAAUUUGGCAAGUCCAAAAUCUGAAACCUGUAAAGUAAAGAAGGAAACCAUGAGCUACAACCUAACCAAAAUAUAGGAGUACUGAAAUGUGCUCUGAGUGAAAUCAUGCUAUACCCGAGCUUCAAAGUUGUUAUCUAAAAGAAUGUUUGACGACUUUAUAUCCCUGUGAAUAAUUCGAGGAUGACCUGACAUUAAACAAAUAAAACCAAACUUGGUCAACAAAACACUUCCAGUUAAAUUAUGUAACCGAUAAAACAAUUGUACGAGGAUAUAGUAACCCAAACAUUCAGCUAUCAGAAUCCAGAAACUCAGGGUAGAUAAUUACAAUCUUCAUGAAGAUAAGCGAUCCCACGAGCUGCACCAGCAGCAACCUUAACACGUGUCGCCCAGUCCAGAACUGGCCUACCUUCUCCUGAAAAUUGCAAGGUGCAAAACAUGAGAUUACGGAACCAUUAUCACUAACUGUUACUUAAAAGCUCUGUUAUAGAUAUACCAUGAAGAUGAAAAUAAAGGCUAUCGUUAGCAACAUAUUCAUAGACGAGCAGCCUUCGAUUAUCAGAGAUGCAGUACCCAACCAGAGAAACCAAAUGGCGGUGAUGUAUGCGACUAAUAAUCUCAACUUCAGCCUUGAAUUCUCGCUCACCCUGACCCCCUCCAAUUUUUAGUUGUUUUACUGCCACCUCUCUCCCAUCUGGUAGGCAUCCCUUAUAAACACAACCAAAUCCGCCUUCGCCCAAAAGAUUCUGAGAUGAAAAACCAUUUGUGGCCUUAGCUAGUUCUUCAAAAGUAAACCAUGGUCUUGAAUUUCCAACUCCUGCUUGUUCUGGUGGAGGACUCAUGAACUCACUGCCAGAACGGCUUCCAACAAGGGGAGCUGAAGAAUGUGCCUUCAAGAAGGAUGAAUCUGGAAACAAGUUACAAAAGCCUUCUUAAAUACAACGGCUUAUAUGAGCUGAUUAAUUUAUCCCAUACCCUGAUCUGAGUGAGGCUAAAUAUACUCUUAAAAUAGUAUGUUGAACUUAUUGAAAUUUAGAAAUAUCAUUAAACAGAAAAUCCCACAUUCAUAAUAACAAAACAAGGAAUCAACUGCGUUAUGUAUGAUUGAAGGUACCUGAUCGUGGAGAAGAAUCCAUAGUGGAUUGCAUAGCAUAACCUUCAAACCCGGAUACUUUUUUCUUUUGCCUCCUCAUGCACCAUACAAUCAACCCAACGAGACUAAGCACUACUGCCCCUACCACUACUCCAAUCGCCACUAUGCCUCCGGUACCAAUGCCGUUGGAAUUUGAACUUUGUGGUGCAUUCGGACUGGAAGUGUUUGUUAGUGGACUUGGAAUUUGAGAAUGAACUGGUGGAGAAGCCUGUGAGGGGGGAGGUGGUGACAUUCUUAUGAUGGGUGGUGGAGGUGAAGGGGUUGGUUGAGAACCAGGUGGGGCUGGAGUAGUACGGCUAGGAGGCGGGGGUGCUUUUCUGGGAGGUAUUGAUGCUGGUGGAGGAGAUGAACUUUCAGGGGGGGUUGAUGCUGGUGGUGGAGGUGAACUUUCACGGGGGGUUGAUGCUGGUGGUGGAGGUGAACUUUCACGGGGGGUUGAUGCUGGUGGUGGAGGUGAACUUAUGGGUGGCACAAUUGCUGGAGGUGGGGGUGAAUUCGGUGGUGGGUCUGAUGGUGACGGUCGUGGUGAAGUUUUGGGGGGACUUGAUGGAGGUGGAGGAGACUUCUCAGGUGGCGGUGAAGUUUCAGGCGGCUUUGAAGAGGGUGGAGGUGGAGGUGAACUCACUGGUGCGGGAGAUUGCGGCGGAGGAGGUGAACUUGCAGGUGGAUCAGAUGUUGGUGGUGGCGGAGAAGGUGAACUUUUCGGUGGAUUUGAUGAUGGUGGGGGUGGAGAACCAGAAGUUGGUGAUGGGGGUGAAGAAUCAGAAGCUGGUGGAGGUACAUUGGAUGAAGGCGGUGGUGGCGAGGUUGGCGGUGAAGCAGAUUGUGGAGUUGGAGGAGGUGUUUGUGUUGGAGGUGGUGAGGAUGUGGUUGGAGGAGGAGCUGAUGAAACAACAGGUUGCGGAGAUUGAGUGGUUGCCUUAGAGGACUCUGGUGAAUCCAAAUUCGGCUGAGAAGACGGUGUCGGUGUGGCGGUUGACGGCGAUGUUAAAGUAGUAUUGGAAGCUGGCGGCACGGCGGAUGGAGACGAAUUUGGAGAUGGCGAUGUGGUUGCCAUCUAACUAGACCCAAAAUCCAGUGAUGGAUACCAUAUAACUCACACACCACAACCUUCAAUCAAUCAUGAAAUCUUCAAUCUUUUCACAAAAAAAACAGAGCUUUCAAUACAAAAGGCCAAAAAUUAGAGAAAAACCCAAGCGACAAGUUUCAAGUCUUUGUCAAACCAACAUCUCCAAAAACUUCAAAAAAUGGAAUUCCCGAAAUUCCCCCCACCACCAAACUCCACCAACCAAUCACCUCCAAAACAUCAAAAUAUUCUUCUGUGAUCAAAAUCCCAGAAACCCAACUCAGCAAACAGGCUUUUCAGAUCACUAACUUCAAAGAGUGUGAGAGAAUUCUAAUUUCACAAAUAUUAAAGUAGCAAUCUUUCUCUAAGUGAACACUCAAAAAUCCAAACUUUAAGUGACCAAACGCAGCAGAAGCAGCAAUAUUAUCACAAAUUGGUACUAAUAAGCAAAACCCAAAUGGUAAAAUCUGGAAAGGACUUACCUUUACUUCGUCAAUGAUGGCCAAACAAAAACCCUAAACUUUGAUCUCUUGAAACUUCCUUAUCUCCCAACUCUGCACCGGAAGUUCAACACACGGCUUGUGGGGUCUCAAAUGUACUCUGCGAAAACUGAAAACGACUCCGAAAGAAAAAUUAUUAUUGUUUGAUGACAAUUUAUAUGGUAUUUUCUUUUUUUUAAACUCUUUCUUUUUUUCUUUUCUUUUUUUUGAAAAAAUAAUCAUAAAUAUUGACAGAUUAAUGUGGUUGGCUUUUUUUUCUAACGUCCAUUUAGUACUACGCAACGUAAACGCAUUGUGCAAUUUGGUCAGCGCAAUUUAAAUCUUAUGGAGUUUGGACCUUUUCCAUUUGUUUCCUUUCAAAUAUAUUUAGAUUUCAUAAAUUUGUUUUUAUAAAGUUUGAUACGUUAUAAUAACUAUCAAUUAAUUGAAUAUAAACAAAAUGUUGUAAAAUAGUAUUAUCAAAAUUUUGGCUUUUCAUUCUGUUUCCUCUUAUGAUUUUUUAAUGAUUUUCACGCGAGCAAUAUCAUACGUCGGUAGAAAAUUUCCGGCUCAAUUUUUUUUAAGUUUGAAAAGAUAUGGGAGAUAUGUAUUAGUUUUUGCAGUGUGUUAUUACGUAAGCUGUCAUAUAAAAUGGAAUUAUUCUAUAACUAUGACAAUUAAAUUAGUAAACUAUUCACCUCCCUAAAAUGUUGAUUUCGUCCUUAAAGACAAUUUAAUACUAUAAACAAAUAGAAUAAUCACUGUAAUGUGCCUGUAGUCUGUAGUUUUUUGGAGUUUAAUUUUGGAGCCACGAGUUUGACAACAUUCUUUAAUGCCACCAAAUCCAGCUUAGUCCAACUUUCUUUUUUUUUUUUUUUUUUUUAAUUUUAUAUAUAUAUUCGUUCAAAAUUUUGUAAAGAAUGUGCUAUUUACAUAUUUAUUUAUUUAUAUAUUUCUGUUUAUUGAUCUUUUGAUCAUCUUCAAUUCAUUUAAUUCGACGGUUAAGAAUUGAGAGGUAUGACGUGUAAAAGAUAAAAAAAAAAAAUUAUAUAUAUAACACCACUAUUUUGUAAAUCGGCAAUUCAGCAACUCAGCAAUAUACAUAUAUAUACACAUAUAUAUACAUACAUAUAUACAUAUAUGCAUAUUCUCGAUGGGAACAAGGACAAUCUCCGAGCAUAAUCUUUUAUUUUGUUCACAUUAGAAGAAAAGACUACAUGCAGGGUUAAAGUAAUCCGUUAGUUUAUGGACAAGCGAUAGGAUGCUAUGAAAUAUAAUAUAUUGAAUAGCGGGUUUAAUCUGGUGGCGGUGGGGCCGGCCCGGCAUGGAUAAAGAGAAGUAAUUUUGUGUUGUGAUUUUAUAAUUUAGGGAAAAUUAGAAUUUCCUAUAGUUUUUUUAUAUUAUUUAGAUUAAACAUUUGUGUUUUUUUUUAAAUUUGAUUAAAAUGCUUUGAUCAAUAGUCACCUCUAUUUUUUAAAAUACUAUUUAUCGUUUUAUCUGCAUGAUGCACUUUUCCUUAUUUAGUAGAGAUAUUAUUAAUUAAACUAUAUUUUCUCUUCUUCCAAAUAUGUUUUUUCAAUCACAGGUUUUUUUUUUCGUUAUGAAAACAUUUAAUAUUAUUUCUUUUUCCAAAUGGUUUUUCUUUUUUCAAAUAGUUGGUAAUCAACAUAAAAGUUCCAUGUAAUUUUUUCAAUUUUUUUGUGAAAUUAUUAUUAUUAUUUUGCUGUUUUUUUUAGUAUAGUUGUUGACGAAUUAUUAUUAGGUACAAUACAUUACAUAUAUAUUAUCUGCGGGUAUGUUUGUAUUUACAAAAUUUUUUAAUUUGUACGUUUAUUUGCAAUUUUGGUACGUUUGAUUUGAUACUUAUUGUUAAUAUUGUUACAUUAUUUUUAUUUUGGUACGUUUUAUUUUGUACAUGUAUUGGUAUGUUUAUAUUAUUCACAAUCUUAUUUUCUCUUAAAGUACUAAAAGAAAAACUUAUUUCGGUACGUUUGAUUUUGGGGGAUUUAAAAAUAUUUUAAACUAUUUUGGAAAGAAAAUAUCUUAAAUUCUAGAUAAUUAUUGCUAAAUUGUAGCAUUAUUGUGAAAAUAAAUUGAAUCUAACCAACUUUUUUUUUUUUUACAAUUAUCUCUAAUGGAGAAGAUAGUAAUCAAAAGGUUAGAUUAUAGGAAAUUUGUUACAAUAUAAUGUGCAUAUAGCACCAAAAUUAUAACAAAAAAAAGUUUAAUCAAAUCACUAAAAGACAUGGAUGUUUGAUCUAGAAAAUUCAAAAUUGAGACGCCUAUAUCAAAAGAUCCCCAUAAUUUAAUAGGAGGAGCAUCGUCUCUCUCACAGAGGAUGUCUGCAGAAAUUGUCAAAUGUUUGAAAGUGGAGGAGGUGGUGGGUCAGUGCCCUAAUUAUGCCCCGUCUGUUGCUGUUUUUCUGCUGCUGCUGCCCGUGAAGCUCCUCCACGGGCUGCUGUUUUGGAUCUUGACGUCGAGAUUGCUCGGUUUCAAAGCUACCAUGGUAUCAUUUGAGACCUGAAAUCUAAAUCCUAAAAUGUGAUUUAUCUACGACAAAGAAUGCCCACGCAUAUGUAAAUCGAUUAAAGUAGUGUGUUUUCUCUUUUGUAUUUAAGUUUGAAUUUCUUCGUCAUAAUUUAAAUUACUAAUAUGUAAAAUGUUGUUCGGUGUUUACUGUUGUUUAAAAUUACAAUGGCUCCUUUAUUUUUCUAAGUUAAUAUGUGGAGUAAUGCUAAGUAGACCGAAUUUCUAAACCAAAUUUGCAUUGGAUUAAUGGGUAAGUUGGUAAGUGGGUUCUUUUUUUUUUUUUUGCAAAAUUUAACUUUUUAUAAGAAUCAAUAAAUUUUUUUUUUCAAAUACCGGAUAUUCAAAUGGUACUCUACAUGUCAUAAUACAUUUUUCGUGUUCCUAUACCUAUUUUAUAACACGUGAGUGCUCAUUUAAAAACUAAUCACUUUGAAAACGUGGUAUUGGGGAAGAAAAGUAAAAGCAAACCGCGAAUAUACGAAGCACACGCGUGCACAGUAACAAUUCUGCCCAAGUGAUAAGAUCGUGGGAAGAAAAGCCGAAAUCUAGUGAAAACACACAUGCAAGUUGCAACCACGACCACGACAUCAAGGUUCCCAAAGUCUACUCCCCGCACAUUGACGUCGUAUUCUUGCACUUCAUUAUUGAAACGAUGCCACAUGUGGUGCAACUUUCUAGACACGGAGGAGUUGGAGAACUCCUUUGCAAUUAAGAUAUUACAUGAGUUAGUUGCCGUAUCUCAUAUCAAUCACAUCUUGUUAAGUGUUAUUAAAAUUUUUUGGUAACAAGUUUGAGUUGAGUUAAAAUGUUUACCUAUUUAACAUAACGUUUUGCGUCAAUUAUACAACACGCGUAAAUUUCUCUAAAAAACAUUAUAUUAUUAGCAAGAGAAAUCACGUUCCUGAUAUAUUUGUGUUAUGAAAGUUACUCUCGCAUUUGAGAGUUAAAAAGUCAACCAAACCAAAUUACGUUACCUUUAGCUUAAGCUUAUUAAUUGAUAAUUUACCCAUUUGGGUCACAUUGAUUUUAGGCGCAGGAAUGUCUAAAAAGUUUGCCCCAAAAGUAAAGAAAAUAGAACAAAGGGCUUUAAGCCCAAUCCGCCUAACUUGAACUUAGAGAUCCACAAUACAAGCCUAACCUGACAACCUCCGUCUCACCAAACUAACUUAAUUGAAAAUUAAGCAAGUUUGUUGCAAGAGAAGUUCAUUUUUCUGGGUUACUCUAAACUUGAUACACUCCGGGACAUAUCUAAUCGAUGUGUUUCCGGUAUACGAAGGAGAAAAACUAACUAUUUUAAAAUUCAAAAAAAUGAAAAAUGAGAAAAGUUUACAAGAACUACCGUGUUUAGUGGUGUUCAGCUGGUGGAUUGAAGCAGCUUCAUAUAUUUGGAGAUUACCGUACCUUUACUUUCACCCGGGCCUCCACGGAUGUAUGCUUGGAUUCCACAGCGGCAACUGGAGAUCCUAUAAUCCUGUUGGGGGGUGCUCUAUAAUACAAGAUCCUUGUUUGCCCUUCAUGCGAGAAGACAAAAAAAUGGUUAACAAGGAACGUGCAGCAGGGUGGCGGCCAACUUCAACAAGGAGGCUUGACUGCGAACCAUGACGUGAGAAAUAUCCUUUUUUACUCUUGCCUAAUCGUGAAUUUCUUCUAGCAAUUAUCACAGCUGCCCAACUCUUUCCUAGUUUCGUUUGGAAUUUGCCUGGGGAAAAAGAAGGCAAACAAAAAAUAAUAGUUACAAAUAGCAGAAAUCACAAAUUUCCCUACUCUAGUUAGCAUCAAAAUAAAUCAAUCUAGCUGCUGUCGAAAUGAAGAACUCAUCCAGCACCUUUCCAUGUUCUGUUUGGGAAUAAAAAUAUCAAGAGAGGAAGAUAAGAAAGCUAACAAAGUUACAGCAAAAGAAUGAAACACUUUUACCCAUUUCGUAUUCCAACGCUUGCAGAAUCAUUUCAACCUGGACAGAAUUGCAUAACCAUACUGAAUGAAGGGAAAUCUUAAGAAAUAGUGGAAGGUCUGAAAGGUCUAUACGCGUAACUCAUGUCAGCCCAUAUAAGCACGCAGCACGCAAGUAGGAAUGAGUAUAUUUCUUGUGUUGCAACAUUACUUUAGUCUAAAGAAAGGUUUGGAAUUGGCACUGUAGAAAUGAAUAGUGUUUCAAUCCGAAUUUCAGAUUAAUUACAACCAUGCCAUUGGUCUUUGUGUUGGUUUUGGGUCAGCAGCUCGGCCCUUAGCUAGGCCCAAAUGUGUUGGUUUUGGCUGGGAAGCCUGGCCCUUAGUGAUGCCCAAAUUAUUUAAUUACAUUUUUGCCCGUCUAAGAUUAGAAUCCGAUGGUGGGGAUGGUGUAUUAUGAAGGGCAAUUUUGUCCUCUCCGUUUUGGGCGAGAUGGGGGGUCACCGGUUAGGUAUCAUUUGUUGUCAUUCAAUUAGGGUUUCAGGGAGGGUCUGCGAGAGAGAGAGAGAGAGAGAGAGAGAGAGAGAGAUGGCGAUGCAAGGAGAGCGAGGGGGAGGGGGAGGGGUAGGGGUCUCGGCACUGUUGCUGCAGAUGGGAGGGUCGGUAUGGUCAGAGAAUACCAUAUGGAUCGUCGGGAUUUUAGGGAGACGGGGUAGGGGUCAUCAACAAACCCUACUGAGAGUGGGGUGUGCCGGAUCUUGCGUUGCAUGCCUCAAAUCCAAAGAUAAGUUCUUUUUUCAAUUGUAUUCUUUAAUGGUGCCUUAGAUUUUCUAAUUGUUUAAGUAUGUUAGGUCCGGUUUUGGGGGAUUUGUGAUUUUAUGGAGAGAGAUGGAUAGGGAGAUAGAGAUUGACAGAGAAAGGAGAAAGCAUGGCUAUGUGCAUUUUUUGGGGUUAAUUAAUGGGUUGGUGCGCAGAGUUAGUGAGGAGAGAGUGACAGAGGGGCAAUAUGGGCACUUUUCUUGGCAAUAUAGUGCUUAGCUUAAAAUUAGAAUGUGAUUAAGUUGUAUUGAAUUUGUUCGAUUAACCAUUGGACCAUUUAUAGUUCAUUUAAUCUUUUGAAUUAUAAGCUAAUGUGUUGUGUCCUUUACAUUUCUUGGUAUGUUAUUGAUAUGGAAAACAUCAUCUAUCUGUUCUAUUUAUCGCAUGUCAUAAGAAUCAAAGUAGACUUGGCAUCCUUUUUGUGGCCUUUUUUGUGUUGGCAGAUGCCAUCAGAUAGGCAAAAUCAUAUUGGCUACAAAGUGCAAUGAAUGCUACAGGUUACUAAGUUUCGCCAUAUGCCUUCAUUGUGGCAUUGCCCUUUCUACAACAAGUAAGCAUUCUAAUUUCACUUUGUGGAAUGAUAUUAAGUUGACUUAUGGAAUAAUAUAGAGUUGUGUCAUGCAUGAAAACUAUGAAUCCAUUUCAUCAUGCAUUUUUUAGUUAAACUACUAUGUUUUUGUUCAAUUGACUACAAUUCAUGCCGCAGUUCGCUUCACAAACCUCUACUGUUAGCUUCCAUACAGUAUGUUGCAAGUUUGAGGAUAUCUCUUGUUACACCCACCCAUAAUUUAAAUUGUAUUUUCACUAAGUUUGAGAUUAUCUUGCUUUUAAAAUGGUUUUUGAGUCUUAAAUGGUGUGCCCAAGGGGCCCACCCUGUUUUGUCCCCCGGUUCCCUUUCCAUUUUCUUUUAUUUUUCUGAAAAGUCUUCCUCUUUCUCUCUUCUCCCUCACUCUCCCUUAUCACUCUCUCUCGGCUCUUUCUAUCUCAACCCCUCCGAGGGCUUUUCUUACCAACAAACAACACCACAACAACAUCAACAUCUCCAUUAGCACCCUAGUGAGCUUAGAAUCGAAGAAAGAACACCCCAAACCCUUCUCUUCCUUUCGGCCGGUACUGUUCAUCAUCUUCUCCGUCGAGUUUCGUAUCGUUCCGACGUUGGUAAGCUUCUAGAAGACCUUGUUUUGUAUUUUAGGGUUAUAUCGAAGCUUGUUUUAAGUUGUGUAUACGUUUGAAUCGCAGAAAAUAGCUCGGAGUAGCUUUUCCAAAUUUUCCGGCGAGCAUGGCCACUUUCGAGGAAUUUUCCGGCCAAACCACUAUGCGUUGGCCGGCAUGCAAGAUAUAAAUCUCUUCGUCUCGCUGAGUACUACAACUUUCCUUUUUGUUUCACCCAAUUUCGUUGAGUAUUGAAGAAGUUAUACUCAUUUGACUCUUACCCAGUUUCCAGCGACCUCAGAGGCUUUCGAGGCAGUUUUCGGUCAAACCAUUGCGAGUUAGACGUCUUGUAAGGUACCAUUCUCUUUGUCUCUUCUAGAACUACAACUUUCCUUUUUGAAUCACUCGAUUUCGUUGAGUUUUGACAAAGUUAUGGCUGUUUAAAGUUGGUGUAGAUUUCCAGCCGAAUUCCGGCCUUCUUCUUCCUUGGGUCCGGCGACCCAUCAAGAAUAGGCCUUUUGGGCCUUUCCUGCCGAGCCCAACCCAAACCCAUUUCUUUUAUUUAUUCAUUUUGUUUUAAUUUUAAUUGGUUAAUAAAAAGGCCUUUGGGCCAUUUUAUUUAGGGCUAUAGGCCCGUCCUCUAUAGAACCCAAAAACCCUUAGGUUUAAGGCCUUUGAGCUUUAGCGGUUGGGGGCCCUAAGCCCAACCCUAACCUUUUAAAUUAUUUUUGUUUAUUAAAUUGAUUUUAAAAACCCUAAAGGCCUUUAGGCCAUUUUCCUUUAGGGCCUUAUGCCCGUGCAUCCUAAGCCAACCCAUUAAACCUCAUUACCCUUAACCUUUAACCCUGAUCUGUCCAAACCCUUUAUGGGAAAUAUUCCGUUAGGGAAUAUUCCAUUAGAGAAUAUUCCGUCAAGGAAUAUUCUAGGAAUAUUCUAUCAACUUUUACGAAGUUUAAAUGAGUCCAUUCUUAGGGUAAUUCGACGUCCUGAAUCCGUUUCCAACAUCCGUUUUUCCAAAUUCAAUUGUUAUAAUAAAGUUUUAUUAAUUGGACCAUUUAUGUGCUUAGGGACAAUAUUUGUGACGUUUCCAUGGUUGCUAGUUUGCGUGGCUCUUCGACGGCUAAGUAUCUGUGAGUGGACCUAGGGCUGGGUUCGGUUCAAAACGGUUCGGUUUUUUGCCAAAACCGAAACCGAACCGAAAUUUCGGUUCGGUUCGGUUCGGUCCAUUUUUUUUUCGGUUUUUUUCGGUUCGGUUUCGGUUUUUUUCGGUUUUUUUUUUUUUUUUUUUUUUUUUUUUGGAAAAAAUGAAAACAAAAUUGAAAUCUAAAAUUUUAACAUCUCCAACACAAUUAUAAUAUAAGCAUUCUAACACAAUGAACAAAAUUUAUAUGAAAAAUGCACACAUCUUUAAAAUACAAAGUACAAGCCUAUCAUUCCUAAACAUGAAGUCGUUUAAUUACCAUACCUGUUUCACCAUCAACUGCAUGAACAUUAUCAGUAAUUUAUUUGAAGGACCACAAAGCCAUUAUCUGGACGUCUAGUAUUCAAAGGAUAAUCUAAAAUUGAACACCACCCAGAUGGAUGGACAAAAAGAACGCUUUGAAGGGAAGCCUAAAAUUAAUUUGAGACAAUACAGAUGCAUAUAACCAGUUUUCUCUAAAGUGAUAUAAGUAUAUCUUAUAUAAAUCAUGUCAACAAGAACAAGCCUGGAUGUUCAAUUCUAUUUGUUCUCUGAGAAAUCAAUACCAACUUCAUAUAUUGUCCAGAUCCGUUUACAAUUUAAACUCUAAUACUCAUACAUAAUGUAGUCAAGAAACAAUAUGCUCUAUUGAUGCUAGGUUUGAUGGAAAUCUUCCUUCAGCACCAAAAACGUUAUCCAUAAUAAAACGCUACUCAGAGAAUUGCAAUGCCUAUGCUACUUUUCAGAACACGUUACCAAUGAAUCUUUGGUCUUUUCCAUCAUGACUUAGCAAGUCCAAGAGUCCAUAACCUAAAUGAAAAUACAUGUUUAACAAGAUUUUUACCACUAAAAGAAACAACAUAUGAUUUACAACCUUCAACAACAUGUCAAAUUUGCAGGGCCAUAGUUUCACUUAAGGAAAUACAAGAGUCGGCAGAGAAAGAAAUUCAAAGAUAACAGGUAAUCACAUAUCAUGGAAGCUCUGAUUCCCAGAGAAAUAUACUUAUCUCCAUCCUCUUUUCAAAUUAUACAUAAAAGUAGGCUAUCUAUCGUCACUACACCUUGCCAAACCAUAAAGCUGCUGAUUUCCUCCAAUAGCCGAGCUUCCACAUAUAUUACCAGCUUGACAGAUUACCCCAAAAACAAAAUGAUAAGUCAAACAUGAUCAAAUUGUUCCCAAAUUAAGACGAAGAAAGAAACUGCAAAAGCAGCUCAAAAAAAAUCCAACUGGGUAACAAGUAAGCAAAAAGUUCCCAACUCAAAUUUAGCAUGCAAUUAAAAAUGAAUGAGCAAAAAAAAUUCAGAAGUACAAAAAAAGACAAUUACUUUCUAUUUCCCUAACCUCAAAUUUCUCCCCUGAGCAAAUUUAACAUACAAUUAACUGAUUAAGCAAAAAAAAAUGAAUGAGCAAAAAAAAUUGUAAAGAAGUGGGAAAGAACACAGAACACCUUGAUUUUUGUGUACUUUUCGUAGAGUUUGGAGUAGAGAGCUUCCGUCUGCGAACGAACAAGAAGAAGCUCACGGCGAGACUAACCUUUUGCAGUCGAGACUCGAAAUGGCAAGAAGAAGCUCACGGCGAGAUGAAGGACUGACGGCGAGGGCGAGGUGUGAGAGAUUGAGAGUGAGAUGGGUCGCCCCGUCGUGGGUCGCCUGAGAUUCAAGACCGAGAGAGACAGAGAGUUUGAGAGAGACAGAGAGUGAUUGAAGUUGAAGACCGAGAGAGAGAGAGAGAGGAGGCUAACCUUUUGCUAUCGAGACUCGAAACGGCGAGAUGAGAGACUGAUGGAGAGGGCGAGGUGUGAGAGAUUGAGAGUGAGAAGGGUCGCGCUGUCGCGGGUUGCCUGAGAGAUUGAGAGAGACAGAGCGAUUGAAGACCGAGCGAGAGAGACAGGAAGCUCAGGCGGCGCGAGAGGGUUACUGGGUUAGGGUUCAUGGAGGGAGUCUGGAGGCAGGGAACAAGAGAGAGAAUAGGGGAAUGAAAAAUAAAAAAGUUAGGGUUAAAGGAUUUUGUUGAUUUCUCAACAAAAUUAAAAAACAAUCUCAUAAAUCCUAAAGGCAUGAGGGUUCGAACCCAUUGCCACCAGUGUGAAAAAUUUCGCUUAAACCAACUUGGCAACAAGUUCUGUUUUGUUAUGAUUGUAUGCCUAAAUUAUUUAUAAUAUUGAAAAAAAAUUAAAUAUAUAUAUAUCGGUUCGGUUCGGUUCGGUUCAGUUUUCGAACCUCAAAAACCGAAACCGAACCGGUCAGAUUCGGUUCGGUUCGGUUUGACAGUUUCAGUUCGGUUUUUUUUCGGUUCGGUUUUUUUCGGCCUCGGUUCGGUUCGGUUGUCGGUUUUUUCGGUUUUCGGUUUUUUGAACCCACCCCUAAGUGGACCCCUUCUAAAAUGAUGUUUUAAUAAUAGAAAUGCAUACAUGAAAAGCAUGGUUUAUGAGAUGCUUUGAGAUAACAUUCUUAUUGAGGCUAGUUUGAAUUAUUACUAUUUUUCCUAUAACCUACGUUCUUAUAGAAUAUCUUAUGGAUGACAAUAUGAUAUUUAGAACAUGUUUCGAACACCUCUUUAUAGUAUAGAUGAUGGAUGACUUUAUACUAUGAAGUUGCUUUUCAAUAUAUAUGUGUUAAAUGGUUUUGUACUUACCUAGUGAUCCUUUCCGCUACGGGAUGUAGGGAUAGAUUCCGGUCCGUCCCGGGCGACGGUUUGGUGUUGGUAUAGGGCCUGGAGUGUGUUUCCUCUGGCUAUUAGCACAGGGACGGGGAGCCGGCAUGGGGCAUGAAGUGUAUUUUCCUCUUACUGUCUGCUCAAAGACGAGGAGCCGGCAUGGGGCCUGCAGGUUAUCGGACAAUUCACUAGUGAUUGUUAUAUAUACAAAUUAUGAUUUGAGAUAUUGCACGACAUGCUAGGUUUCGGAAAACCUAUGUUUAUCAUGAUAUGUGUUUUCAUAAAACAUGGGGGUUAGUACGUUGAUAACUGUUUUAUUAUAUAUAUAUAUAUAUAUAUAUAUAUAUCAACUUGGUCCACUCAUGUUUGUUUUGCGCCCCCUUCAGGACUUAGAAUCGAGGCAUAAAAUCCCGGCAUCCAGGCAUUUCCGCAUCAACAUCUUCGAGUCCUCUCGAUGUAGGACCCACUUCUUUGUUCAUUCAAUUUUAUAUUAUUUCUUUUAUUGUUCUAGUUAGUUGUAUGCUCUGAACACGUUCCUUAAAUGCAUAUUCUUGAACUUUUUAUAUUUAUAAGUCUUAUCCAUCAUUUAUUCUCAGCAUUUGCACUCAAUAAAUGGCUUUCGUCACCCUCGGAUGUCGGCCAUCAUGUGCCUAUCCUGGUAUUCAGGGAAUAUCGGGAUCGGGGCGUGUCAUCUCUACAUCUUAAUUUUUGCUCUAUGGUUGCUUCAAGUUUGUAAUUUUACAUGCUACACUGCCACUUGAUUUGAUUAUAAAAAUGUAAAACAAAAUCUGUCCAUGAUUUACAAAUUUGUAUUCGAUUUUUGAUGUUUUUCAGUGUAAGGCAUAUGUUGCACAAGUGAGGUAUGUAGGCUGCAGAGCAUAUAUUUUGCCAUCUUAACUACAAGGGCAAAAUAUGUGUAAACUGUAGCUUGCUUCUAUUUCUUCAGUCUUGUAUGGAAACAAACCUUCUGCUUAUUUUUGCCUUUGAACAGUUGUGGUUACAAAAUUAGCUACUUGAACAAGUCCUCAACACUUUCUAUUUUUAAUUACCUGUUGAAAUGGCUGUCUACACUACAUGACACAUAUUAUAUGUGUGAACUAAAUGUUUCUUCUGUUUCUUAAGGAAACAGAACUUUUUUUGAAACCAUCUCUUUCUAAUCAAAGACGUUCAAUUUCUUCCCACUCAUUAUACAAUGUGUUUAAAUGCCAACUCACUUGAAUGUAUUUAAAAGCAAAACUGUUUAUCUUAUCGACCUCAUCCACUCAUAUAUCCCUUUGUUUGUUCAUAAUUGUGUUGAAUUUAUUCAUCUUUGAAUUUAUUCAACUUAAAUGUAUUUUAUUUAUCCGAUUACACCUAAAACAGCUGGUUUCCGGGGCAACGCACGGGCCUAAUAUCUAGUAAAGAACUAAAUUAGACAUUUCAUCUGUAUGCCUAAUAUAUUGAAGCAUGUCCAUAUAACAUUAAAUACGAAUGCCUAAAUAUAUAUACUUUGUCAAGAUCUUUCCCAAGAUUAGCCUCUACGGACGAAUUAUUUUCAUACACCGUCCAAAUUUCUUUGAUCUCUCCAGCUGCAGAUAAGAACUUUUCCAAUUAAUACAAUUCUGAAAAUGAAUAUUUUCAGAUAUAAAAAGAGUUGCAGGAAGAUAAAAAUUAGGGAACUUUAACGAAAAGCUCAUGGUAUUGUUCACUUUAACGAAAAAUCACAUUUUUACACUAAAAAUUCAAUCCUGGUACUAUUCACUUUACCCUUUAUUUUGUCCUUAUCGUUAAAACUUAAAGUUUUCAAACAUUUUUCAUUAGUUUUCCUUAAAAAUUAAUGAUCAACCCUAAUCCCUCCACCAAGAACCAAGCACAUUUCAUCCAAAGCUGCUUGCUCCAUUCUGCUCUUCACUGCUUCCGGUACGCCAUCAGAUGGUGUUAUAUCUCCAACAAUAGCUGAGAAUAGUUCAAUAGCAAUCUACUAUCAAAACACAUUUAUAUAUAUAGGUAUCACACUAAAUCCAUUGUAAAUAUAAUACAGAUGAAUAACGUGAAAGAACAAGGGAACAAAAGAUACCUUCUGCAGUGUCGUGCACAAUUUGUAUCUUGAUACACCUGUUCUGUUGAGGUAAGGGAAGGCAAAACACGAGAAAAUAAGGUACUGCACAGAAAAAGGUCCAAGUGGCAUAUCAAUUACAUGUAUAAUCAAGCAAGUCCGAUUAGAAAAUGAUAAAGAGCAUAGGCCAUCAUAUAGCAUCCGAACUCCAACCUUUCUCUAUUCGAGCCAGGAACGUCACCAGCAAUCAAGGACAUCAAAGCCAUGCGAUACAUAUGAUCUGCGAUGGACUCUGAACCCUUUAUUCCCUGAUUGAUUGAUCCAACCCUUCCUUUUUGUGGUCUACGAGAGAGAGGGAUAUGAUACCCUGAAUCUUCUUGCAAUUCAUAUAAUGAAGACAUUGUAAGAAUAUGAGUAUGAGAUAGAGAAGUUUUGGGACCCGUUAUAUGUAUUCAGUUUGAUAGAAAAGUCUUGUUAAUAAGAGGAAUACUUAUCCUUGACAAAGAAGGAUUUUGUAUAGCAUUGAGAUCAGUUCUUAUGGAACAAGGAAACAAGUAUUUGUUUCCUAUAGGGAUUUUAAUUGGGAAUCCUAUCUGUUAUGGAAAAGACUAUAUGUAUAUAUAUAGUGGCCUCUCUUCUUACAGAACACACGCUCAUAUUGGGAUUUAAACCUAUUUGUAAGUCGAGUUCUUGAUCAUAUGCGAGAGAAGAGAAGGUUCACUGAAAAGCUUGGCGUCAUGGCUUCAAGAUCUGGAACUGCUGCAGGUAUGCUUUUCUUUUUCGUCCUCUCAUACACGAAUUGUGGUUAAUUCUUUUCAGGUUGUAGUUCAUGUUUUAAUCUUGUUUAGUAAUUCACUGCUAACAGACAUAUUAUAUACACCCCCACUAUUACUACUUCCACGAAUCAUUUUUCUCUUCAUUAGAAAAUCCUAUCAAGUUUUAAAACUAAAGUUACUAAAUUCUUCCCGGCAAGUCAAUUUUCCACUUUGUCCCACUUAGUGUAUGGAUUGCAUUCCAAAACAUCUCAAUCAAGAUUUUCACAAUAUGAAACAUGGAGUUCAAUUCAAGCACCCAUCUGUGUUUGGUAGUUGAGAAAAUUCAGAAGUACCUAAAUUUUCAACUUUCCUAGCUAGCUCCCACCCAAUCUCUCAGAGACUACAACACAAAUUUUCAAUCUUUAUAGACUGCAGAUCACAUACACAAACAAUUCUCCAACUUUCCAUUCAUUUUAUUGAUUAAUUUCUCGGUAACCAAACAUAUGGAAAACAAGCAGAAUCAGCGCAUAUCUUGAGACGGUGACACAAUGUGAGAAAAUCAAUGGCGGAGGAUGCCGGAUGAAGAGCCCGGAGACCCGAAUGAAGCAUCGGAUUCGUUCGAACUGACAGACCGCUUGGAGGCGAGCCGUCCGGACUGGGUGCCUGCCAACGAACGGAAACGCCGGGACUUCGGCGGAAAAUCCGGGUCUGGACUGUUGUGCCUUGGCUGGUUCGUUAGUGCAGAAACGAGAUUUAGAUUACAACCUCAUCAAAUCACACUCAGUUGAAUAUAAUAAAAUACAAGAAAUAAAGACACCGAGAAAUUUACAAGGUUCGGCAAAAAUCCUGCCUACGUCCCUGGAGAGAUAUUGCUCUUCACUAUGAAUAACAGUACAAGUACACAUGAGUUAAAUCAACAUAACUCAAUCCCGAAUCCCUUGCACACCCACUCAUAGAAUUUUCCCAAGAGCCUCACUCUAUCCCAAGAGUUUUUUCACUAUAAUACUUUUCACUCUAGCUCUCUUGAUUUUCUCUCAACCCAUGUUCAACCUUUCCCAUGGGAGAGCAGGAUGCUCUCCCCUUGGAUGCUUCUAUGAUGCUUACCUUCCCACUUUCUAAGCAUUACUAAAUGCACAAAUAUUGCAUCUAGUUAUAAGCAUACACUAGCAACUAUGCCAACAACCAAGACCAAAAAGUCUUAAGUUCAUAUGACAUAAUUAUUACCUAGCCUACCUAGCAUGCACCAAAGUCUAUACCUAAUCUAUAAAGUACAACUUUUCUCCAUUUGUCAUUUAAUGCAUAGAAGAGAAAACAUGCACAAUAAGACAUGCACAAUUAUGUGCAAGCAAACACAAGGUCAAGUCUUGCUUGCUUCCAACUUUGCUUGUGGCAGUUACCAUGUCUUCAAUUAUUGUCAACAUAAUUACUCACAAAUGUAUGGGUCAAACACAACAUGGACAAGGUCCGUUGAAGAAAGCGGGAGGCGAACGAGGAGGAACAGAGUGGGUCAGUGGAGCCGCGCAGCAGGUUUGGGGAAUUAACUUACGAAACACGUCUAGGGGGCGUUUGUUACAGCUCCUUAGGAGGGACUGGCUUGAACUAGCUUAAAUAGGAUUAUAAUCCUGUGUUUGGUGGCUGGCGGGACUAACAUUAAUGGCACUAGGUGGGACUCGCUUUCACAAACUCCUUCACUAGCCGGUCUUAGCGAGAGACCUCGACACCCAUAGGACUAGCUAAGACCUUCCAUCGUCCUCUCUUGCCUUCGUCCACUCUCGCUGCAUCUUUAUCUCCUUCGUCUGCUUCGCUGCCCUGGGUUCAUCGACCUCGAUUUUCUACGGCAUGGGAUUCAAUGAAAGCUGGAAGUUGGAGAGGCGUAGGGACAAGUAAGUUUACAGAGAUUGGAGAAAAGGGAAAUAGGAGGGAGAGGCGGAGGGACAUGGGGAAAAAGGGAAAGGAGGAUGGAGAGGCGGGUGGAGAAAUAAGGUUACAGAGAGAUUGGAGAAGGGGAAAAAGGGAAAGGGGAUGGAGAAAAGGGAAAUAGGAGGGAGAGGCGGACAGACAAAAAUGGGGUAAAAGGGAAAGGGGGAUGGAGAGGUGUAGUAAAAGGGAAAGGGGGAUGGAGAGGUGUAGGGACAAGUUAACAGAGAUCGGAGAAGGGGAAAAAGGGAAAGGAAGAUUGGAGAGGAUGAUGAUUAUAGAAGAAGGAAAAAACAAGAUAAAGUAAUAAUAAAAUAUUAAUCAAUAUAUAUUAAAUUAAUAUAAAAUAAUAUAAUAUUGUAAUCCUGCUUCUUAGUCCGACACUGCACCAAACGCUUCACUAAACUAGUCUAGCUUAGUCUAGUCUAAGCCAGUCCAGCUUAGUCCCUGAAGCUAAUGCAGUCCGAGACAGUCCGGUGCAACAAACGCACCCCUAGGAUCUUAACAAGACUACGGUCUUGUAUAAAUAAUUAUUAAGUAUCAUUUUUACUAUCUAUGUAAAUUGAAUUUGAGAUUUUGCGAAUACUAUUAAACCAAAGGUUAAAUAGUUGAAAGACAGUUUUAUUCAAAACUUAGAGCAAAAGUAAUUUUUUUGUCGGACAAUCUAAUACUAAUUCAUCUUCUACUGUAUCUCACCACUUAAACAUUUUCUUUGGAAAAUUGCAUUUUUCCAAAUUUGAGGGGGAAAAUGUCAACAAUGCUAUCGUUCAAAUUAUAAACGUUUAAUUAUAUGAGAUCGAGAAAUUAAGAGAGAAAAAAUAAGUAAAUAUGUUUGGGUUGAUUAGGGAUCAAGUUUUAAUUAACACUGCAAUAUAAGAGUCGCUACAAAUGCCCCGAUUAGUGUCUCAACUAUGCACAUUCCUAGAAUUAUUUUUCCUUCGUUUAGCUAAAGAAUAAAAAUAAAAUUACAAAACAAUAUUACAAUCUAACUAUAUAAACAUAUAUAACAAUUAAAGAGUUGGGAAAUUGAAUGAAUAAUAAGUACGAGGAAUUAUCAAAGCAUGUUCCAUCCUAUAUUUUCUCUCAAAGUGAGAUUCUUUAUGAUUAUCCUAUAUUUUAAUGUUAAUUCUUAUGUUAAUAUUAUAAAUAUUAUACUAAAAAUAUGAAAUGACAAAUAAUUUAUAAAAGAUCAUUUUCAAAAGAAUCUCUUUAACAAUUCUCUUCUGUUUGUACUAUGUGGCUCUGUGGCACCGGACCAAUUUAACAAACGAUCGUGGAAAAGAAGAAAUUGUCCUUGUGUGUUGAAUUCACGGACUUCUUUUUCUUACAUUUUUGAUGGGGAAUUCGUGGACCUUAAGGUUUUGAGAGCGGCGCAAAAGCGUUUCCCACGGGUAUCACAACUCCCAUGCCACUCAUGCAUGCAAUGAUUUCACUGCCUCAACAACUCUUUUUAUAAGACGUAGGUUGUCUGCCAUUUCCAUCCCGUAUGUUUUUUUAUCUUUUUUUUAUUUCUUUGGUUACAGUUAAAUCACGUUAAUAUUUUAUAUUUUUAUUAUUUUUUAUCUUAUUAUUUUUAUAAAAAAAUUAAUAUAAAAUGUUAAUAUGACAGUUAAAUCACGUUAAUAUUUUAUAUUUUUAUUAUUUUUUAUCUUAUUAUUUUUAUAAAAAAAUUAAUAUAAAAUGUUAAUAUGAUUUAACCGUGAACACAAAAAUAUGAAUAGAUAAGAAGGGUAUGGAAUGGGGGAAUACAGAUAAUCCAAGUCCCUUUUUAUAGAACUUUCUCGACAAACUUGACCGAGUCAAAGCAGCCGAAAAUAAUUGCACAAGUCAUUAGUCUUUCUACGAAAUGGUGCUAUCUACGUAAUGAGAGAUUUUUAGUGUGAUCGUCACACUAGUUGGUUUAUUACGUGUUGUUAUAUAAUUGAUGAGAUAUGUGUGUUAAAAAUUUAAUAACUUAAAAAGUAAAAUUUUUCAUCACUUACGUAAAAACACGUAGUGUAUCAUUCGUGUUCCUAUUAAAUUAAAAAUUUCUCCUACGUAACGGCGUCUGUUGACAGAUCUGAGGCUUGUAGGGUAAUUGACAAAACGUUUGCUUCUUCACGGAACCAACCACUGAAUUAGGAUAUCGUUCUUGGGAUUUAUAAUAUUUUUAUACAACUGUAUUCUAUUUUAAAUGAAGAGUGAUUGGAAUUGAGAUUUUUUCGGAAUCUUUGUGUCCGCUCGAAAAUUCAAAUAGUUCAAGAGAGAGAUCUGAGGCAUUCAAGGACUUGAUUUUGUGAAUGGUGGGCCAUGUGUUAAUAAAUGUUGCAUGCUAUAAAUGAAGUGGCUUGAUUUUUUGGGUCUGUUGGCUCUGUACUCAGAGACCCAGAGAGGAUCGCGGCCUAUGUCACACAAUAGGAAAGUCAUAACUAUCAUCAUCAAUAAGUCAAACUCAAAACUUCUCACUUACAAAUGAAAAUGAUACAUAACACUAGUUAGUAACUUAAGACUUAUUAUUUACAAAUGAAAAUAAUUACACUAGUUGGUGAAAUUUAUAAUUAACCCUGAAAGACUUGAUUAACAAUAAGAGCUCAUUAUGGGUGGCUAAUUUAAAUUUAAUAAUUUACGAUUAGAAUCAAUAAUUAUUGCAUUGCUUAUAUGAUUUCAUUAAUCAAAUCGUCUUCAGCCAAGGCUGUAUCCAACACAAGAUUCACUCUCGUGACUCCAGCUAAUUAUGGGAUUAUUGCACUGUUUAUACAUAAUUAUGCAUAGCCAGCCCUCUAACACUUAUAUUAAUACGUCUGCUUAAUUAAUAUGAUUUCUCAAGCCUUUGAUCAAACUGGUUUAAACCCGACCAGCCCGGCUCUCUUCCAAUCCUUCCUCGGAAUAGUACGUCCGGCUGCGUUUAAUUGGUAUGUUAUUUUCAUUUUCAUUUAGUGUGUGUACCUUACGCUAAAAAAUCAUCUAAACAUUCAAGAACGCGUUUAAACCCAAAAAUAAAAUAAAACCUCAUAUAUGUCUCUUUUCCUUGAUCAGAUUGGAAGUUCAAGCAUGGUGAUGAGGAGCCUAAUCAAGUUGUUAGGGACUCUGAAAUCAAACUGAGGUUUUUAAACAAAAUAAAUGCGUAUUCAGAAAUUGAGAAAACUGAGAGCAUGAGGAUGGACAUGAUGCACAGGAAAGCUCAGGCAUCAAUUGUACCGACUCUGAAGAAUGCCGAUUACCGGAGGAAAAAGAGCCACGCACAUAGCCGCUGAUCCGUGAUCGAUUGAAACCAGAAUUUCCCUUUUUAUUUAUUUGAUUUGGAGAGGAGCAAGAUAUACGUUCUGCAGCUAUUUGUUUCAGCGGUUUCUACUGUUUCAAGUCAUCAGUGUUUUAAGUCAUAUGAAAAUAGCUCUGCAGCUAUUUGUUUAAGCAGUUUUAACUGUUUCAAGUCAUCACAGCGCCACUUUGAGGUGUUACAACUUCUUAAUUCAGUUUAUAUUUUGUGACUUUUCUUCUAAAACAAGCGAUAUUGGAAAAAGACUAUUUGUAAUUUAGAAUAUCGGAUGUAAGGAUGAAUGUUUUUAAUUAACUAAACUAUUAAUCUCCUGCUGAAUUUUGAGACGUUUAAUAAAAAGAAGAAAUAUAAUUACUUGGAAAAAGAAAUUAAGUCAAGUCAAUAAGAUUGUGACCGUAUGAAGGAACAAUUAUAUGGAUCCAAAAAUACCAAACCCAAAUUUGGACUGGGACACGCAUGCAUUUGCAUGCACGAAAACUUCUCCAAUUGGUCCUCCUGGUCGGUUUAUAGUAAAAUGGAUCAUCUUCGGAUCUCUUUCUUAUAAUUCAUCAAAUUAGGGAAUUAAUGUCAUUGAAAUUUGAUCUAACGGUUACAAACAGAGCUCUGCUUUAAAAAUUAUAAUAAUUUCAACCGUUGGAUCAAUUUUCAAUGACAUGGAUUCCUAAUAUGGUGGAUUAAGAUGAAAAAAUCAAGAGAUGAUCACUUUCCAGUUUAUAGCUUCUUUCGUACCAAAAUGUUUUGCUUUUGAAUUUCUUUCUACAAUUAUUACAUUUCAAAACUCCUUAAUGUUGUCGUUGAUAUUGUGAAUCACGGGUCCUACGUGCAUUACAGUGAUACAAUAGGCUAAAUCACAAACUCGUACAUAAUACAUUGUCGUUUUAACGUGUUGUCACAUCAUGAUUGCCAUAAUUGAGCACAUAUCCAUUGAUUCUUGUUUAUAUUCUUUAAUUUAGUGGGUAAAAAAAAAAAAUUAACGAAAUUUUUUUGAUACUAUUCAUUUUAAUGAAAAAUCAUAUUUUUAUAUUAAAAAAAAAAGAGUACGUUGAAAAAUAUAUUAGUUAAUACGGUAUUUUUGACAUAUAUGUACUAGAUUUUGUAGUGAGAUAAGGAUUAUAAUUCUUUUCCUUUUUUAUAAGGGGUGUGCUAUCCACACACCCCAUUUUACUUCUCACACAUCCUUUGAUAGUUUCUGUCCGUUGAUCUUCUUCAAUUCAUCUGAUUCGAAGGCCAAAAAUUAAAAAGGUGUGUGAGAAGUAAAAUGGGGUGUGUGAAUAUCACACCACUUUUAUAAUGAGAUUAGGGUUGCUUUCCCAAUUUUCUAAAGUUUAGGAUUAACUAGCGAAAGUGUUCCCGCACGAUGCUGCGGGUUUUAGAACCAUAUAAAACAUGUAAAAAGUUAUAAAUAUAUAUACAUCUAACUCCCAACCAAAAUAUGCACGCAAUAUUAAGAGGGAUGUGAUAUCCACACACAUUUUUUUACUUCUCUCACACCCUUUUAAUUUUCGACCGUCGGAUCGAAUGAAUUGAAGAAGAUUAAAUGACAAAAUUAAUAAGGGGUGUGAGAGAAGUAAAAAGGGGUGUGUGGAUGGCACACCCCUAUUAAGAAAGUUUGAAAUUAAUAUUAUUUGUAUUCUUGUCAAUCUUCUCAUAGUAAACAUUCAUUCUGAACACAUAAAUUAUUAGGAAGCACAACCCAAGAAUGGUCUGGGGAUUUAAGUUUAUUUGUAUUCUUGUCAAUCUUCACAUAGUAAACCUUUAGGACAAAAUAAGCUCUAAUUAUAUAAGUUAGAGUUUCUAUGUGAGUUAGGAAUAUGCUGGUGUGUAGAAGAUGAAGGCAAACCAUAAUCCAAUUAACAUCAAAACAAAGGAAAUUAAUAUUUAAAAAGUGGAACCAACAGAUGAGUAAAAACUUUUGAAUUUGCAAUGUUAUGGCAGGUGAGUGAAAACUUGUCAGCAACUCUACAUGGUUGGAGGGUAGUGAAAACUUGAUCUAAAAUGCUGCUAAGGAUGAGGACUCUUCCAAACUGAAAAAUACGGUGAAUGGUUCGGAGGAAGAGAGAGAUGGACUUUUAGAGAGAGGGAGUGGGCAUUUGAGAAAGACAAGAAGAGAAACCAGAGUGCAUCGAGAAGGAAGAGAGAAAAGGAAGAAAAAUAAAUAAAAAUAUUCAGUAAGGACACAAUCGGGAUUAUCGUAAAAGUAUGAGGGUAAAAUUGGAACAACACUGUGCUUAUGAAUAGCAUUUCAGUUAUUUUUGGGUUUUAGUAGAUAUUAAAUUUCCUAUUUGUUUAGAUUUAUUUUCUUGUUUGCUUGUACUUUAAAUUUUUGAACAGUUUACAAAAAAUGAAAAAUAAUGUGCAGAAAUCAUUUUGGUUCUAAGUACUGAUAAGUGACAUUGGCCUAAAUUUGAUUGCAUGGCUCUGCUUCUUUCUUAUUUUCCCAUGUCCAAUCCUAUAAAUACCUUCAUACUUGGCCCUCAUAAUCCCACCCAACAACUCCAAUCUGGAAAUUUAAAUCUCUCAACUCUCUCAAUUCUCCUAUUACAAAUAUGCAAACCAUGUGGAAGUAUAUACAUCUAACUUUCACCAUCUUCAGCUGGCUGUUCAACUUCUUGCUCUACCAUUCCUUCUCCAAACAUUAUGAUCACUAUUUUGAUGAAACCAGAGACAUAUCACUUACCACAGUCCAGUAUAAACCCAAUCCCGGGGCGAAUUCGGAGACUAGUACGGCGGAAUGUGCUGUGUGUCUAUGCAAAAUCGAGGAAGGAGAAGAGAUUAGAGAACUGAGAUGUGCUCAUCUCCUUCAUAAACCAUGCUUGGACUGGUGGACUGGAUUUAAGCAUGCCACUUGUCCGAUUUGCCGCAGUCGCCUAGCUCCACCGAGAAGCACACAACUCCAUCAGCAGUUAGAUGAACAAGUGGAAGUGUUGGUGUUUAAGUUUUGCUCUUUCAGCUCGGAUAGUGAUCGUGGCGAUAGAUGGUGGCUGCGUUGAACUUGAACCGAAGAGAGAGAUUUAAAUGAGUAAUUAUAUAUGCACGAGUGAUCCCUUGUUAGCAAAGAUCUGUUCAUCUAAAGUCAAACGUUUAAUUUUGUCUUCCAGUUCUACUGUCAAAUUAAUGUAGUACUUCAUCUAUUUUGGCGAAAAAACAUGUAUGCGUGUGGUGUACCAUGUAUUUGUAAACGAGGAUGAACGGUAGAAAGGUCUCUGUACUUUAUGUUAUGUUUAGUUUCCGAUCAUAAACUAUAAGUUUUUUGCGCUUUUCAACUUAAUUUUGCAUUGCAUGAGCAACAAUGAUGGAUCUUGGAUUCAAACUUUGGGGUUCCAUUGUUAAACUACAAGUUUUUCAGGUAGAAACAAAGUGCACAUGGAAAAAUCUUAAUUUAUAUUCACUCAAACAUUUCGUCACUUGGUGAACUUGUUAUCAUCAAUCAAACUAUGUUGUACACGUAUAAACAUAUUUUGAUAUAGGCCAAAUUGGAUUAUUCAUCCCCGUGGUCAUAGGAAACUUGCAUGAUGACCCCCGUGGUGAAAAAAUUAGGAAUUAAACCCCUGUGGUCAAGAAUGUUUGCAAAUUUAGUCCAAAAGUAAGAUUUCUGUUAAAUGACUAUUAAAAGUAUGGGUAAAACUGUAUUUUCAGCUCCAAUUGACAUUUAAAAUAAAUAAUUUUUUUAUAACAAUUAACAAAAAAAAUAAUGCUUAAUUUUUUAAAUAAAAAAAAGCCCCAAUUCAAUGUCAAUUGGAACUGAAAAUACAGUUUUACCCCAACUUUUAACAGUCUUUUAACAGAAAUCUUAUUUUUGGACUAAAUUUGCUAACAUUCUAGACCACAGGGGUUUAAUUCCUAGUUUUUUCACCACAGGGGUCAUCAUGCAAGUGUCCUAUGACCACGGGGAUGAACAAUCCAAUUUGGCCUUUGAUAUAUGCUAUAAACAUUCCAUCAUAUGAACAGGAUUUGACAUCUAUUUUGCUCCAUCCUCUUUUUUCAUAAGGACCCCGUUUCUCUGCCCUCGCAAUUCACAUACACUUUCAUCUCCUCCUAUUUUGUGCGGUCACGGUUAAGCCACCUCAACAUUUUAUAUUGAUUUUUUUAUAGAGAUAAUAAAACAAAAAACAAUAGUGAUAUAAAAUAUUAACGUGGUUUGACCGUGACCUCACAAAUAAAAGAGAAUGAGAGUGUAUGAGAACUGACAGGGCAGAAAAGCCAGGUCUUUUUCAUAAAACUAUGCUUUGAAAAUGUGGACAGGAUUACGCAUGCCACAGGUCCCAUUUGUCAUCUAACUCCACCAAGAAGCACUGAUCAAGUGGAAGUGCUGCUAUUUAAGUUCUGACCAUUCGGGUCGGAUAGUAAUCAAAACAACAUACUCAAAACACUAUACCAUAAAAGUGGACAUAUCAAUCAUGUCAUUGAUAUACCACAUAAAUUGUGUUUUCUAUUCAUACAAAUUCCUAUUUUUAAGAUUAUCUUUUUUUUUUUUAAGAAAAAUUAAUGAAAAUGAUUUAAAUUUUUUGAGUUUUAAUUAAUGAUAAGGACAAAAUAAAAUGUAAAGUGAAUAGUACCAUGAUUGAUUUUUUAGUGUAAAAAUAUGGUUUUUCGUUAAAAUGAAUAAUACCGAAAGCUUUUCGUUAAAGUUCCAUUUUUUUUCUUAAGGAGAAAAAGAUAUUUCCAGAGAGAGAGAGAGAGAGAGAGAGAGAGAGAGAGAGAGAGGUUUGUAGAAGAAAGAAAGAAAAAAAAAUAAUAAUAAAAUAAUAUUGUUUACUAUUAUUAUUUUAAAAAAAAUCAAUUGAUGGCGCAAUAUAUUUUAUGAGGUAGUGAUGCAUUCGAGCAAUUAUUAUUCACUAAGGCAGUAUUUGCCUUGUCUAAUUGUCUAGUCAGUUAUUGCCUUAGUGGGGUGAACUUGCUCCAAGUCAAUAAGAUUGUCAGAAGUUGGGGUUCCACAUAAAACUAAUUUGCCAAAUGGGAGUCAUCCAUUAUUUAUAAACACAUGCAAGGUUCAUUCUUUUUCUGAUAUAGGAUUGACACUCUCAACAAGCCCUUUCACGCAUUGUUCUAAAAAUCUCCGCUUAUGUGCUAGGCGGCUAGCCAUGACAUUGAUAAAUCCCUUGGUGUUUAAAAAUUAAGAAAGGGUGUCUGCACUUGUUUAGGCGUCCACCCAACCCACCUAGGCGUUCGCCUACGCAUGCAUCGAGGUUGCAGACUCUCACUUAAAAUAGAAAAUAGGUAACUUUCAUUUUGUAUUUUAUUUUUUUAAUAAAUUGUAAGAAACUUGUUAAAUACUCGGAUAAACACUCAUUAUAUGCAUGUCCUCCAUUUUCCCUAUAUGUGUUAUAAUACUUCAUAAUUUUUAUGUCAUUCUAUUUUUCAAUUUAUAUAUUCUAAUACAAUUAGGUAUUUUUCUUAAAACAUAAACAAGCAUUACUUAUACGAUACAUAUAAUAAAUUUAACUUAAAUUCGCCUCGUCCUUUUAGGCCCCGUCUAGCCGCUUAGGCUUUAGACUUUAGUCCGUCGUCCGACUAACGCUUAUGAUCUUUUAGAACUUUGCCCUCAUAUGUGGUGAAUUUUCAAAUUUAACAUGUAGACAAUACAACGAAAUAACGUGAAGCGCGUGUGAUCGUUUAACUUCACAUGUAAAACAAUCUAGUCUGAUACCACGAAGAAGUUUGAAUUCCAACCGACUAUAUAAGAAAUAGUCAAUUAAUUAUAGCCACAUACAAAUCCCUCUUUUCGAACCAUAAGAUUGGAUGAAGAAUUUAAAGGACUGGGACAUGCAAGACUUGUCCUAUUGGGUCAACCCGGCGGUUUAUACCAAAAUAUCUUGGUUUUGAAUUUCUCUUUAAGAUUAAAUUAUAAACAACACUUGGCUAAAGGAUGAGUAAAAUCUCUUAAUUAAAACUCUUAGGGCUUUAAUUAUAAAGUUUUAUGUUUAUGAUCAAAACCGUUCAUACUAUGAAUCACACUGUAAAAAUCAUCUAUGCAAAAAAUAUAUUAAAAUUAAGGUCGUUUAGUCAAUCUAUUAUAGCAAAUACAUAAACGGUUCGUAAUACUUUUACCAAUACCGUUCAUUUGUUUUUAAACAGUUUGAUGACUAAACGACCUUAGUUUUAAAUAACUUUUUUGCAUAGGCGAUAUUUAUUGGAUAAUUUAUAUUAUGAACGAUUCUAAUGAAAAACAUAAAGUUAUAUAAAUUAACAACAAACAAUUUUAAGAAAUUUUAGGUAUGAAUUCUUACUUAUCUUUAACUUUAAGUAGGCAAAUAUUGUUUUUAAAUUAUUACAUUCCAAAACUCCUUAAUUUAGUCGUUUAUUUUGUGAAUCACGCGUCCUAUAUAUCUGCAUUACAGUGACCCAAUAGACUGAACCACCGGACACGUAUGUUGUCGAUUUAGUGUGUUGUCACAUCAUAGAUUGCCAUAAUUGAGUAUCCUGUGUUAGUUGACCACAUAAAUAUUAUGAUACUGUUCAGUAUAUUCAAGGAGGGAAAUAUUUUUGGCCUAAGAUUAUCUCUCAUCUUCUUUCCAUUAUUUCUUCUUAUAUUUUUUAUUUUGUCUUUUUUUUUUAUAAAAAAUUAAUAUAAGAUGGGGAUGUGGUUUAAUCAUGACCGUUCAAAUAGGAAGAUCGGGAAAUGAUAGAAAUGAAGAAACUAGAGAAUCAUACUCCAAUAUUUUUUGCACACUUAUUUUUUUUUUAAAUUACUGAAUAUAUGACCAUUGAUUCUGAUUUAUAGUCUUCAAUCUAAUGGGUAAAAAAUGAGUUUAUGUUGAAAAAUAUAUUAGUUAAUAUGGUAUUUUUGACAUAUAUACGUGCUAAAAUUUUGUUAUAAUUAAUUUCCUAUUUGUCUUGAAGAACCCAGAUCCUUUCCGGAUCCUCAAAAACUGAGACUAAGGAUCAACUGAUUUGGACUAUUGAAAUUUGAUCUAACGGCUACAAAUAGGGAGCCUUUGUAAAAGUUAUAAUAAUUGUAGUCGUUAGAUCAAAUUUCAACUGUCCGAAUUAUUUGAUCUUUAGACUCAGGUUUUGGACAUCCAAGGAGGAUCUGGGUUCUGUUUUGAAUAUAUUUACCUUUUUGCUUGUACUUUAAAAUUUUUAGCAGUUUAGAAAAAGUGAAAAAUAGUGUGCAGAACUUAUUUUCGUUCUCACCAUUUACAAUUGACAUUAGCCGAAAUUUGAUUGCAUGGCUCUGCUUUCCUCUAUUAUUUUCCCAUGUCCAAUCCUAUAAAUAGUAAUACCUUCAUACUUGGCCCUCAUAAUCCCACCCAACAACUCCUAUUUGGAAAUUUAAAUCUCUCAACUCUAUCAAUUCGCCUUUUACAAUUAUUCGAACCAUGUACAAGUACAUACAUCUAGCUUUCACCCACCUCAGCUGGCUACUCAACUUCGUGGUCUACCAUUCCUUCUCUAAACAUUAUGAUCACUAUUUUGACGAAUUAUUGCCUGCAGACCAAGCCACAGAAAUAUCACUUACCACAGUCCAGUACAAACCCAAUCCCGGGCCGAAUUCGGAGACUAGUACUGCGGAAUGCGCUGUGUGUCUCUGCAAAAUUGAGGAAGGAGAAGAGAUUAGAGAACUGAGGUGUGCUCAUCUCUUUCAUAAACCAUGCUUGGACAAAUGGACUGGAUUUAAGCAUGCCACUUGUCCGAUUUGCCGCAGUCGUCUAGCUCCACCAAGAAGCAAACAACUCCAUCAGCAGUUUGAUGAACAAGUGGAAGUGCUGCUGUUUAAGUUUUGUUCUUUCAGCUCGGACAGUGAUCGUGGCGAUAGAUGGUGGCUGCGUUGAACUUGAACCAAAGACAGAGAAGCAGCAGAGAGUCAUGCCAGAUUUAAACGAAUUAAUAUCGUACUCGUUUGGCGGAAGAUGUAUUAUUAUCUUUAGUCAAAUAAAAAAAAUAAGGAAUAAUAGAUUUAUGUUUUCUUUUAUGCCAGACCUCCAAAACUCACCAGAACUACACAGCAGCAAACAAAUGAAACGAAAAAAAUAAUUCUGGACACCAGCCGUGUGCAUACAUCUAAUUGCCGCCCACUUAAGCUUAGGGGUGGGUUCAAAAAAUCAAACCGGAGCCGAAAAAUACUGAACCGAAAAAAAAAAUCGAACCGAAACAGCCAAACCAAAUCGAACCGAAUUUGGCCAGUUCGGUUUCGGUUUUUGAGGUUUGGAAACCGAACUGGACCGAAAAAAUAUAAUCUAUAUAUAAAUACACAAAAACGUGUUGGCAUCAGAGUUUGA